UAACAGGACUCAGCCAUCCGUGAGGAAUUUCAAAGCAAAAUCCGAUUAUGUCAAAGAACCAAUGCCUGAAACUGCACUGGAAGGCAUAUGGGAGAGGCUCUCCGAAGUGGACGUCGGUGCAGGUCAACUGAUAUUUAGCCCGUACGGAGGAAGAAUGAGCGAGAUUUCAGAAUCCAGCAUUCCAUUUCCACACAGGGCUGGAAAUCUUUACAAGAUUCAGCACCUGGCGUAUUGGGACGAGGAAGGAUUGUAGCAACAAGAAAGCAUAUAAGCUGGAUCANNNNNNNNNNNNNNNNNNNNNNNNNNNNNNNNNNNNNNNNNNNNNNNNNNNNNNNNNNNNNNNNNNNNNNNNNNNNNNNNNNNNNNNNNNNNNNNNNNNNNNNNNNNNNNNNNNNNNNNNNNNNNNNNNNNNNNNNNNNNNNNNNNNNNNNNNNNNNNNNNNNNNNNNNNNNNNNNNNNNNNNNNNNNNNNNNNNNNNNNNNNNNNNNNNNNNNNNNNNNNNNNNNNNNNNNNNNNNNNNNNNNNNNNNNNNNNNNNNNNNNNNNNNNNNNNNNNNNNNNNNNNNNNNNNNNNNNNNNNNNNNNNNNNNNNNNNNNNNNNNNNNNNNNNNNNNNNNNNNNNNNNNNNNNNNNNNNNNNNNNNNNNNNNNNNNNNNNNNNNNNNNNNNNNNNNNNNNNNNNNNNNNNNNNNNNNNNNNNNNNNNNNNNNNNNNNNNNNNNNNNNNNNNNNNNNNNNNNNNNNNNNNNNNNNNNNNNNNNNNNNNNNNNNNNNNNNNNNNNNNNNNNNNNNNNNNNNNNNNNNNNNNNNNNNNNNNNNNNNNNNNNNNNNNNNNNNNNNNNNUUUGUACUUCUGAUAUUGCCAUUGAAUUUAUGAGUCCUUGUACUAUUUUUUAUUGGUUUGAAAAAAGAAAUUUCCUUUAUUUAUUUACUUUAAUUUACUUUUUGUUAUUUAUUUUUCCUAUAUGGUUUUGUCGUUAUUAUGUACUUUGAGUUCAUGAAUAUUAUACAAUUCAACUAAGUGCAGAAAUUUUAAUAUUAGUCAAGCAGUCGAAUUAAUUAGGUACAAAGACUUUUCAUCUUUAAUUCCAAAGGUCUGCCUUGCGAAGAUGUUGUUUUCCCAAAGUAAUAUUUGAUGAAAUUUAACUCUAUGUGAUCAAUCCGCUAGGAAAUUAACCUAUUGAGGAUCCAUUAGUCUCAGAACAUUAGAAUCUUCCUAACACUUGGGUGCUUUUGAUAUUAAAAUUUGACUAGGAAAGACAAUAAUUCUUUUGUUUAAUGGACUGAAAUCUAUUAAUAUUCAUUAUUUAAUAAAAAUAAAAUUUCUUUUAUUGAAAUCUGUUAAAAAGAUUAAAAACAAAUUUAAUCUGUAAAUGAAUUUUAUAUUUAAUAUAUUAUAUAAUAAUUACAAAAUUUACAUUAAAUGAAAUAAAUACUUUAUGAAUAGGUCAAACGAAGUAUCUGAAAUUACAAUAAACAGGAAUUAAUUACUAGAUGGAAUAAUAUCCAUUAAUUGUGUUUGAUGGCAGGUACCGCUGGCCUUACCCGAAGUGAGGCCCUAGACGUGAUUAUAGGAAAAAGAUAUAGAUUAGUAACUAAACCGAUACAUAGAUGAGUAUGAUAUAUUUAUUAUUUUUUAAUAAUAAAAAAUAUAUAUAUAUAUUAAUUAUUUAAUAUUAAAUUAUAAAAUAUUUAUAUAUACAUGUUAUAUUUUUAUUUAUUAUGAUUUAUACGUCUUUAUGUAAAUAAGAAUUUCAUAUAUAGAUAAAUACUGUUAAAUCGCAAUUACAUACUUUAGACCCUAAAUACUUGAAGAACAAUUUAAUUAAACCACUUCAGUUAACAGCAAUUUUAAAGUUAGGUAAACUGUUUUUCAAAUGCUAGGGUUUUAAGUGAGACAUCUUAAAUAUUAAAUAUAUAAAAUUAAAAUUGGAAAAAAGUGCAUUAACAUCCCUCAUACAAAAGAAAACAUCCUUCAAUUCAUGUAACAUUAAUAAUUAAUUGUAUUACCAUUUUUAUUAACUAUUUUUCUUUUUUGGUGAAGUAUUGACUCUUCUUUCAAUAGAAUACAAGAUUCUUCUUGACACAUUAUUAUAAUUUAUCAGUACAAUUCAGAGAUAACUUAUUGUUGUAAAAUUGCAUUUUUUUUUUCUUACAAUGUAUUCAAAGCUUUAGGACUUGAAAUGGAUCUUGAAAAAUUAAAAUUAACAUAGAUAAGAUUUUUUUAUCAAGAAACAGACCUAUCCUAAAACUAUCCCAUAAUUGAAUAUAUAGUAUAUGAAGAAAAUAUAACUUGUCAAAAGUCAGAUGUUCUUGUUCUUCAUUUAUUGAUUUGAACUUUCCAUGGACCCACUCUAAAUCCAUUUCUUUUUCAAGAAAACCCAAUAUGGAUGUGUUUGAAAUGUUCUCACAAGAAAAGCUUGCCAUUCUCAUUCACAUUUUUCUUUUCAUCUUCAUCACAAAUAAUCACCCUUUUCCAUUUGCCCUAGUAUAAAUAAGGGGUGCACAUGAACAUUAACAUGCAGAAAACAAACCCUAAGCAAUGAGUAAGCAAGGCUGCCUCAAUACUCUUUGUGGCCCAAGCCGAGAUUCAAUUUGAAGCCUCUACAAUAUAAAUAUAUUAUAAUAGUUAUUUAAUAGUUAUUUCUCUAAUAUAUUAUAAAGAUUAUUUAAUAAUUAUUUUUCUUUUUGAGAUGCAAUCAGUAAUUAAAUUUUUAUAUUCAAAUUUAAAAAUAAAUAUUUUUUAAUUGAUAAUAUAGCUAAAUUAGUUUUUCUUAUGAGAUGGUUGAACACAAAUAAUCUUAAUUUUGAGAAACUUCUUUUCGCCAAAGAUAUCGUGCAGAAUAGGAAUAAUGAAUAGUAUUCUAUAAACUAUUCAUGUAUUUGAAAAAUAUUUUUUUAUAAAAUUCAGUGUCUCAAAUAGUAUUUUUAUUUUUCCAUUUAUAAUUUCUUUUAAAAUUUUUAAUUCUGAAAAUAAAUCAAAAUCAUCAAUAUUACAAAGCAUAUUAUGUUUUAGAAAACUUUUCAAAUUUAAACAAUUUUUCAUCAUAUUAUCAUCACCAAGCAAUUUUAACUUAGAUGCAUUAUAAAAGGAACCAAAACUAUUUUCAUAUAUUUUAAAUUGUUCACAUCUACUUUCAAUUGAAAAUAUAGUAUGAUUAACUAAAUAUGUGAAAUUUUUUAUUCAAAAAUAUUAAUAUGAACAAUGAUACUAAAUUAUCUUACCUGUUGCCUUGAAUCAAUCUAGUAAAUUUUGAUUUAAUGAAUUUUAUAAUUUUGUGAAAGCACACUUUAGAGUAGAAGACAGAGAGAAUGAGGGAAGAGAGAAGAUUAAAGAAUUAAGAAAAAAAAAAAAGGAGAUGAAUAGAAAUUUGAUGUUGUUUAUAUUAUUUUUUUAGCCCAAUAAAUAAAGAAAUCGAGCCCAAAAAUUAAUGAAGCCCAGUCCAAAAUUAAGCUCAAUCUGUGAAAGUUAUUAAUUAAAGAACUUAAUUAAAAUAAUUAUUUUAGUUAUUUUAAUUAAAAUAUGAACAACAAUUAUUUUUGACACAAGGUGAGCAAAGAGAGAUUCAAUUAGAAAGUUAUUUGAAACUCUCUCCAUACAGUUACUCUUGAAAUUUUAACUCAUGGAAUACAUGUUGACAAAAGAGGAAAAAUGACGACAGUUAUUCAAUUCAGACGGAUAGUUUAUCACUUGCAGAUUUACUUGAUGGAAGUUACGGCAGGAAACCAGAAAAAAAAAAAAAGGAAAAGCAAACAAUCAAUGGACAUCCAAUAAUCACAAAAAAAAAAAAAAAUCAAACUCAAGAAUAACAAAAUUCUUUGAAUUUUUUCACUAAGCAAUGAAACUUUUUUGUAUUUGAACUUUUACAAUCAAUUUUACUCUAGCAAUUCACAUUUACAAUUUACAAUUAUUUUAUUGCCAAAUUAGUAGAACAUCGAAAAAAAUUUGGCUGAAAGGAGUUUGAAAUCCAUAAACACAGUUCAUGAUGGUUCGUGUACCACAUACAUAUGGCACGCCUGUAAAUUCAUUUUGCAAUCAACAUAAUUUGACACCCCAGUAGGACACUGUUAUAUAAUGGUCCUAAGAAUAAGAAAUAGUAUGGAAAAGAACCAAUGGAGUCUCAAGGAAGCUAGGUUGCUGCUGAUGAAGCAGAACGUGAACCUGAAGUUUCUGUUCCUCACAUGGUGGAGUAGUUAGAGAAGAAGAUUGUGCCGCAAGGCACAUUUCAGCACGCUGAAGCGCUACCACCUAUUGAAAGAGUUAUGUGCACCACCUAUUGUCGAUGUAUUUGGAUGUCUAUGUAUUAAUAUGUCUAAUCCUUUUACUGAACCUUUGUUAGAAUUUUUAAUAGUGUUUUGAAGAAAUCUAAAAUAAGUAUCUUAAGAAAUAAAUGAAAAAUUAACUGUUGGUCGUCCUACUAGUCCUAGGAGUAAGAAUUUAAAUGUCAAUGACAGAGAGAAACAUACCUAAAAGGAACUCGGGGAACAAUCUUCUACUAAUAAUGAUAGAAUUCCUAAGAAUAAUGUGGAGGUUACUAGUGUGGUUUAAUCGCAUGCCUUCCGGGCUGAGGAAAGAUAUGCACAUCCACAAAAUAAGGAGAAUGUUAGGAUGGCAAUCCCAAAUGGCCAUAAUAAUGACAUGCCAUAUUUGUCUCACCAGAUCUAUGUUAAUCAACUUACUAUGUAUGAUGUGGCAGGUAAGGGUUUGAAUAUAUGGGGAGACCCGAGGGCAAUCCUUUAAUAGUUACUCAAUAUAGGAUUACAUUGAACCAACCUUUUCACCCACAAAGACAACAAUGAGUAGAUAAAUAGAGGCUGUAAGAGAUGUAGGGCAAGAGUUGUAGUCUUGGCUUGAGAUAAAUAGAUUGACCAGAUUUUCACAAGCCUUACUCAAGUUUUAUUGACAUUGACAACCCUUACCCUAUAUGUUAUUGGAUUCUUAGCCAUUAUACUUUAGAACAUAUUAUUAAAUAUGAAUAUAGUGAAUUGGCUAAUUUAGUUGUUAAUUUUAAGUUGAGGCUUUUUUUCUAAAUAUUUAACACGAUCAAUCUUCACUUAGCAUGCUACUUUGCUAAGAAAUUUCAUAUUCACAUGGCAAGAGAUAUAGAGGCAUAUCCAGUUUUUCAGGGCUAGGCAAAAAAAGAUUAAUGCAAAUACCUGAAAAAAUAUUAUCCUACCAUGUAGGAAAAUGGUUAAGUAAGAAAUAAAAGUAUGAGGCCAAUGAAGUGGCCGCUAGUAGUUGGUAGGAUUUAUGUUGUUUUCUAUAUUUUCUUUUACAUUUUCUAUGUUACAUAUAUUUUUUAAGGAUGUUUUGCUUUAUACGAAGCCAAAUAUAAGGCUAGUAUUAUGUUAUUUUAUUUUGAAAAGAAAGCUUGAUUUUAAUAAAAGUAGGCUUUAUGGUCAUUUUUAAAUCUUGAGUGAUCUGUGUUGUUUUUGUUUCUGAUUUCUAGUAAAUACCAUACGGCUAAAAGCACAAAUUUUUAACUAAAAUGCAGACAAGUACAAAUAAAUACAUAGAUAGAAUGAGUAAUGUGCAAAGUGUUGAGUGAAUUGGUUGUAUACAUGUAAAGCAUGGCUAUAUUAUAAAGUCAAAGUAAUAGCCAAACAUAGUAUGUCAAAGCCAUAUCACAUCUAAAAUAAAGUUAGUACCGAGUGAAAAUAGCUCUCAUGGGUGAAGUCAUAACAAAAACAACCAUAAAAUAUAAUUGGAGGACUUGAGCAAAAGAUACAUAUGCAGCAGCUACAUCAGUGACAAGUUGGCUGGAGAAAGAGGAACUAGAAGUUCAUACGGAGUCUAUGACAACAUCUACAUCUAAAUAAACCAAGUUAAAAGGUCCACAUAUUCAUUCUUAUUUCUUAUAAAUUUAAUAGCCUUUAAAUAUGAAAACAAAUGAAAAGUAAAAUUAGUAGAUCAAGGAUAAAAUACAAAUAUGGCAAAAUAAGGCAAUUGGCAUUUUAUUUCAAUUUCGCAUAAUUAAUACAUGCAUGUAAAUUUAUCAAAUGAUGCAUGCAAAUAUAUUUAUAUGUGUUCUUAUUAAUUAGGAUAAACCUUUAAUAUAUGGAAUCAUAAAACAAUGAUUUUAUAUUGAAGUUGUAAAUUCUGAGGUGAACAGGUUCUUAAAAUUAUUUCUUAUUUGAAGCUCUAAAUCCUCGAAUUCAAGAUAAAAUGAGGCUCCAGGGCUUCAAUUUAUCAAUAUUUGAUUCUUUUAUCGGCAUAACUUUAAAAUUAUCACAAAAUUAAGACUUCCACCUAGCAAGAUUUUAAAAAUAACACGUUUAGGUCUUUUAGGGGCUUAAAUUCACAUCAUAAGUUACCAAUACACAUGGUUCAAAUGUUUAUAAUCUCAAAGACAUAAUAGUACCGUAAUUUCUAAAUUGGCCAAUUUUCACUGCUUCAUAAAUAAAUAUUUGUGUAUAUUUAAAUUCAAUAUCACCAUAAAUCCACAAAAAAAUAUAAAAUAAAAGUAAAAGUGAUAUGACCGUAAAUCCACAAAAAAAUAUAAAAUAAAAGUAAAAGUAAUAUGAGUACCUUUUUUCUUUCUCCUUAUUUGAUAGAUAAUAAAAUUUCUGAUUUAUCAACAAAGGAGAAGGAAAUAUGUAAGAAACCUCCCAAAAGAUAUUUCCUUUCAUAUUUCUUGUACGGUGUAUCUUGAGCUAAAGAAGGUGAGAUUUCUUUUUUUUUUUUUUUGGUUUUGUAUUUUAGUUGGUGGAAGUUAGGACAGGAAAUAAAAAGGGAAAAACAAACAAUCAACGGAUAUUCAAUAAUCACAUAUAAAAGUCAGAAAAACUCAAAAAAGAAAAAAAAACUCUCUAUAAUUUAUUUUUGAAAUUAAAAAUUAUAAAAGACAAUUAUAAAUAAAAAAAAUAAAAAUACUAGUUAAAAUAUUAGAUUUUAUAAAAUAAUUAUUUUUUUAAAUAUACGGAUAACUUAUAUAAAUACUAUUAAUCAUUUUCAUUAUGGUAUCUUUAAUGGAAAUUUCUUUUUUUUUUAAAUUAAAAUUAAUAACUCUUUUAUAUUCAACCAUGUUACAAAAAAAAUAAUAUAAUUUAAUUGUAUCUAGAUUUAAAUAUAAAAAUUUAAUUAAUAAUUUUACAUUUCAAUAGAUAAAAAACAUAAUAAUUUUUAAAAUAUAUUUAUAUUAACAAAACUAUAAAUUAAGAAAUUACCUAGAGCCACAAACCAGAUUGAGCCGGGCCUGAUUCAAUAAUUAUAUAAAUACCCCAAAUGUUUUAGGGCCCCUAUUUCUUAGAGCAUAGGCAUAGUAUAGCCUAUGCCUUAAACCGGGCCUAUGAGUAAGAAUAGAAGAUCAGAAACUAUGUCAUUUAUCCGUGGACUCUAAUUUAACAAAAUAUUUACAUGUAAUCAGUAAUUAAUUAAGAGAGAAAAAGAUCAUACACGUUCGGAUUGGUUAUGAAUUAGCAGCAGCCCUACUCCUUUUAGUUGAAACUGAUGAUUAGCCGUUCGCUUUUUGCUUGUCCUGCCUCCCUCUUUUGAACCACAGUUGAGAAAGAAAGAAACCAAAUUGCACAAUUUUAGUACCUAAUUUAGAUAGUAAGACAAAUUCAUUACGUGAAUGAAAAAAUAGUAACUAAAGGUCAAUGAAAAACUAUGCCUGGUGUUUACUGUGGCAAACUGAGUCAUUCUCAUUCACAUUUUUCUUUUCAUCUUGAUCGCAAAAGCAAUCCCCUUUUUCAAUCUGCCCUAGUAUAAAUAGGGGUUGCACAUGAACAUUAACAUGCACAAAACAAACCCUAAGCAAGUAAGCCAAUGACAGACAUGAAUUUUCCAAGCUAUAUCCUUCCAAUUCUUGUUUUUUCUCAUUUGUCAUUCUCAUGGGCAACUUCAACUCACACCCAUGAAGAUUUUCUUGAAUGUCUUCACCUUCAAUCUCAAGACUCCACUUCCAUCUCCAGAGUCAUAUACACCCCCAAUCAACUCUUCCUAUUCAUCUGUUGAGCAAUUUUCCAUACAGAACCAAGGUUCAAUACAAGUACCACUCCAAAACCUCUAGUUAUUGUUACCCCUUUGAAUAUAUCCCACGUUCAAGCCACAAUAUGUUCUAAAAGAUAUGGCAUGCACAUUAGAGUUCGAAGUGGUGGCCAUGACUACGAAGGGCUUUCUUAUGUUUCUGCUCUUCCAUUUUUCAUUAUUGAUCUGAUCAAUCUUCAAUCCGUCACUGUUGAUGCGGCAAAGAACACUGCAUGGGUUCAAGCUGGUGCAACUAUAGGCAAAUUAUAUUAUAGUAUGCCGAGAGAAGCAGAACUCUAGCUUUUCCAGCAGGUGUUUGUCCUACCGUCGGUAUUGGUGGGCACUUCAGCGGCGGAGGGUAUGGCAUGUUGUUGCGAAAAUAUGGGCUUGCUGCGGAUAAUAUAAUUGAUGCAGUAUUGAUUGAUGUUAAUGGUAGAGUUCUUGACAGAGCUUCAAUGGGUGAGGAUCUUUUCUGGGCAAUUCGAGGAGGUGGAGGAAAUACCUUUGGAAUCGUUAUUUCAUGGAAGAUUAACUUGGUACCAGUUCCAGCUACUGUCACUGUAUUUACGGUGGAAAAAACCUUGAAACAAAAUGCAACUCAACUUGUCAAUGGGUGGCAAUAUAUAGCAGAAAAGCUUCAUGAAGAUCUAUUCAUUAGAGUAAUUAUAGAGAGAGUUAAUUCAACCAGUCAACAAGGAAAAACAACAGUACGAGCAGCAUUUAACUCCUUGUUUCUCGGUGGAGUCGACAGGCUUCUUCCUUUGAUGCAAGAGAGCUUCCCUGAACUAGGUUUGGUGAGAGAAGAUUGCAUCAACAUGAGCUGGAUCGAGUCCAUCCUCUACUUUGCUGGAUUUUCAAAUUCACCCUUGGAUAUUUUGCUUAGCAGAACUCAGCCAUCCGUGAGGAAUUUCAAAGCAAAAUCCGAUUAUGUCAAAGAACCAAUGCCUGAAACUGCACUGGAAGGCAUAUGGGAGAGGCUCUCCGAAAUGGAUGUCGGUGCAGGUCAACUGAUAUUUAGCCCGUACGGAGGAAGAAUGAGCGAGAUUUCAGAAUCCAGCAUUCCAUUUCCACACAGGGCUGGAAAUCUGUACAAGAUUCAGCACCUGGCGUAUUGGGACGAGGAAGGAAUUGUAGCAACAAGAAAGCAUAUAAGCUGGAUCAGAAGGCUCUACAGUUUCUUGGCUCCCUAUGUUUCAAAGAAUCCAAGAGCAGCAUAUAUCAACUACAGGGAUCUUGACAUUGGGAUAAACAACUUGGGCAACACAAGUUACAAGCAAGCAAGCAUUUGGGGAAUAAAGUAUUUCAAGAUUAACUUCGACAGGCUGGUGCAUGUCAAGACUACAGUUGAUCCUGCCAACUUUUUCAGGAACGAACAGAGCAUCCAGCCUCUCUCUUCUUGGUAAAAUUAGAUAUUAGAUGGAUAAUUUGAUUAGCUAAAAGAAUUGAUAAUAAGGAUGUUUGUAUUCUCUACACUGGGUCAUCCAUGCAUUUAGGGUCUCUUAAGUUGGUAUGUUUUUGUGUGGAAUUGGGUUAUUCCAUGCAUAAUCAAAUAAAGUUAUACUGUAAAAAAAAAGAAAAAAAGAUUAACGUGCAUGUUAAAUAUAUUCAUUGUGUAAAAAUAAAAAUUCAUUUUGUAACUUCUGAUAUUGCCAAUAGAGGAUUUUUCUUUUUAGGAAUUUACACGGAUUAUAUUAUUUUUUAUAAUCAUGAUAUUUUUACGUAUUUUUCUCUUCUACAAUUUUACGUUUUUUCUUUAACAUUUAUGCCUGAUAUAUGUGCGAGGAGAGGGAUUUUUCUGAAAUGGAAAAAUCCUGUUAGUUCCAUAAAUGAAAAUUAAUGCUAUAAUGAAAUCUGGUUUUUAAUAUUUUGUUUUAAAGAAUUAAUUAUAAUCAAAACUAAUUAACACUAGUCUAGCCUCAUUAAUAAUAAAAAAUAUAAUAAUUGAUACAAAUUUAAGUCGAAAGACAUAUUUUCAUAUAUAAAUAAGGUUAAAUUAAAUUUAAAAUUACAAAAUUAUCUUUAAUCAAUAGAAUUUACACAGCACACGAUUAAUUUGAGAAAGUAAGAAAAAAUAAUUAGUAAUGAGGACUGAUUAGUUAAAUUUCUUUUAAUCUUCGAAAUCCUCACUGAUAAUACUAAUUUGCUAAGAUGUCCUUAAAAUCUUAAUAUUUUAUUUUUAUUAGUAUAUGAAUAUUGUCUAGCCAUGUUGAAUUAGUAAUUUCAAACAGUUGAUGCUUCAUUUAAAAUUUAUUGCUUCUACUGAGUCAUCUAAUGAAAUUUUUGCAUAAUUUGUUAUUGUCUGAUUUAGUAUAUUGAGAUUCGUAAAAAAAAAUUAGUAUUUGUACAAGCAUUGAGGCUUUUUUUUCUCUAUAAUACGAUAGCUACGUAAAUUAAAAUAGAAAUAAAAAUAAGAUGCAAUAUUAAAAUAAAAUAAUUUAAGAGGAACAAAAUAACUCAAAUAUAAUUAAUAAAAAAUAAAUUAGCACGUCUAAACAAUACCUUGAAACAUUUCAUAUGUUCCAAAAUAUUAAAUUGAUAAACUAUCUUUUAAAAAUAAUAUCAAAUAAAAUAAAAAUUUAUAUUAUUACAACAAAUAAUAAGAAUUUAACCAUAUUCAAUAUAUAUAUUUCCAUAAAAGCAACUUUAAAUAAUCUAUUUUCUUUUUCUUCAAUAAUACAUAUACAUAAUAAAGUUGAAAAAAGAAAUAUAAAUGAUAUUGACAAGUUGAUUUGCAUUUAUUCUUUUGUAUGAAGAAAAAAAUUAAUCCAAAAAAAUACAUUAUAUAAACAUGAAGAAAAAGAAAUUAAAUUUAAGUGCUUUUUGUAAUGUAGAAGUAGUUACUUUGAAUGAUUUUGUUGAUAUUUUUUUCUAUUUGGUUGAUUUUUAGAGAAAUAUAUAUAUAUAUAUAUAUAUAUAUAUAUAUAUAUAUAUAUAUAUAUAUAUAUAUAUAUAAUAUUAAUUUCUAAGAUUUAUAAUUUUUUGAUACAUAUGCUUAAUUUCUGACACAUAAAAUUUUUAUUUUGACAUGUUUACUUACUUAUGACAUAUGAAAUUCAAGCUUAGGUGUAAUUUUUAGUUUUUUAUUAAUUUACUGAUUCAUAAAUUAUAUUCAUAAUUAAAUACUAACUCUAAUACUAAAAAAAAUAUAUUAAUUAUAUUUUAAUAUUAUAUUCAAUAAUAAAUAGUUUCAUAAUCAAAUAAUGAUACUGAUUCUAUCCUAAGAAAUAACAUAUUAAGUAUAUUUUAAUUUUAUAUUAACUAAUAAAUUAGUUUUAUAAUUAGAUAAUAAUUCUAAUUCUAGAAAAUAACAUCUUAAAUUAUAUUUUUAAUAUUAUACUCAAUAAUAAAUUAUUUUUUAAUUAUAUAAUAAAUUUCUAGAAAAUCAUAAUAUCAAUUAUUAAUUUAUAUAAUAUUAAAAUUAAUUAAUAGAUAAUUUUUAAAAUAAUUUUAUAUUCUUGCAUUAAUAAAAUUUAAAACUUUGAAAAUAUUAAGAACAUUUAAAAAUAGUUAGCUUGCUACUUUUCAAAAAUUUUAUAAUUAAUAUUAAAUAUUGAUAAUUUUAUUAAAUUAUAUCUAUCAACUUGAUUUUAUAAUUAAAAUAAUAACCACAACCGUGCAACAUAUGGGUAAACUACUAGUUGUCUUUAAUUUCUUUUCUUGAACUGUUAUUCUUUUUCUUUGGAUUCCAACUUCUUUUUUUUAUCUUUCUCAUUUUAGUUCUUUUUAUUAUAUAAAAUAAAAAAUAUUAUCAUCUUGACUUUUUUAAAAUUUAUUGAAUUUUAUUUUAAAAAAACUCACCUUUUUCAAAAUUUAUUAUAAGAAAUUAUUUUGAUUUAUAGAUACAUAUAUUUGUGAUUUGAAGUCUUCUGAUUAAAAUAGAAGUGGAAGUGCAUGUGAAAUGGACUAGAAUUGUUAAAACUGUAUUUUUAUAAAAAAAAUAUUUUAUUUUUUUUUAAACCAACAAAAGUUUUUAUCUUCAAAGGAAAUUCUUGUGAGUUUUUAUUUUGAUUGUAAAAAUGUUAUUCACUUCGUAAAAACAAUUUUUGUGACUCUCCUUUGUAUAAACAAUUUUUCUUGGAUCUAUGGCUACACUCUCUGUCCUUUUAAUACAAAUUUAAUUUCUCAUAAAAUAGAUUUAUUUAUAUUUAUAUGGCCUAAUUACAUGAAGUUUUUUAAUUUUGGACGUUUUAAUAAUUUUAAUCAGUACUAUUAAUAUUAUUAUAGAAAGCAUUAAAUUUUGAUUUUUUUUUUCUAAAAUACUACCCGACUACUAAAAAUGGUAGUUUUUGCUGACUAUAUCAUUUUUUAAUUGAAAAGAAAAUACAAAAAGAGAUGAGUCAACAAUAGAUGCUGACUCAAUUGGUCUUACUCCUUUAGUGCUAUUUUCUCAUCCUUCAACAAUAGCUACUCCUCUUACUCUCCUGACCUUAACCUUAGCCCUACCACUACCCUUUAUUCCAACUUCCAUUUCUUUCCUUCUAGAUCUUGCUUUUUGCCUUCUUUUUUUGCUCACAACACUAUAACUGCUAUGGCUCUUGCUCUUGUCCCUUAUGUUACUUUCCUCUUUGACCUCAGUGAUGCCUUCCUCCUUGACCUCGACAAUGCUUUCGUUGUUGCUAUUCUGACUCAUGGUGUGAUGAUUUCUUACAUCCUCAAUUCUUUCAACUUUAAGUCAGGUGCAAUCUUCAGUGUUUGGUUCUCUCUAAUCAUUACACAGAUUGUUUUUUUUAGCUUAUCCCUUAUCAACAAUUUAUAUUUUGUUUCUCUUGGUCUCUUGCAAUUAUGCCUAUGCUAAUUUUUAAUCAAUGUAUGGAAUUUUCUCCAAUUCAAGUGGAUUUAGCUUGAAAACCCUACCAUUGUGCUCGCUCUCGAGCAUCUCUUGUUCACUUGCCACCUUUCGUCGCUUCCUCCCUUUUCACAUGGGCUUGAAUCUCUACAAUUGAAAUGAAUAACGCUUGUUAUUAUCUCAUGAUCUUCAAUUGCAUCUUUUAUUGGCUAUUUGCGAUUCUUAGAGUUUCUUCCUUUAAAUCUAAACAGGAAGCUAAAUAUUACAGAGGAGAAGUUCAUGAUGAUAACUUCAAUGGUGUUAUUGAAAUAGCUAAUUCCUUAAGCUUAAGACUUAAGAGUUUACCAAGUCAUGCAUGCCGUUACUUGGUCUUUCAAUUCUAUUUAAUAACCAUUUUGUUCAGGGAUUAGUUUAGAGUUUGUUUUUCAAUUAAACAUGUUCGCUGCUUCUUAGGAAUUUCUAUUGAAUGUAUGGCUACAUAAGCCAAGGCUGUUGAAUAAAAUAGGAAUACUUUUCCCAUUUUAAAUCCAGUUGUUUAGUAUUGAGUUACAUAUUGUUCUUAACAUUAUCAAUUGGUAUCAGAGGCAUUACUAGGGGCUGAAUGAAAAAAAAAAGUUGCAGUUUUUAAAGAAAUGGGUGAAGAGAAGAUGAAGCUCCCUCACUUCGAUGGUCAUUACAACCACUGAAGCGAGUUGAUGGAGAACAUGCUGAGAGCCAAAGGACUAUGGAGCAUAGUGGAGAAUGAUUUCGAAGAGCCAUCUGCUGGAACGUUGCUAACUGAAGCACAGAGGGAGCAUCUUGAAACUGCCAGAGUUAUGGAUCACAAGGUAAAGCAUUACCUUUAUCAAGCUAUUGAUAGAGUAACCUUUGAGUAGAUUCUCGACAGACGUACAACCAAAAUAGUGUGGGAUUCCAUGAAGAGCAAGUUUGAAGGAAAUGCUCGUGUGAAGAAGUCACUCCUUCAAAGAUUGAGGAGAGACUUUGAGGUGCUGGAGAUGAAGUCUAGUGAAAGUAUUAUUGAAUACAUUGUAAGAGUUAUGGCAAUAACCAACCAAAUGAGAAGCAAUGGGGAGCAAAUGCCAGACUCAAAAGUGGUAGAUAAGGCUCUAAGGACACUCACACAGAAGUUAACGUAUAUUGUGGUGUCUAUAGAAGAACCUAAAGAUAUUGAGGACAUCUCAAUAGAUGAAUUACAAAGUUCUCUUGUAGUUCAUGAACAAAAAUUCAAGCGACAUGAUCAAGGAGAGGAUCAAGCACUAAAAGUAAGCAAUGAAGAUAGGACAGCAGUUAGGGGCAGAGGAAGGGCAAGUCUAAGAGGCCGAGGAGGUGGAAGAAGCAGGCAAACAUUCAACAAAGCAACUGUGGAGUGCUUCAAGUGUCACAACAUUGGACACUACCAAUAUGAAUGUCCAAAGUGGAAUAAACAAGCCUACUAUGCGGAGCUAGAGGAGGAGGAGGAACUACUAUUAAUGGCCUAUGUUGAGGAAUUAGAGGCAAAAAGAAAUGAUGUCUGUUCCUAGAUUCCGGCUGUUCCAAUCAUAUGAGCGGAGAUAAAAGUAUGUUUACAAACUUAAAUGAAAAAUUCAAGCAUUCAGUUAAGCUUGGAAACAAUACUAGAAUGGAAGUAGCCGGAAAAGGAUGUGUCAAGCUACCCUUGAACGGAGUGGUGUCGGUAGUCACUGAGGUUUACUACGUCCCUGAACUUAAGAACAACCUCUUAAGUAUAGGACAACUUUAAGAGAAAGGGUUGGCUAUUCUGAUUCAAGGAGGUAUGUGCAAAAUUUAUCAUCAUGAGAAAGGACUAUUGAUAGAAAGUAAGAUGAGUGUCAAUAGAAUGUUUGUACUCUUAACCAAAUCUAGACCAAAUUCAUGAACUGAUAAUUGCUUGCAAUUAAGCUGUGUAAAUUUGUCUCAAUUAUAGCAUGAGAGAUAUGGGGACUUAAGCUACAGAGGCUUGAAAACACUUCAAGAGAAGAAAAUGGUGAUAGGUUUGCCGCAACUUGAGGACCCAAAUAAGGCCUGUAUCGAUUGCUUUGCAGGGAAGCAACAAAGAAAGGCAAUCCCGAAACAGAGCACAUGGAGAGCAAAUGAGGUUUUAGGGUUGAUUCAUUCAGACAUCUGUGGACCGAUCAGCCCAAUCUCCAACAGCAGUAAGAAAUAUACUUUAUGCUUUAUUGAUGAUUUUAGCCGUAAAACAUCGGUAUACUUGUUGAAAGAUCUGAGGCACUAAGCUACUUCAAGAUUUUCAAAUGUUUUGUUGAAAAUGAGGCAGGAAAGCAGAUUAAGAGCUUCAGGACUGAUAGAGGUGGUGAAUUCACCUCACAUGAGUUUAAUAAUUUCUGUAAGGAGCAUGGUAUUCAAAGGCAACUCACCAUUGCUUUCACACCACAACAAAACAGCGUAGCUGAACGCAAGAAUCGGACAGUGAUGAACAUGGUGAGAUCGAUGCUCAUAGCAAAGAAGGCUCCAAAACCUUUUGGCCAGAAGCUGUAAAUUGGACAUUUCAUGUCCUCAACAGAUGCCCUACCUUGGCAGUUAGAGACAUGACACCUCAAGAAGCAUGGAACGAAGUAAAGCCUUCGGGAUUUUCGAGUUUGGGGAUGCCUUGCUCAUGUACACAUAAAGUUUCAUUUGUAUACUGUUGGGUUUGAGUGAGGAGUCUAAAGGGUAUAGGUUGUUUGAUCCCAAAACAAAAAGAGUCAUUGUUAGUAAGGAUGUUGAGUUUAAAGAAAAUAAACAGUGGGAAUGGGGAGAGAAUUAUGAAAAACAAAUAGGGGCUGAUCUUGUAUGUAGUGAUGAUGAAGAUGAGGGAGAUGAUCUGAGCGAGUACGAUAUAGGUACCACAAAUGAGAAUAGAUUAGAAAAGGAAGGAAUUGAAGAGCCUGUAAAUGUAACUAACAAUACAGGAGAUGUAACUAACAAUACAGGAGCAAGGGAAGGCAGAAUUAGAAGACCUCCAAUUUACCUUAGUGACUAUAUCACUAAUAAUGAACACUCAGAAGAAGAGGCUGAGCUGAACAUAGCAGAAAUUGAAACAAAUGAUCCAUCAACAUUCGAGGAAGCAAUGAUGAAUAAACAAUGGAGAUUAGCCAUGGAUGCAAUCAAAAGAAACCAAACAUGGGAGUUAACCAGCCUGCCAAAAGGAGCUAAAUGCAUUGGAGUCAAAUGGAUCUACAAGAACAAAUUCAAUGAACUCGGAGAAGUAGACAAGCUCAAGGCACGAUUAGUGGCAAAAGGAUACUCUCAAAAGCAUGGGGUGGACUAUACAGAGGUAUAUGCACCAGUCGCAAGAAUGGAUACGGUGAGGAUCAUAAUUGCCAUGGCUGCUCAAAAUGGUUGGGAAAUUUAUCAACUCGAUGUCAAAUUUGCAUUUUUACAUGGAGAAUUACAAGAUGAUGUGUAUGUGCAGCAACCAAAGGGAUAUGUGAUUAAGGGAAGUGAGCAAAAGGUCUACAAGCUGUACAAAGCAUUAUACGGUCUAAAACAAGCACCACAGACAUGGUUCAGUCGUAUCGAGACAUACUUUAUCCAUGAAGGCUUUCAAAAGAGUCAAAAUGAACAAACCUUGUUCAUAAAAAGGAGCAAAGAAGGUAAAGUACUCAUUAUUAGUGUUUAUGUAGAUGAUAUAAUCUAUACUAGUAAUGAUGCUUUAAUGAUGCAAGAGUUCAAAAGUUCUAUGCAAAGAGAAUUCGACAUGUCUGAUCUUGGAAAGAUGAGAUUCUUUCUCGAGAUAGAAGUGAUGCAAACUUUGUAUGGUAUUCAUAUCUCACAAUGCAAGUAUGCAACAGAAGUUUUGAGACGGUUUGGUAUGGAAGAUUGCAAUGCAGUGUGUAAUCCAAUUGUUCCAAGUAGCAAGAUGGAUAAAGAUGAAGAUGGAGAAAAGGGGGAUGAAACACUUUAUAAGCAGAUUAUUGGAAGUCUUACGAACAUCACCACCACACGACCUAAAUUACAAUUUGUUAUAAGUUUGAUGAGUCGCUAUAUGUCUAGGCCUACCAAACUGCAUUUUCAGGCAGCCAAAAGAGUGUUUAGAUACUUAAAGGGAACAUUAGACUAUGGUAUUUGGUAUAAACGAGGAGGAGGAGCUGAACUAAAAGUGUUCACAUAUAGUGAUUACGCAGGAGAUGUUGAUAGAAGAAGAAGCACUUCAAGUUAUACAUUCAUGAUGAGUGAAGGAGUAGUAGCAUGGUCAUCAAAGAAGCAAGCAAUGGUCACCCUUUCAACCACAGAGGCAGAGUAUAUUGCUGCUACUACGUGUGCAUGUCAAGUAAUCUGGAUGAGAAGAGUUCUACAAGAACUGGGAUAUAUAUUGGAAGAUAACACAAAAACCAUUUUGUGUGAUAACACUUUAGCCAUCAAGUUAUCCAAGAAUCAAGUUUUUCACAAGAGAAGCAAGCACAUUGAUGUACGAUAACACUUCUUGCGAGAUCUCGUCAAUGAUGGAGUUAUAAAGAUAGAGCAUUGUGAUACACAGGAUUAAUUGGCUGACAUUCUUACAAAACCUUUGAAGAAGGACUCAUUUCAGAAGCUUCGAGCAAUACUUGGUGUAUGUCCAGCAGUAGAUAAACUAACUUACGAAAGUAAGUGUAGUUUAAGGGAGAGAAUGAAAUAGCUAAUUCCUUAAGCUUAGGACUUAAGAGUUUACCAAGUCAUGCAUGCCAUUACUUGGUCUUUCAAUUCUAUUUAAUAACCCUUUUGUUCAAGGAUUAGUUUAAAGUUUGUUUUUCAAUUAAACACGUUCGCUGCUUCUUAGGAAUUUUUGUUGAAUGUAUGGCUAUAUAAGCCAAGGCUGUUGAAUAAAAUAGGAAUACUUUUCCCAUUUCAAAUCCAGUUGUUUAGUAUUGAGUUACAUAUUGUUCUCAACAUUACCAGUUAUUGCUUUGGUUAUCGUUGUGCUCUGUCUGGAGGUUAGAGUUAUUUACUAUUCCUUUGGGCGGUAUAUUGGGUUCCUCUCCUUUUGAAUUAUCUUCUGUUCACAUUGACUAUACUUGGAGAGGCUGAUGAAGCUGGUGCUUAUGCCCUUGGUUUGAUUUUUGAUGCUUUAAUCUCCAUUGCUUUUAUUGUUUUGGCUGUCAUUGUUAAUGCUACUAGAGCUACCAUUAUGGGAUUAGCCAUUAUGAGAUAUUAACUUAGUUUACAUCUUUCAAUUGCUCAUAGUAGAUGAGUCAGCAUUUAUUGCUGACUUAUUUUUUUAUUUUUCUUUUCUUUUAAUUAAAAAAAUUAUACAAUCAGCCAAAACCACCAUUUUUGGUGGUCGGAUAGUAUUUUAGAAAGAAAAUCAAAAUUUAGUGCUUUCUAUGAUAACAUUGAUAGUACUAGUUAAAAUUGUUAAAAACAUCCAAAAUCAAAAAAAAAGAAUUAAAUAAUAAUAACAGACUUUGAACAUAAACAUAUAAACAAUCUUUGAAAGCUUUAAAUAAACAUACAACUUUGUAAGACUUUGAAACAGAAGAAAAUAUAGACUUACAGGAGGAGUUACAAGAUUCUCUCUCUCUUACUCACUCUCUUUUACUCUAAUCUCUUCUGUGAGAUUUAGACUCAGGAAGAGCUUUCUUCUCUCUUCUAAAUUCUAAGUUCUAAAUUCUAGUAAAGCUGAGAGCUGUGGUCCAGACUUGUCUAGAAAGUUAUUUUGGUUUAGAUUAAAAUGAAUUUAGAACCUUUCUUCUGUAGAUCUUCUUCUUUCUCAAAUUCUUCUGCCUCUGAAUCAUCGAGGUACAAAGGUCUAGUAAAUAGUGAAGAAAUCACUAUUGAAGAUUUUUCAAAGCAUAUAGACGAUUGGGAAAUACCCAAAGUCCAAAAGAAACAAAUUUAUGAGUUUUCAAAGUUCCCUCUCUUCAAGACUGAUUUUACAAUCAAGACUGAAGAAAGAGAUAUCCAAAUUUCAAAACCUUUUGAAGAGAUUUAUCUCUUAAAUCCAAAGACCCUCCAAAAGCAUAUGGAAAAGGAUUAUAAGUAUAUCCACAUAGGUCUAGUCCAGGUAGGUAUUAAGCCCCUUACCAGAGAAGGUCUAGAUACUUCCAUAUUAGCCGUUCUUAGGGAUGCUAGGUUUACAAAUUUCUAUGAUUCCCUGUUAGGUACUGUUGAGUCGAGCCUCAAUAAAGGACCUAUUUCUUUCAAUUGUUUUCCAAAUAUCACGAUUUCUUUAAACGAUAAAAAUGUUUUAAAGAGCAUCGUUCUUCAAAUCAAAACUCACAAUUACAAAAUGCUUGAAGGAUCUAUUCCGAUAGCAUUGAUUUUCAAAAUUCAUUACAAAGCUAUGAUUUCUGCCUUUGGUUCCAAACACAAACUUCACUCACCAAAAGGAGAAACACUGUUCCUACAAACAGAUCUAUCCAAAUCCAACGCAACCAUUCCAAAGACCAUUCAAUGGAAAGACAUAACACUUCCAGAAGAAUGGAUCCUUGAAGGUGCAACCCGACCUACUUCUCCAAAGCAAACAGAACCAAACACAAACCUCAAACACAUAGCCCAAUAUCCAGAUGGAAAGGUAAAGAUCACAUUCAACAGAAAGUCAACUUCCUCUAGAUUUUCUGAUGAUGGUUCUUCAACCUCGACCAUAGAUAUUGGAAGGGUAUCCAAAAUUCCUUCUGUUAUCUAUGCCCCUUACAAAGAACCAAUUCCAUCCCAAACACAACCCAGAUUUUCAACAUAUGAUAUUCCAAAAACACUCCAGAAUGUUGAUUACCAAAGCAACAUCCCCAGACCAGUCUACACUGAUCCAAAGAAUGAUGACGAAGAUAUAGAGAUAACCUCUAUCCCAUCUUCACCAUCACCAUCAGCCAUUACCCAAAACCUUGAAGCAGAGAUCAACAUGAUUUCAAAAGAGUUUGAAAUUGAUAAAAAACUCUUGCAUGAAGAUUUCUAUUCAAAGAAAAACCAUCUUAAGAAACUUUGGUUUUUUAAGAAUUUUUUAAAAGAAAAAGAUAGUAUUUAGGAAAAAUACUAUCAAUUUUGCAUUCAAAACAAAGCCCAAAUCAAAUUUUUUGAUUGGUUUCAAAUUUAUUGCAAAGAGCAUGGUCACUCAUAUCCUUUUAAAGAUAAGAGUAUUAGUCCUGUCACAGUGAGGAACAAAGCCCCUGAGUGGAAGGUAGGAGAAAACCUAACUGUCCAGUCUGAACAUCCUCCCCUUAGGAAGAUAACCAUUCCUUAUGGAGAGAGUGAGAUAGAGGCAACACCUUACAAAUUGGUAGGCGAAGACCUUGAAAAGAAUGUCAAGAAUAUUGUUCAACAGAACAAUUAUUCGAACACCUGCCUAAACACUAUAGGAAAACAACUGGUUAGAAUAGAAAACCAGAUUCAAAAGCCCCCUAUAGUGGUGACAUCUCCAAUCCCUAGUACUGGUCAACCAAAAGAGUCGAACCAGUCAGAGAAGCUUAAAAACCCAGUUUUUAAGCCAUAUCAGCUUACAAAGCCGAGCCAAGACCAUUUCCAAAAGCAAACUGAGUUUGCCAAAGCAGUCAGAGAACAACUGAGUAGAUUAGCAAUCUCUGAGUCGUCCAAAAAUCUAGUACCAGAUACUCCUCAAAGCAGUAGGAAUAUCAGUGCAAUAGGACAAGCCCAAAGCGAUGAGUCAAGUGAUUCAGAGCUUGAAAGCCCCAUUCCAAAACCCUUCAAUAUCAACAGAUUGGGAAUCCAAGCCCCUAGAUUGACCUGGAAUACUCCUAGGAGUACUGCUCCAGAUCUAGGAAAUAGAAGGAAAUAAUAAGCAAUGGAGAUUUAGAUCUAAGUUCGUGGCGUUGUAACCAGAUUCACGCUUUAAGCAGCCUGUAGGAGCUUUAAAUGCUCUUGCAGAAUCUGUUUUCCAGCCUAUAAACUUAUAAAUCUGAAGAUAAAUUUAAACAGAAGCAAUCAGCAAGUUUCUGAUGUGCAGGAUCCUCUUACGAGACAAGCACAGAGCAUACGCUUGAUGAUGAGGAAAGAAGAAGAAGAUAGAUAAAGAAGAUAAACUUUGAAUUGCUUUAUUAAUAAUAAUAACAGACUUUGAACAUAAACAUAUAAACAAUCUUUGAAAGCUUUAAAUAAACAUACAACUUUGUAAGACUUUGAAACAGAAGAAAAUAUAGACUUACAGGAGGAGUUACAAGAUUCUCUCUCUCUUACUCACUCUCUUUUACUCUAAUCUCUUCUGUGAGAUUUAGACUCAGGAAGAGCUUUCUUCUCUCUUCUAAAUUCUAAGUUCUAAAUUCUGAGGGAUGAAGAAGGAGGACUCCUCUAUAUAUAGAGGUCUUGGAGCUUUGGAUACUUGUCACGGGCUUUGGAUGCUUUGUUUAGUGGAGUAGAAAUGAUUCCACUUGUCUUUGGAGUCUUGUGGAGAUUCUUCACAUGCUUUGGAGUCUUUUGAUAAUGCCAACCGCCUUUUGAGAAAGUUGUCGGCCAUGCUUUGAAAGAAUCUUUUGCUUUUUUUACUUUUGUUUUUUCUUUUGUCUUUUCUUUUCUUUUCUUUUUCUUUUUCUUUUUUCUUUUCUUUUCUUUUUCUUUUUCUUUUUCUUUUUCUUUUUCUUUUCUUUUUGUGGGCUUUAGUGUGGGCUUUUUGCUUAUUUGAAAAAUCGUUUUCAUAUGGCAAAUCUACCAUAUGUUGCUUUCGACUCCAAAAAGCAUUUGGAAGAUCAGAACAGAGUUCAUUCUCAAUCUUCAUUUGAAAAUCAGAAAUUUUUCUUUGAAUAAAAUCAUUUUGCAGUUGAUCUAGGAUUCUCUUCAAACCCACAUCUUGUUGAAGAUGAGAAAGAUGGGUCUGUUUUCCUUUGAUCAAAGCAUUGAUUUCAAAAUUGUAAAUGGAAUAGGCUUUGAUAAGAUUCAAAUUUCUCUUUUUUGGUUUUUCUAGAAAAGGAAAAACAAUCUUUGAAUCUUUAGCUUUGAAAAUGAUUCCAGCAGUUGUUACUUUAAAGGGAGUUAUCAAAUUGAUAAACGGAGUCCCUAAGAUAACAGUUUGCUGAAGAUCCUUUGUAAGAAUAAAAACAUUCUUUAAAGCAAUGUUAUUAUUAAGAAUUGCGGCUUCAGUUUUACCAGCAAUCUUAAUCUUUGAAGAAUUGGCUGAAGUCAGCCUUUCUUUGGUUUCUUGGUGAAACCUUUUAGGAACCAGUUCGCAGUUGAUACAAUUGAGGUCUGCUCCUGUAUCAAACAAGGCGAUGGUUUCUAUCUGAAAAUCACCAGGGAAAACAAUCUUUAUUUGAAUCAAAUAUUUUCUUGAAGUAAUUUCCUUUAAAACAUUGAUAAAGUUUUCAGGAACAUUUUCAGGAACUUCAAGGUUUUGAAAAUCAUUUUCCUCAUCAGAAUCAAAAUCACUAUUCUGCUUGAGGAUCAGGCUUUGAAGCAAAACAGAAUCAUUUUGUUGUUUUUCUUUCAACUCUUUGAGUUCUGUUUUGAUGGUUUUAAUCUCCUUCUGGAGUUCCUGAACAGUAGGAAGAGGGUUUUUCAACUUCUUUCCUUUGUCCAAAAUCAUAGUAAGAUCAUAAUUAUUCUUACUAGAUGAAGGAACCAGAGAUUCAGUUUUUAAAAUUUCUUUUAAAACUUGCUUUUGAAUAAGAGGAUCACUAAUAUGCUUUACAGCUUCAAGAAGAGCUUCUUGUUGCCUAGUGAGCAUAUUAAUGUUCUUUGAAGAGCUCUCUGAAUCUGUCUCAGAACAAUCAGUUGAGGUUUUGAUUUCAUCAAUUUGAAAUUCUUCCUCACUGUUUGAGAACUCUGAUUCAGAUGAAUCAACUAGAAGAGCAGAAAUCUUUUGCAAAACUUCUUCUUCUAUUUGAAGCUCAUGGAGUCUUUUGGAAAACUUACAAUACUUCGAAGUAUGGCCUUUCUUACCACAUUUGAAGCAUGUAAUUUUUGAAAAAUCCUUUUUUGAAUCAUUCUUUGGAAAUUUAGGAUGAAAUUUGGAAGAAGAUGGUUUUUUAUAGAAAUUCUCCUCGCUUUUAGAAGGCUUUCUAUAUUUUGAAAAUCGUUUCUUUUUGAAAGAUUUUGGAUAAGAAUCAACUUUGCAUUUCCCUUUGCAACUAGACACGGGCUCUAUUGGGUUAUAUUCAAACUGGUUACAGAAACUACCUAGUUCCUGCCUAGUCUUUUUCAUUUCCCAUUUGAGCUGUCUUUGAAGCUUAAGGUCAUGACAAAUCUUUAAACCUUCUUUCUGGGUUAGACUAACUAACUCACCAUAAGUGUAGAAAUCAUAAGGGAUUUGACCGUUAUGGGCUUCUCUUAUGGUAUUCCUAACUCUUUCACCUAGAAUCUUAGGUAAACCGGCUAAGAAUUUUUCUUUCCAGAAAGGUUGGCUAGAAUCUUCCCUAAGCAUGACUCUGGUUAGGAAAGUGUCUUUGUAACUUUGGAAGUUGCUAAGCUUCUUACAGGUAAGAUUGCUAAGGAGCUCGGCAUUCUGAAGAUAAAUUUAAACAGAAGCAAUCAGCAAGUUUCUGAUGUGCAGGAUCCUCUUACGAGGCAAGCACAGAGCAUACGCUUGAUGAUGAGGAAAGAAGAAGAAGAUAGAUAAAGAAGAUAAACUUUGAAUUGCUUCAUCUUUUCAAAGUUUGACAUGAAAUCAGGAUUUUGGCAAAUCCAGAUUGAUCCAAAAGAUCGUUACAAAACGGCAUUUACAGUCCCAUUCGGCCAAUAUGAGUGGAAAUUUUUCAAAGUUGAAUUCUUGUAAUUUUUAUAUUAAUUUAAAAUAUUCAUUUCAAUUGACUCAUAUUUUAUUUUAUUUAUAAAUAUUUUUAAUUAUGUAAGAUUUUCUUUAAAAUAGUAAAUCUCAUAACAUAUUAAAGAUAUUUCAUUAUAAAAUACAAAAUUUUGAUUUUAGUCGAUUCCGAUAAAAGAUUUCUUAUUCAAAAUCAAAUCGAAAUAAAAUAAUAAAAUUUUAAAAUUCUUAAAUAGAACUUAACUAAAUGUGAGAAAUAAUUAAGUGAAUUUGAUUCCAACUUAUAAUCGAUUUAAUUUAUAUUUUUAAUUUCGAUUCGAUUUUACUCACUAUUAAAUUUCAUCAAACGAUAAUAAAAAGAACUGACUUAUGCACAUGACAUUUAUUUAUAAAAUAAUAUAUAUAUAUAUAUAUAUAUAUAUAUAUAUAACAUGAAAGCUCAUUAUAAGAUAGCAGCAGACAAUUUUUGGAUUGACUAGUUUUAACUCAGACACCACGGAUAGAUACUAGUAAUGUUUUAGUCAUUAUUAUCCGAGUCAUCAUACAAAAAAUAUAAUAUAUUAUUAUAAUAUUGUAGCAUGAGAAGAUAUAUAAAAUUCUUCACAUAAGAACUCUGAUAUGUGGUUAACUUAUAAAACAUGCAAAUUAUUCACCAAAAUAGCACGUUAACUGAGUAAACAACAUAUAUAAUCGUUGGUCAAGAAUUCUAAGCAUUUGAAUGCCUUACGUUUUGCAAACCAAUAAAAAAUAUAUUUCAGUAAUGAACAAUCAUUGUUGGAUGCCAAAUCUUGAAAAGAUUGCUAUGCCAAAGUAAAGAAGUUCAAAUAUUAUUUGGUGUCAGGGAUUUAGGAUAAGCAUUUUAGGUAUCUCAGUUUCAACCUCUAUAAUCAGUUUUUAUACAAAUCAUGAUUGAAUGCGUGUGUAUAUAUACAUGAUGGUUGAAAUAUUACUUUAAAAAAUCAACAAUUAGUAAUUUGACGUAGUAUUCGCAUUCUUAAUCCGACAGUCAAGAUUUUAAAUUUAAAUUUUUUUUUUUCUAUUUGUAUUAAAAAUGCAAUUGAAUAUCAUUAAUGACAUGUUAAUAAUGACACGUUAAUUAUAAAUAGCAUGUGAAUUAUAUAUUAAUAUAAAUUACAAAACAUUUGUUUUCUUAUAUAUCUUUUCUAACCGGAUAAAGAGCAGUAUUUUCCUCCACUAUAAUCUUUUAUUAAGUAUUAGAAUAAUCGAGUGAAAAAUAAGUUUAUGCAAGUAGUGAUAAACUAUUAAUUUAGUUUCUAGAAAAUUUUUAUCUAAAUCUUAUAUUAAUAUUUUAUGUUUUCGUAUUGAAUGACUGAUGCAUACUCCAUCACUUAAAUUAAUGAAUAUAUUUUAAUUAUCUAUCAGUAUAAUAUAUAAAUAGAAAUAUAUCUUAGAAACAACAGAAAUUAAAAUAUAUUAUAAAUUUUCUGAAAGUUUUAUAUGUGUUUUUUGUGGCAACUUUUCUCCUUCGCAGCCCUUUUCUUCUGCUGGCUCUGUAUCCUCAUUUUCCUUUCUUUCUCUUGCAUUUCAUUUUCCAGGCUUUCCCUCUUCCCAAACAGACUGUCAGAUGAGUUGCGAAUUUAUUUGUUUUCUCUUCUGGGGUGUAUAGUCGUGAGUACAAGUUUGAGAUAUUCAUAUACGUUAAUGGAAUUUCAUAUGUUUCUAUGGGAAAAAAUAUAUAUAUGCCCACCAAGAAAGACCAAAGUUAAAAAAUCAGGACUGUUCUCAAAAUAAAAUAAGAAAAGGAAAAAUAUAUCCCAAUUUUGAUACAUUCUUAUUGGCUAAUGGAACUGUGCAGCACAUGCAUUCUUAAAGAUUAAACACAAUGUCAUUUAAAUUUAAUUUCAAUUUCAAAUCGGAUUCUGGCAAUAAAUUGUGUUCUAUUCUUUUAAACUUAAUAUUAAAUCAACUUAUAUAAUUCACUUUUAUAUAUAUAUAUAAUACAUAUUUUAAGAUCUUAUUAAUAAGAUAAAUAUAAAAACUAUUUUAAAUAUUCUUAAUUGAUUUAUUAAUUAUAUACGAAAUUAAUAAUAUAUAUAUAUAUAUAUAUAUAUAUAUAUAUAUAUAUACUAUUCUUUAAGAUCAGAAAUCAUUAUAUAACUAAUCUUCUAAUUAAUAUAGAAUUAAAAAUAUUAUUAAAAUAUUAUUUUUUAGGAUUAUUAUUAUUUAGUCACAAGAAAUAACCUAUUAGUCAAUACAUUAAUUAUAUAAAUAAAUAUAAAAUUAUAUAUCAGUAAUAUUUAUGAUUAAUUAUUAAAAAUGAAGAACCUAUUAUUGUAAUAUGAUUUGAAAUAUUAAAAUAAACUCGAGAUAAAAUAACUAACUCUAAAUCUUUUCUAUAAAGUAUCUUUUAACCAUUUUGACAAUUUUGAAAACUGUAUUUUCUUGAGAUGUACAAUGUAUAUUUAUAAUUAAAACUCUUAUCAUGUAUAAUAAAAAAUUAUUAAUAUUUUAUUAUAGAUUUUUUAAUUUUAAUAAAUGAGAAUGUAGGACACAUAAUAAAACUUCUUGUAUAUAUAAAUAAAUACAUUAGUUUUAUGAUAUAUUCUAAAUAUUAUAUGUUAAGAAUUGAUGUUUGAGAAUCUAUGAUAUUGAUGAAAGCCACUACAUUGAUGGUGUAGUAUUUUACAUUUUUUAUAAGAUUAUUUAAAUUAUUAAUAAAUUAGUUAAAAAAGAUAUCUUAAAAAAUAUCAAAAAAUAUUUAUAAGGAUUAUUAUACAUAGGUCAAGUGUUUAUACAUAAAAUAUUUUAUGAAAUAUUAAAAAGAUAUUUUAAAAGAAUCAAAAAAUAUUUCAUAAAAGUUAUGAGAAUUUAAAAAGAUAUUAUUUGAACGAUAUGUCAACUUCUUUUUAACAUUAUUCACUGUUUUCGAAUGUGUUACAUCGUAAUUAAAUGUUUAUAUGUUAUCUAUAUAAUAAAUAAAUCUGUCUAAUAAAUAGAUCGUAAAGUAUAGAAUGCCAUUAGAAUAUUUUAUAUAAUGAUGUAUUUUUUCUUGUAAAACAUAUUAAAUACUAUAUACAAUUAGAUGAAACUGAUAUACGUAUGAUUGAAUGAUGCUUAUAAUUGACAUGUAAUACGUAGUACUAUAUCCUAAUCCCUUUAAUUAAUUAAUUAAUUAGUUAAAACACUUGACAAUCUUGAUCACAGUACUCCAGAAAAAAGAUUAUGAAAAUUCUUAAAUAUCAAAUAACAUUAUCAGAUUCCACUAAUAAAAAAGAAAUAACAUGAUCAGACAGUUGACUUUUUAAUAGAAGCCAAUUAAUAGUCAAAACACCCAGAAUUUGCUGCUUCCAGAAGUGUAAAGGUUAACCCUUACACUCCAUUAAUUUGUUGACAAUCCUCAUUUGGUCAAACUUGUAUCCUUUUAGCUUUUGCAGACACGAAUUGCGGGCGGCCUGUGCUUCUGCACCUGAAUCUAACGCUACCCACCAAUAACAGCCGCAGGUAUCUUCAAAACUAAUUCAGUUUGAUAUUCUAGGGUUACCUCAGUUCACAUUAUGACUGAAUUUGCUUCAUGCUACUGGGAUUAAUAUGGAUUCCUUUUUAUAAAAUCACAAAUGUACAUUUAUAAUUAAAAGAAAUUAGAGAAAAAGUAAUUUUUAAAAUGAUAAAAUGUGCGCAUUUUAUUUAUUUGACUUUUGUAUCAUAUAUGUAUAACAAAAAAGUUCGUUAACAAGUAAGGUUUUAAGUUUGGAUCUUUUCAUAGUAGCUAUAAAUUUAUAUAUAUUUUUUUUAAAAAUAAUUUUAAAGAUAAAACACCGGUUAUCGAAAAAUUGUAUUGUAAAUAAGAUCUUUUAUGGCAACGCUUGACAUAAAAUAAUAAUUUAUUAAUAUAUCCAGAAAAAUAAAAUAAAAAUUCAAUCACUGAGUUGUGAAUAAUAAUAAAAAAAGUUAACUACCAUUGAUUAUCUACCUUUAUGCAGAAUAAGAUUUUAUUUAUUUAAUUAUCAUUUCCAUAUAAAAUACUGCAUAAAAAAUCUGAUCCACAUCAUAGUUUUUCCUGCCAUCUUUCUAGUUAACCCAUGUAAAUCAUUGCUAGAGGAAAACAGUACACUUAAAAAUGGCCAACGUAUUUCAUCAGAAAAAGAAAGAAAAACGAAGAUACAGGCCAACGUAUGCAUGACAAUUGAAUAUUAGUUCCAGAUAGAAAAUCAAAUGGAGCUAUCAUAAUAAUUGAAAUGUCAAUGGCCAAUUGUGCUACGUUCUUAUUUGUACUUUGAAUUUUUCUGGUCAAAAAUUAUUGGUAGAUGACCUGCAUUAUCCUCAUUAUCUUAUUCUUUUCUACUAUAAUUCUUCAAUCCCCAUUAAUUAUAAGUCUAACAAUCUAUCACUAUAAAUCUCCAUGACCUCCUGCAAGAUUACCAAUAUCAAACACACAAAAAAGAAAAGAAAAAUGACAGCAUUAAGAUCACUACUAAACGUUUCAUUGUUACUUCCAGUUCUUCUGCUCUCCCUUCCAUGGAUGCCAACUUCAGCAUCUUCUUCAGGUUAUGAAGAUAAUUUCUUUCAAUGUCUGUUGAACCUUUCUCAGCCUUCACAUCCAAUUACUUCUGCAAUUUUUGCUCCAGACAAUGCUUCAUACUCAUCUGUCUUGCAAUCUUAUAUUCGAAACCUUCGAUUUAACAUGUCCUCAACCCCGAAACCACUCCUUAUCGUUACUGCAUUGCAUGAAUCUCAUGUUCAAGCAUCCGUCGUUUGCGCCUGGAAACAUGGUCUGCAAAUGAAGAUCCGAAGCGGAGGCCAUGACUACGAGGGCGUUUCGUAUGUCUCCGAUGUGCCUUUCUUCGUCCUCGACAUGUUCAAUCUUCGAGCUGUAGAUGUUGAUGUAGAAACCGAGACUGCUUGGGUUCAGGCUGGAGCAAUCCUUGGUGAAGUUUACUACAGAAUUGCUGAGAAAAGUAAGGUUCAUGGCUUUCCAGCUGGUAUUUGCCCUACAGUUGGUGUUGGAGGUCAUUUGAGUGGGGGUGGUUACGGUAACAUGAUGAGAAAGUAUGGACUUUCUGCCGAUAACAUAAUCGAUGCCCAACUCGUUGAUGUCAAUGGCAGGCUUCUUGAUAGAAAAUCCAUGGGAGAAGAUCUUUUCUGGGCUAUCAGAGGCGGCGGAGGAGCUAGCUUCGGAGUAGUAAUAUCAUACAAAAUAAACAUUGUCCGCGUUCCAGAAGUGGUAACUGUGUUUCGAGUACAAAGAACUCUGGAACAGAAUGCAACUGACAUUGUCGAUAAAUGGCAACAUGUUGCCUAUAAUCUGGACGAUGAUAUCUUCAUCAGGCUUACUUUAGAAGUCGUUAAUGCAACUCAGGGCAAUGGAAAAACAGUCAGGGCCACGUUCAGAUGUAUGUUUCUUGGAGACUCUGCACGACUUCUUGCAACCAUGAAGGAAAGUUUUCCUGAAAUGGGUUUGGUUCAAUCUGAUUGUUUGGAAAUGAGUUGGCUUGAGUCGGUCCUGUUCUGGACAGACUUCGCAGUGGGAACUCCAACUACUGCUUUGCUUAGACGAACUCCACCAUCAAUUACCUACUUGAAGAGGAAAUCAGAUUAUGUGAAGAAACCAAUUCCGAGAGACGGGUUGGAGAAGCUUUGGCAGAAAAUGGUGGAGCUUCAAGUGCCAUCGUUAGCAUUCAAUCCUUAUGGUGGCAAAAUGGGUGAAAUUCCAUCUACAGCACUUCCAUUUCCACACAGAGCUGGUAAUUUAUGGAAGAUUCAGUAUGCAACAAACUGGAAUGUGGAAGGAACUGAAGCAGCAAAUCACUACAUAGAUUUAACAAGGCAACUAUAUGACUUCAUGACUCCUUAUGUGUCAAAGGAUCCAAGGGAAGCCUUCCUGAAUUACAGAGAUCUUGAUCUGGGUAUUAACCAUAAUGAUGGUAAGAAGAAAAGCUACUUAGAAGGGAGAACUUACGGAAUCCAAUAUUUUAAAGAAAACUUUGACAGGUUGGUCCAGGUCAAGACCAAAGUUGAUCCUGGUAAUUUCUUUAGAAAUGAACAAAGCAUUCCUACUUUUCCUUACUGGAAGUAGAAGGAAUCUAUAGGUUUAUAUUUAGCUACCUGAUUGCUUGGAUAUAGAAUAAUUAUGCCUUGUUUUGUGUUUGAAACUUGUAAACAAUUUAUGCCUUUAUGAUUAUUUGGAAAUAUUCAUCUUUGUUGUAGAUUGUUUUAUUAAUUUUACAUUGUUUUCUAUAUUUCCUUAAGACUUAACAGAGCCCACUUGUGUAGAAUAUAAUAGCCNNNNNNNNNNNNNNNNNNNNNNNNNNNNNNNNNNNNNNNNNNNNNNNNNNNNNNNNNNNNNNNNNNNNNNNNNNNNNNNNNNNNNNNNNNNNNNNNNNNNNNNNNNNNNNNNNNNNNNNNNNNNNNNNNNNNNNNNNNNNNNNNNNNNNNNNNNNNNNNNNNNNNNNNNNNNNNNNNNNNNNNNNNNNNNNNNNNNNNNNNNNNNNNNNNNNNNNNNNNNNNNNNNNNNNNNNNNNNNNNNNNNNNNNNNNNNNNNNNNNNNNNNNNNNNNNNNNNNNNNNNNNNNNNNNNNNNNNNNNNNNNNNNNNNNNNNNNNNNNNNNNNNNNNNNNNNNNNNNNNNNNNNNNNNNNNNNNNNNNNNNNNNNNNNNNNNNNNNNNNNNNNNNNNNNNNNNNNNNNNNNNNNNNNNNNNNNNNNNNNNNNNNNNNNNNNNNNNNNNNNNNNNNNNNNNNNNNNNNNNNNNNNNNNNNNNNNNNNNNNNNNNNNNNNNNNNNNNNNNNNNNNNNNNNNNNNNNNNNNNNNNNNNNNNNNNNNNNNNNNNNNNNNNNNNNNNNNNNNNNNNNNNNNNNNNNNNNNNNNNNNNNNNNNNNNNNNNNNNNNNNNNNNNNNNNNNNNNNNNNNNNNNNNNNNNNNNNNNNNNNNNNNNNNNNNNNNNNNNNNNNNNNNNNNNNNNNNNNNNNNNNNNNUAUUUACCACUCUUCUCUCUAAAACUUAAGAAUGAUAAAGAAUAUAUAAUAAUGUAUUUUAUAUAAUUUUAUAAAAUAUUUACUUUUAUUUUAUCUUUCUGAAAAAAUUCUAGUCUGGUUACGUUUAAUUAGGCUCAUGAAUAUACACUCAUUUAAUCAUUCUCAAGUCUAAAUUUUGGAUUCAACUAAUAUAUGAAUAAAACUGUUUUAGAAAAAAAAAAAAACAUAGGAAUACUUAUACUUUUAAUGCCUGAAUUUGUCAGAAAAUAACAAUCGAACGAUUAAAUUUUUAAAAUUAAUAAUUGAAUGUGACAAUUUGUAAAAAGAAUAACAAAUGGUGUUUUUAGCAAGUAACUUUCAGAUUUUUCUUGAAUUUUUGCGGAUAUAGAUGAGAGAGUAAAAAUUGUUGAACACGUAAAGAACUAAAGUGGUUACAUUAGUGUUUUUAGCAAGUGACAAUCUGGUUAAAUUUUAUCUUAUGUAACUUUCUUUUUUUAACAUCUAUUAAUCUUUAAUUUACUAGUCCUAAAUUUAUUUCUUACUUAUGAAUCUUAAUAUUUAUUGCGCCAUAAAACUCUAGUAAUUUGAUAAAAAUAUAUUUGUAUAUGAUAGAUACAUUUAUUAUUUUAUUCAUUUUACAACACAUCUUUACUACAUGUCUCUUAUUUUUUAUCUCAUUUAACAUUAAAAAAAUCAACAUCGUUAAAAAACACUAUUUUGUUAUUUUUCUUACAAGUUGCCAUACUUAAUUAUUAAUUUUAAAAAUUUAACCAGUAGAUUGUCAUUUUUUAGCAAAUUUAGACACCAAAAUAUAAUUAUCCAAAAAACANNNUGAAUUUUUUUUAAAGAUUUACUAAUUACUAAAUAACAAAAUUGAGUCAAUUGUAUUUCUUUAAUAAGCCAGUUCAAAGAACAAAAAGGUAAUUUCUUGAAUAAGUACAUAUCAUAAAUUAUUAUUUAUUUUGCCCUUUUCUUCAAAAUGAGAGCCUGAUAAGAAUAGGAGAGCCAUUACAAAACCAACUAAAGGAAAACUCCAUAACAUGAACAUAUAUAAACUAAAGGCCAAAGACAAGCUGGUUAGAAUCUUCAUCGGCAUGCAUUUUACGGCAGGAGCAGCAGCCGUCUUGCUCUAUCGCCGCCGCCCUGAUCCCCACAUUCACAGAUGGCACCGCCACCCUUUUAAUUAAUAUCAGAAUCUUCCACCAACGACUCGAACAACUGUUAAUAUAUCUGAUUCAAGUCACCUAGAAAAUAAGCAACACCAUUUUCAUAAUAAAUAAAUUACUCACUCAUAGGAAAAAGACCCUCUGAAAAAUAUAAUUAAAUUCAUAUCUAAAAUAGAUAAUAUGACUCUAAAACAGAUUCAUAUAAAGAGAAAAAGGGGAAGAAAGAGAGGCAUAGAUAGCUACCUUGAACUCUUUGAAUUUUAUACCUAAAGUGGUUGCAUAUAUGUGAUUUUUUAGGUAGGCAGUCCCAAAGAAGAGCCAUAUAUCCUUCUUUCUUUCUUUCUUUCUUUUCAAGGAUUAUUAAUAUUGUGGUCCAAAAUUUGCCAUUCUAAAAAAGUGAGGCAUAAAGUUGACAGGAUGCAAUUCAGUUAUCAAGGAAAACACUUAUUUUCUUACUAUACAUUCCCUUUAUAUUUUAAAAUUAAUUAAUAUAUAACACAUAAAUUAUGUAAUAUAUCCAGACAUAAAAUUGGCUUAUUCCAUUAUAUAUUAAAAACUAAUUAAGUUUGAUAUAUAAAGAGAGAUGUUACCAUAUUAAGAAAAUAUUUGUUCGUAAUUGUAUAUAUUUCUUUCGCUCAUGGUCGGACUAAUAGACAAUAUUAUAUAAUAGGGUAGUCAUUCCCUUAUAUUUGUUAUAACAACGAAAACUCAUUUAGUACAAAAAAAAAAUGACUCAAAUUCAACGUUAUAAACUCGUUUAUAUUGUCUUAUCUAACAAAUGUGAAAUAAUCUACACAUUCUUUAACACUCUUCUUCAAGUGCAAUUUGCACUUAACAAUAUUAUAUGAACCGGACUAGCUCAAAGACCAACAUAAAUUUAUAUUUAUGAACUAAUCAUAUAGUCCACAAAUUAAACGAGUUCAACAAUAAAUAUAUUCUCAAACUUUGAUAACAUGUAAAAGAUUUAUGGACCCAAAAAUAAAAAAUGAGAAGAAUGUAAUUUAAAUAAUCACUAUCAUAAUUUAAGUUAAAUUAAUAAAUUUAUUCUUUUAUAUUAUAAACUCCUUUAUAUUUUCUUAUUUUUAUGAUAUGUGAUAAUCCACGCACGCAUCCUUCAUCAUAAUUCAAUAGGGAAAUAUUUAUGGCCCAUAAUGUUUACCAACAAUUAAUAAAAUCCAAAUAUUUUUUGUUAUUAAAGUAAUUAUUCUUUCUUUUUUAAGUAGAUUUGUCUACAUCAUUUAUCAUAAUUAAUUAUCCACUAGUCGUUUAUUCGNNNNNNNNNNNNNNNNNNNNNNNNNNNNNNNNNNNNNNNNNNNNNNNNNNNNNNNNNNNNNNNNNNNNNNNNNNNNNNNNNNNNNNNNNNNNNNNNACCAUAUGAAACAAAAUACAUUUCAAAAGUAAAUACUAGGAUUACCCAUUAUAAUUUGAGUGCCACCCGACCAAUUUAGUAGCCAAUUGCAUUUGAAUCUUCACUUAAAUAUGAUAAAGUUGAAAUGUGUAUCUAUGUAUAUAAAACUUUAAGAAUUAACUGUUGACAAAAUCUUUUUUAUAGAAGAAUCUAGGCAGGAUAAUUACAUUAUUUAAAAUUUUGGGUUUUGAAUUUGGUGGAAAAUAAUUGAUUUUUAUACUAUAAAUCUAAGAAAUUUACUUUGUUUAGGGCUUCAGAUUUAGUUUGUUAAAAGAAAGGAAAAAAAAAGAAGAAGAUAUGGACUACUUUAUUUAGGAUUGGGUUUGUCAAAAUAAUAAAACCAGAAGAAGGAAAAGGAAAGGAGAAUUGAGGGAGAGAGAAGGGUAAAGAAAAGAUGAACAAGAAAACGAGGGGAGAGGGAGAGCGAGAGAGAGGAAAAAUAAAAGUACAUGUGCCUAAUUUUCUGAGCUUGCCACUUGCUUUCAUUGAUUGUGGAUUACACUCCCUUGUGUUUCACAAGAUUUGGAGCUAAUUGGCCAGAUUGGACAAAUUAUAGGAGUAAGAACACCAAAAGAUUAAUUUGAAUUAAUUUCUCAUCGACUCGGAUUUUAGGAGGCAAAUUGACCUUUAAGCAUUUAAAAAAAAACAUGGGAUAACAUUUGAACUUUAGUUUAAGUAGUAAUAAUAUUUAUUUUCCAGACACUUUAAAAAAAAAAAAAAGCAUAUAGGUGCCUAUUUUUUUUUUUAUAAAGAAGAAAUUCAAUCUGACAUUCAAACAAUUAGAUUCGUUAAAAAAUGCUUAUAAAGUUAAUAUAUAGCUUAGUAUCAUGGGGUAUUGAUGCUUUAGUACAUUAGUCUUUAUCUGAUAAUUCAUAGACUUUACAUAUCGGAAUCAUAGAUCAUUGUUUUUUUUUUUUUUCUGUUUGUUUCACCCUUCUAUUUAUCUGCAUAACUUUUAUUUUGACUUGGAGCUCCUAAUCAAAUCAUUGAGUAUUCUUUCUGUAAAAUUGCAAUUUACUAGUCCGUCAACAUAAUUAAUAAUUGUUAGGAGUAAAUUUCUUUAUAUGUUUUUCUUGAUGUUUGAUUCUUUUUUUAUAUUAAGAUGUACUAGUUAAUUCUCAUUAAUGGAAUAUCAAUAUUUCUUUUUAAGAAAUAAUAUUUAUUUUUAAAUGUAAGAUAUUUUAUAUUUUAUAUUUUCUUUUAUAUUUUCUUUUUUUCAUUGAGAGAAAAAGUGGAAGUUAUUUACUAUAUUUGAGUUCUAUUGUUAGAGUAAAUGUAAGAAAAUGAUUCUCCCAUUACAUAUAUGGUGCCUACAUUAUUGAAUCUUUAAUGAGAAAGAGAAAAAUGAAUAUACGAUUAAAUUCAACAAAAACAUUUAUUAUAAUUUAAGUCUGAUAUUUUCUAUAUUUAGUAUAACUCAAGUUUUAUCUUUAAAGAAUUCAAAUUUUAAAAUUAUUUUUUUGAUAUAUAUAUAUCUAGAGCUAAUUUAGAGUGCACCUGACUUGACUUUUACGGAUGAUAAAGUAUUAACUCAAGCAUUUUAAAACAACUGCAUACUUAAAAUUUGAACUUAGGACCUUAGUUAAUAACUAGUCGUUUACCCAUUCGUUACAUGGCUGUUAUUAUUAUUUUGAUUAUAAAAUCAAGUUGAUAGAUACAAUUUAAUAAAAAAUUUAAUUUUCAAUAUUAAUUUAUAUUAUUUUAAAAGAUUAUAGAAAAUUAACUAUUUUUAGAUGUUCUUUUUUAUUUUCUUAAAUUUCAAAAUUUUAUUAAUCAAAUAAUAUAAAAAUUAUUUUAAAAAUAUCUAUUAAUUAAUUUUAAUACUAUUUAAAUUAAUAUAAUUGAUAUUACUAUCUUUUAGGAUUAAGAAUUUAUCAUAUAAUUAAAAAUUAAUUUAUCAUUAAAUAUAAUAUUAAAAUAUAAUUUAAGAUGUAAUUUUUUAAAAUUAGAAUUGUUAUUUAAUUAGAAAACUAAUUUAUUAGUUAUAUAUAAUUAAUAUUUUAAUUUUUAAAAUAGAAUUAAUAUCAUUAUCUUAUUAGAUUUAUUAGUUAAUAUAAAAUUAAAAUAUAAUUAACAUGUUAUUUCUUAGAAUUAGAAUCAAUAUUUAAUUAGGAAUGUAACCUAUUAAUUGAUAAAUUAAUAAAAAUAUUAUAAAAUUAUACAUAAAUUUGAAUGUCAUGUAUUAAAAAUAAGAACAUAUGUUAAAACAAUCUAUGUUAAAAAUUAAGCAUUCAUGUUAAAAAAAUUUAGGUCAUUAUUUAGCAAUAAAUUAGUCGAAAAUUAUAAAAGUAUAAAUAAACUUAAUAUGUUAAAAAUAAAUAUUCAUAUUAAAAUAAAAAAUUUAUGUGUCAAAAAUUAAACACAUAUAUUAAAUAAAAUUUAAAUUUUAUAAAUUAAUAUAUAUAAAUAAUAUAAAUUAUUUUAAAUUAUCGCUAGAGUAUACUUAAAUUAAGAUAUUGGUUACUAAUACUAUUAAGAGCAUACAAGAUUAGCCAAGGUACACGUUCUCGUUGGCACUUCGCAUCACGUGGACAUAUCAACAUCUCAUAGGAAGUCAUGGAUCCUAUUUUUUGUUUUUCUAAUAUAGUAAUAUGGAGUAAUAUAAAAUGUGGUGGGAGGAUAAAAUAUUAUUUUAAAAGUUUUUUAAUAUAAAAUUUAAUAUUUUAUAAUUUUAUUUUAAAUAAUUUUUACCCUGUAUUUUUUUACUAAAAAAUUAGAAAAGAAAUAUUUUAUUGUCAAAAAAUUACAAUUUGUAAGGAUUUAUCGAUUCUCACUUUUAUGUUGUUCAUGUUUGGUAAGAUGGAUUUAGUACUUAACAACUCUUAAUUUUAUUGUUUAACCGUUAAAUCACUGAUUCAACGAGAUUAAUUUAACUAUUAAAUAAAUGUUAUGAAUUAUUAAGUUUUAAAAUUGUAUUUAGCAACACGAAAGACUUGAUAAAAAUAGUUGAUCGAUCGAACAUGAUUAAAUUCUUAUUAUAAAAUAAUACUAACUCAAUUUUUUACUAAAAUAUAGUUAAAAUAAAUAAAAUUUUAAUUGAUAAUCUCGCUUGACUAAAAACUAAUAUUAAUAUCAAAAUAUAUUUACUAAAAUUAAAAAAACUAAGAACUGCAUACUAACUUUUUUUAAAAAAAAAAACAAAAUUUAUUUAAUAAGUAAGGGUGAUGCAAAAUUAUCUUAUAACAUUUUUGUGGAGGUGAAUGUAUGACAAAGAAUGUGGAGUCACCAAUGCUCAACUAACUUUACUGUACGAAAUUGUGGAUAGAGUUUGAUUGGAUGUGGGUAACUUAUUGGUCCAAAUCGAUUUUCUGAACCAUCGAAUUGCUUCCGCUGGCGCUGGUCCAUUUGUAACGGAACCAAUAAAUUAUUAUCACAUUACUACCGUAAAACAAAUGUAUCACUUGAACUUUAAAUUACAUAUCAUAAUUAUUAAUGACUGUGUAUAUACAAGAAUGUUUUAUAUUUUAAAUUUAAAUAAUUAAUAAAUGUAACUAUUAUUAUUUAGAUUUUAAAUUUAAUAAAAAACGGUUGAAUAUUAUAAGAAAUCAAGAAUAUAAUAAUAUUCUACAAAGGUAUAUUCUUUAUUGACACGGUGCUUCUAGAAAGAUCCUGUCUUCGGAUUCCAAAUAUGAGCAGUUGAUUUCACAAGAAAAUCGGACUGCACUGCACUGCUAGGCCAAACAUGAUUUUAUGGACCAAAUAAACAGCGAGCUUUCUCUCAAAGAAAUAAUUUGAUAUUUCAUAAUCAUAUGUAAUAUUGUACGAAUUAAUUAAUUAAUUUUUUUAAUUAUGUAAUAAUUUAUAAUUUUAAAACAAUAGUACAAUAAUAAUAUUUUUUUUUAAUUUCUUUUGACAUAUAUAUUUAUUUAUGACGUGUAAAUUUCUUUUGUGAUAUAUGUAUUUAUUUUUUUAUUUAAGUAUUAUAUCGAUGUAUAAUUGUUAUGUUUAUUAUAUACUUAAUAUAUUAACUAAUAAAUUAUUUUUUAAUUAUAUGAGGACAAUAUUUUUUAUUAUAUUUGUUAUAUUAUUUUAACCAAUAAAUUAGUUUGCUAAUUGUAUAAUGAUUUUUAAUCCAAUAAAAUAACAUAUCAUGCUAUAUUUGUAAUAUUGAGUAUACAUAUAAUUAAUAGAUUUUAAAAUAAUUUAUAAUAUUAUUUAUAAUUAAGAUAAUAAUAAUGAUAUUCAUGCACUGCAUGAAUAAAUAAUAUUUUUUUAUUAUAGAUUGAUCCUACUAUAAUUAUAUUUAAGACUAAAAGAAUCAAACAUAAUUUUAACUAAUUUGAACUUGACUUGUUCAUUAUUGAGUCUCCCUUGAAUUGAGUUUGAAAAACUUACCCAUAACUUAGGAGUCUAAAUUAAUUUAAUCGAUUCUUUAUAGAUUUAUAAAUUUAUAUUACAAUUUAAACUGUUCAUCAAUUUACUUAAAAGAUAAAUUAUUUAUAAAAGAACUAAAAUAUAUUUAUCAAAAUUUUAUGUUUUAUUAUAACAAUUAAAAUUAAUAAAUAAAUUUAUAUCGGUAAUGAGUUAAAGCAUAAAAAUUAAUCAUUAAAUUAUUAAUAUUAUAUUAUAUGAAUUAGCUCACGAUCUUAUUGAUGAAUUAUUUCAAAAAUUUAAAGAAUAUGACUUUAUGUACUUUUAACUCGGCUCACUAUCAUAUGAGCUCAAGUGAGUUUUUAACAUAAUGGAUUUUAGGAAAAUUUUGAUUCAUUUUCUACCUAAUUAAGAUAUAAAUUUCACAAAAAAGGAAAAAUGUCAUAGGUUGUAUUACUCUUUUUUUUUUUUUAAAUUAUCCCAAUUAAUGAGCCAUUAAAUUUGCAGUCACAAUGAGAAAAUAUAAUUAAAUUGAAAUAAAAUUAAAAUUUAGCAUGACCUUCUAUCCAAUUUAACUGACUAUAAGCUGGCUUUAUAGGCUAUCUUCAGUAUAUGGCUACUCACCAAGCAUUACUGUGCUUAUCACUGCCUCAUUUUUCUUGUUCAAACCAUUGUUCCAUCCAGGCAACUCUUCUAUAAGUUCCCAUCCAAAGAGGCUAGGACACUAAAAAACAGAGGCUGAGACACUAAAUUCUCUGUUAUUAGAUUUGGAAAUUUGAAGGGUAAUAUGGGUGAAGCACCGUAUUCCUCUCAAGAAACCUUUCAUCAAUCACUCCUGAAUUUUUCUCACCCUUCUCACCCAAUCUCGAAUGCAAUUUACACUCCUCAACAUCCUUCCUACCCUUCCAUUCUCCAAGCCUAUAUUCGAAAUCUCCGAUUCAACACAUCGAAAACUCCUAAACCACUUCUCAUUCUUACUGCAUUGCAUGAAUCCCAUGUCCAAGCUGCUGUUCUUGCUGCCAAAAAGCAUGGUCUGCAGAUGAAAAUCCGGAGCGGAGGCCAUGACUAUGAGGGCACUUCUUAUGUUUCAGAUGUUCCAUUCUUUAUUCUUGACAUGUAUAAUCUUCGGUCCAUUGAUAUCGAUCUCGAAAAUGAGACUGCUUGGGUUCAGGCAGGUGCCACGCUUGGUGAACUCUUUUACGGAAUUGCUGAGCGAAGCAAGACACGUGGCUUCCCUGCUGGUGUCUGUCCGACAGUCGGUGUUGGAGGCCAUUUGGUUGGUGCUGGGUAUGGCAAUCUGAUGAGAAAGUACGGCCUGUCGGUUGAUAAUGUCAUCGAUGCAAAACUUGUUGAUGCUGAAGGAAGAAUUCUCGACAGAAAAUCUAUGGGAGAAAACCUAUUCUGGGCAAUUAAAGGUGGAGGAGCUAGCUUUGGAGUUGUUCUUGCAUACAAAAUCAACCUUGUUCGGGUUCCAGAAGUAGUUACUGUUUUCAGAGUUGAAAGAACAUUGGAACAAAAUGCAACUGAUAUUGUCUAUCAGUGGCAACAUGCUGCACCAGAAAUUGAUGAAGAUCUUUUUAUCAGGCUUGUCUUAGACGUACUAAAAAAUGAUCAAACCGGCCAAAAGACGGUAAGAGGUUCAUUUAUUGCCUUAUUUCUUGGAGAUUCUGAGAGACUUCUUUCAAUCAUGAAAGAAAGCUUCCCCGAAUUGGGUCUGCUGAAAUCUGACUGUAUAGAAAUGAGUUGGCUUGAAUCGGUCCUGUUCUGGACAAACUAUCCUAUCGGAACACCGACUGAUGUUUGUCUUAGUAGAGAGCCUCAAACACUGGUCUACCUGAAAAGAAAAUCAGAUUAUGUACAAGAACCAAUUUCCAAGCAAGGAUUGGAAGGAAUUUGGAAGAAAAUGAUGGAGCUAGAGGUGCCAAUGAUGGGAUUCAAUCCUUACGGUGGGAAAAUGAAAGAAAUUGCAGAAACAGAAACUCCAUUUCCACAUCGAGCUGGGAACUUAUGGAAGAUUCAGUAUCAAAUAAACUGGACACAGGAAGGGGAAGAAGCAGCAAAUCAUCACUUGGAUUUGGCCAGACAACUUUAUGAUUACAUGACUCCUUUUGUUUCCAAGAACCCAAGGGCAGCAUUCCUGAACUACAAGGAUCUCGAUUUGGGCAUCAACAAUCAUGAUAAAGAAAGCUACAAGGUAGGAAGUGCUUAUGGGAUCAAGUACUUCAAGAAUAAUUUCAACAGGUUGGUGCAAAUCAAAACCAAGUUUGAUCCUGAUAAUUUUUUCAGACACGAACAAAGUGUUCCGACUUUUCCUAGUUACUAACGUAAGCAGAAAUGGUAAUUUCAUUUUUUUUUUCUUUUACCCGCUUGGAGGACCUGUACCUUCAGAUAAUAAAUGUGGUUGUUCCAUUAUUGUAGGAAACUGUCAGUACAUGAUUGUCUGUGACAUGAAAUAGAAGCAACUUUUUCUCCUUUAAUGGACAACAAAAGACCACGGGCAAAAUAUAUGCUAUUGUCUUUAUUAUCAUCUACAAGGUUCUGUUGAAAAUUCAUUGCGAUUAUUAAUGCAAAUAUCAUAGUUUUUUUUUUUACUUUUUUUUCCUGUUUAAUAGAGAAAAAGGGACUAAUAUUUUCCAGAAUUAUGAAGUAUGCUUUAAUUUUCAUUUUUCAAUCUAAGAAAAUGAAUCACUUUUACAAAUGACGUAAAUCAAUGUCUUGUACUUGUAUGGGUAAAAUUUAUUUGUAGAUAUACAUUCAGCAUAAUAAAAAAGAGACCCAAAAAGAAUUGAAACUUUUACAUUUUUAAGCCCACCUACCUGACCUCUUAGUUCAACUGUUAUUUUUGAAUCGAUCUUUUUGAUAUGUGAUAUAAUGAAUGAAAAGGACUCUUCAACAACCAUAAAUGAGGUUUGAAAGGUUUUGAUUCAUUUGUCUAACAGAAAUUGCCUCCCAAACAUAUAGAUGCUGACAAAUGCUUGCCAUUCCCUGCAAAGUUGCAUUUAUGGGAAACACAGAAUACUGACAUUAUCAUUUCUCAUGGGUCAAGUAAAACCGAAUCGAAAUUCAAAAAUCAAAUUAAAUUGACUAGUUUGGUGCAGUUCGGUUCAGCUUAAAAUAGACAAUUUAAAUAAUAUUUUGGUUGGUUUCGCUUUUUAUUUAAAUUUUUUGAUUUAAUUGAACUAAUUGAAAUUUCUAUAAAUAUUUAAGAUAAUACAUUUAUUUAUUUAUAUAAAAAAUUAAUAUACUUAUGUAUAAAAAUAUAUUUAUUUAUAUAUAUACAAAUCCUUUUAUCACUCUUGAUAUUGAAUAAAUAUUAUAAUAUAUAUUGAAUUCCAAAAGAAAUAAAAAAAUUAAAAAUGCCAAACUAAUCAACCGAGCCGAAUUUUUUAGUUUGGUUCGGUUAUACUUAAUAUUUCAGUUCAGUUAAUAAAAAUUUAAAAAACUUUAGUUAGUCAAUUUUAGUCAAAAUCAAACCGACUAUCCUUACUUUCUCCUUUUUUUUCUUUCUAUAAAUAGAAAUUUGAUUUCAUAUGGGAGAAGCAACUAAACUUACUUGAGCAGCGGUGGGUAGGAUAGGUAGCUAGAUUUAUCACAGCCUUCUAAUUAUAAAGGCAUUAAUUGAAAUGUAUUAAAAAAAUUUAUUUUUUAAAAAAAAAUAGAAUAAUAAAGAUAAAAAAAUAUAUUAAUAUUAUAAAAUAUAUCGAUUUAUUAAUGUAGAAUUUAUUCGAAACUUUUACUUAUUUUGUUAAAAUUUUAUUUAGUUAUAAUUUAUUUCAUAUAAAUUUCAUUAUAUAGAAUUUAAAUUAAUUUUUAUUUUAUUCAAAAUAUAUAAAUUUUAAAUUUUUAAAUAAGUUUCAUAAAUUUUCAUAAAUUUCAACCAAACAUAAUAUAAAUAUAAAAGGAUAUUGAAUUCACAUGUUUUAUUACGUAAGAAUUAAUAUUUCAAUUUAUUUAUUAGUAUUAAAUAGCCCUUUUUUUAUCUGGUAGUCCUUAAUUAUUUUUUUUAUCUAUUAUUCCUUAUUUGUGUCAAUAUAUUAAUUUUAAAAUCAUCAGUGGAGAACAUCAAUCUAAAAAUAAAAGAACAGUGCAAUCUCAAAGUGGGAUCCUUAACCAAUAUCUCGUUGAUUAAGAAAAAAUAAAUUUAAAUUAAGAGGUAAUAGGCCAACUCAAAUAUUAAGCCGCGCCUCUAGUUACAGCUUAUUACAGAAAUUCUAUCAAAUCAGCUCACAAUUUAAAAAGAAAAAAGAAAAAAAAAAGGGUUUAACAGGAUAAUCUGUUAUUUGUUUGGGGUGAAAGACCUAAUAAAAUUAUAUAAAGAAAUUCAUAAAAAAAAAUUCAUUUUAUUUAAGAAAAAAAUAUAAAGAAAAUAAAAUAAAAUAAAUAAAGUUGAAAGAUAUAUUUUAGUGUUAUGAAAUAUAUUGACUUAAUAAUUUGGAAUUAAUUUAAAAAUUUUAUUUAUUUUGUUAGAAUUUAGUUUAGUUAUAACCAAUUCUAUAUAAAUUUAAUUACGUAUAAUAUUAAAUUAACUUUCACUUAAAAUAUAUAAAUUUUAUAAAUUUUAUUAAAGUUUAACCAAAUAUUAUAUAAGGAGAGCAAAAUGAGGCAUACGAAUUAUAUUUAAUACAGCCUGGACUUGGAACAGUCCAUUUUCUAACAGCUUGACCACUAGGCUGAGAGGCCCUUCUGACCAUGCAGGAUUUAAUAAGGUUGGCACGUCUGUUGAGGUUCCAAUAGGAUGUAGCUUGACCAAGAGUGCUCUUAGGAUCGAUUUCGACUGCAUUGAAAACAAAAUCAUUCCGAGCUUUUCAUACAGGCCAGCAAAUAUGCGCAAGCAGAGCCAAAGCUUCAACAUUGUCUCUUCCUUGAAAUAUCGAAGAUACCUCCUGCCGCCAAUCUUUGAAAGAGCAUAAAGGAAGAGCAUUAAACCUGAAACCAAAAGAAGAUAGAAACCAGGUUGCCCCGGAAUGAUUACAUCUAGUAAGCAUAUGCAUUAUGGAUUCGGGUUCUUGAUGACAAAUUGGGCACAAAUUAGAAAAGCCAUAUUUUUGACGAUACAAGGUUUUUGUCACUGGAAGAGCAUUUCUAGAACAUUUCCACAAGAAAGCUCUGAUCUUAGGGAGAACCUCCAACUUCCACAAAGAUUGCCAAUAGAUAGAAUCACCAUUAUUAUUGUAAAACCUCUGGACUGAUCCUUAAGCAGCUGCUUAUACCCUCUUCUUGCUGAAUAAAUGCCAUUUGGACUAUGGUGCCACACAACAGAAUCCUUCACCUCAGGACCUCCUGCUGGAAUGGCUUUAAUCUACUACUGGUCAACUUAACUGAAUAAACGGCCUAAAGAUUGAUGAUGCCAAGAAGCAUCCGACUGGUUAAUGAGGUAAAGCAACUAAAAGAGCUUCAUUAAGUGCAGAUCUUGGAGAAGACACUUUAAAGUCUUUAGCAGGGGGAACCCACUUAUCAUCCUAUAUACAAAUAUCUGCCAUUGCUCUACUUAUAUAUUAAAUUAAUAAAAAAAUGAUAAAUAAAUAUUUAUUUUAAUAAUUAAUUAUAUAUCAAUUAUUAAUAUUAAAAUAUAAAAUACUUAUAAUUAUUAAUUUAAAUAAUUAAUUAUAUACCAGUUAUAAUAUAUAUAUAUAUAUAUAUAUAUAUUUAUCCACUUAUUGUUAUGGGUCCAGCCUAUCUUACAAUAUUUUUAUUGCUUUUGGACACAUGUAUUAUGGGCUUUUAUGACGGACUUGUUAUGUUUUAUUUUUGGGUCCAUUUUGGCAUGGGUUUUGUGGCUUCCGAGAGAAUUUUGUAGAGGCUAUUGUGUAGACACUUAGUGUCAGCAACAAUUUUCAGAUUGAAAACAUACACAAAAGAGAGAGAAAACUAGAGAAUUCCAAAGGGUGUUGUCCUGCUCGUUUUUCUCAACACCAGUCCUAGUAUUUUGGUCGUCGGAGAAGAUCCCACCGUUAGAUUUUGCUGAAAUUUUGUCAGCUUGUUGAGGACACACGGGGCUAUAUUCUGACCGUUCGGAUAGUCAAUUGGAGCUCUGGUUCAUCAGGAAUUGUCUCUGGACAGAGCUGCUGUUUUUUGGUGAAUUUUACAUUUUUUGUUCUCUAUUUCAAUUCUCUUAUUGUUGGUGUUUGUUGGUGGGUUGUGAAUCCUUUGUAGACUGAUUUGGGGUUCUUUCUCCUUCAAUUUAUAAAUAAGAGAAGUUAAGGGUGGACUUCUCAAAAGAUCCUGUGGUUUUUACUCAUCACAUCGAAGAGGUUUUUCACGUAUAAAUCGUGUGUGUUGUUUGCUAUUAUUUUCUUUUGUUAUAGCUGGUUAUUUACUGCAUUUAGUUGCUGGUUUCCUUUGUUAAUUUGGUUGUGUGAUAAUUUCGGUUGAUUGGAUUGCAUAAUUGGUUGGUUGUCUUGAUUACGUGACAUUGUGGGCGUCGUUGUGACUCCUUCCGAUCCCUGCACUUAUUGUGUUGUAAAUAAAUGAUCUAUUACAUGGCUUUAUGUGUACUUCUAUAUUUACAUAAAUUAUUCACAAUAAAGUUCAAAUAGACGGUCAAAUAAGUCCCUCGCCUUUUUCCAAUAUAUUCAAUCAUUCCCUUAUAGUUCAUUCUAGCAUAAUUAGGUCCUUAACAUUUUAAGUUAAUGACUAGACCCAAAAUGUAGCUCCUUUUACCACCGUAUGACCAUGAAAUUUGUAUUAAAGUACUCUCAAAUAAAAGUGACUCAACGUUCCAAUUACUUUUGGACAAUUCUAUCACUUGACCAUUUAUACUUGUUAAUUAGUUAAUAGUCAUUCAGAUAUUGAAUAUAUAUAAUUAAAUCGAUCUAAUUAUAUUACUCUGAUAUUCAGAACUUUGAGAUUAAAUAUAUUUAAGGUCUAAUAAUUAAUUAUACAAAAAAAGAAGAUAUAAAAGUGAUCAUCAUAUCGAUAACCGAUGAUGAGUGAAAUAUCUCUAAUUCUAUCUUUUCCAAUUUUUGGGUAGUGAGAGACAAACUGAAUGCAGUCCCUAUCCCUACUAAAAUACUUUCAAUGGUGUUGCUCAGUGUUUGCAAAAUGCUUGUUCAUCAUAAACCUCUUUCUCUAUUACAUGCAUUUCCAAGAAUAUUUGGGAACACAAUAUAUAGCAUUAAACAUGUUUUAUAUUUGAUGAUAACUGUUUUCAGUAACUUAAUUAUGGAAAUACUAACAUAUAAGAUCAUAUAGUAUAUAUUUUAUUUAUUAAUAUAAAUAAAAGGUGGAAUGCUUUGUUCAUGCUUGAAGAAAUUAUCAGGAUCAACCCUAGCCUUCACCUUUGUCAGCCUUAAGAAGUUGUCCUUGAAAUACUUGGACCCAUAAACUUCAGCUACCUGAAAGUUUGUCGAAUUGCUUGGGUUGCUACCAAUGUCCAGAUCUCUGUAGUUCAGGAAUGCUUCCCUUGGAUCCUUACUGACAUAUGGAGUCAUCGAUUCGUGCAUUUCUCGUAACAUAUUUACUUGCUUUUCUAUAAUCCCUUCAUCUUGCCACACUAAAGUAUACUGAAUCAAGAAUCGGUAUCCUGCUCUAUGAGGGAAUGGCGUGUCGGUCUCUGGAAUCUCACUCAUUCUUCCUCCAUAAGGGUUCCAUUGCAUCCACAUUUUCCCUACUUUAAGCAUCAUCUUCCAUAUCUCUUCUAUUCCUGAUUUUGGAAUAAUAUCUUUCGCAUAAUCAGACUUAAGUUUGCUGAAGACAAUGGGCAUUGGAGGCCUAUCCAGCAACACCUCAGUGGAUGUUCCAUUAGGGAACUCGGCCCAGAAAAGUAUUGACUCUAUCCAACUCAUUUCGUGACAAUCUUGUCGCUGUAAACCCAAUUCAGGAAAGCUCCUGUUGAUCAACGGAAGAAGCCUAUCAGUUUGUCCAAGAAACUGUCCAAUGAAAAAAACUUCAAUGCUACCGUUAUCGGCUUUUGGCAUUGCUCGUAUGAAAAGAUCAGUAUCUAGAUUAGGAGCAAUUUCUUGCCACCGAUAGAGGAUAUCAGUUGCGCCUUGAUCCAAUGUUUUUCCUACCCUGAACACAGUAACUGUGCUAGGAAUUUGAACCAAGUUGAUCUUCCAUGCAAGAAUAACUCCAAAGCUUGCACCAUCACCACCUCUUAUUGCCCAAAACAGAUCUUCCCCCAUUGAUGCUCUAUCUAGGAUUUUACCAUUGACAUCAACUAUUUUUGCAUCAGCGAUAUUAUCAACCGACAGUCCAAAUUUUCUCAUCAAGUUUCCAUAUCCUCCUCCACUGAAGUGACCUCCAGCGCCAAGAGUAGUGCAAACCCCGGCAGGAAAAGCAAGUGUGCUGCUCUGAUUGGCAAUCUGAUAGUAAAGUUCACCAGUUGUCGCCCCUGCUUCAACCCAAGCAGAGCCUAUAUUUGCUUGAAUACUGAUAGCUCGAAGAUUGAACAUAUCAAGAACGAUGUAUGGCACUUUAGAUGUAUAAGAAAUAGCCUCAUAAUCAUGUCCACCACUUCGAAUCCUGAUUUGCAUGCCAUUAGACUUGGCGCAAAUAACAGUUGCUUGGACAUGAGAUUCAUGUUUUGCAGCAACAAUAGCGAGGGGUCUUGGGGUAGUAGGGGUCAGAAACCGAAGGUUUUUUAUGUAGGCUUGUAACGUGGAGUUGAAUAAGGAAUUAGUAGGCAAAAAAAUGGCUUCAGAAAUUGGGUAAGAGGAACUAACGUGAUUAGGUAAGCAUUGAAGAAAGUUUUCCAGGGCUGACUCGGAACUUGCCAAAGAAACUGAACACAAUAGUAUAAAAAAUCCUGAGAGUGGUAUAGUGCUUGAAGCUUUCUUCUUUUUGCAAGGUAAUGCUUUCUGUUAAUCUUUUUCCAUGUAUUUAUCGACAACUGAGCAACUCAGACUUUAUUAUGGUAAGAUUUAAUUGCCAUAACUUGCAAUUUAAAUAUUAAGUUAUUUGCAACAUUUAUUUGUAGUAACAGAUAAUGAAUUACGGCCAACAUCCAAUGCAUUUAAGAUUAUUCCACCUAUCUUGGAUUGUGGUUUUUCAAAUUAGUUGUUAGUUUAAUAUUAAAUAUCUACAAUAUCUUUUAUUAGUUAACAUAAAUAUCGACACUUAUAAUUAAUUUUGAAAUAUUUAUUAAUUUAGUAUUUUAAUUUUUUAAUUUAAAUUUUUAAAUUAUUUUGUUAUUCAAUCAAGAGUCUGAACCUACUAAUUUAUAUAAAUUAUAAUAUUUAUUAUAUAUUUUACAGGUUAAAAUAAUAAUUUAACUCAUUUUACACAUAAAAUAAUCUAAAUAACUUUACGCAUUGUUUACUCUUUUUUUUUUCUUCUUUCCUUUUUCUUUUAUAUAUUCUUUUUUUUAUUAAAUCUUCUUUUAGCACUAAAAAGCAAAAUAUUUUAUUAUAUUUUUUAUUUUUAAUCAAUUAUUUAUUUUUAAAGAAAACUACUUGCCAUUUCUUUAUUUCUAAAAAUUAUUUUCUUUUAAAAAAACUUAAUACUUUUCUUUUUCUCUCCUCUUAAUGUUUUGAGAUUUUUAUUUUCAUGAGAUGAAUACAUGAAAAUAGCAUUUACUUAUUUUAUUUUUUUCUUUACUUUCUUCAUAAACAAAUAAAAAUUUGAAAAAUAUAAUGACGAAAAUGGAUAAAGAAAAGAAGAAAAAAUAUGUAAUUAUUUUAAAGGAGAGUAGCUAACUCAAUUUACUAUUCGGAAUAAGUAUUUUAACCUAUAAAACCGGUUAGAGACACUAUACUUGAUAUUUUUAGCAUGUUCAAAUAAUUAAUUGAAUAAAAAAAUAAUUUAAACACUAAAAUAGAAAAUUCGAAAAACUUAAAAUAUCCCUUAUUCUAUACUAACUUUCUCUUUUUAAAUUAAAAAAUUUUCAAUUAUUUUCACUUUUAUAAAUGCAAUGCAACAUUAAUUUUUUUUUUCUAUUUUAUUCUUGUGUUGGAAUAUGUAUAAUAAAUUUUAUAAUAUUUAUAGAAAGAUAAUUUAGUCUAAUUUAGAUUUUUUUAUAAUUAAGUCUACUAAAUAUUUUCUUAAUUCAGGUGAAUUGCCAAAAAAACACGGUUAAUAUAGAAAGGAAAGAAUAACUUUUUAUUUAUUUUUAUUUAUUUGACUUUGAAAUUGUAAAUUACUGAUUGUCUUUUAAAUUUCAAUAUAAAAUUCUUAUUCUUAAUUUAUAUCUCAAAAAUCUUAGAUAAAUUGAAAAAUUAAUCAAUAUUUGAAUUACGGUACAUUAUCUUAUAAAAUUCAUUAAGAAUGUUUUAGUAAAAAAAUAUUUAAAUUUUUUAAUAUUUGUAAAAAUUAAAAUGGCUAUCAGUUUAGUAUCUUAUGAUUUAGGUUUGAAGUUUAGAUGAGGACCCUUGAUUUUAGUAAAGGGUAUCUUUUUCUUAUAUAAAGAUUUUCUAGUUUAUGAUGUGAAUGGUCCAGAAAGUAAACAAAAUUGGCUGUGAUAGCAUCUGACAAUGAAAACAAAAUAUAAUUUUAAUCAUAACUACCAGAUGACNNNNNNNNNNNNNNNNNNNNNNNNNNNNNNNNNNNNNNNNNNNNNNNNNNNNNNNNNNNNNNNNNNNNNNNNNNNNNNNNNNNNNNNNNNNNNNNNNNNNNNNNNNNNNNNNNNNNNNNNNNNNNNNNNNNNNNNNNNNNNNNNNNNNNNNNNNNNNNNNNNNNNNNNNNNNNNNNNNNNNNNNNNNNNNNNNNNNNNNNNNNNNNNNNNNNNNNNNNNNNNNNNNNNNNNNNNNNNNNAUUUAUCAUUUGGUAGAGUAAUUUGUUCCAAUAAUCAAUAUAAAAUUCCAAAUCCUGAUCAAAUUCAUAGACUGCAAAAGUAUAUGAUGGUUCAAGGCUGUAGUCUUUUGUCUCUUUAGGUUCACUACUCCUGCUGAGAGUGUUCUUCAGAUUCUCCAUGUCGAAAGUACAUGAGUGGUCUAAUCUUGGGAAAAUGUACUACUGUAGGUUUUUUUUUUUUUUUUUUUUUUACCAAAAUAAAAUAAAAAUAAAGAUAAUGAGGGUUAGAGUUAAUGAUUUAAAUUAAUUCUAAAAAUUUCAGCUUAAAUUCUUUCAGACAUUCAAAUCAUAACGUUUUACCCUGUAAUAACAUAAAUCUUAAUUACACUUGAUAGCUUAACUAACAUUUGUAUCUGCAAAUUCUAUAUGCAAUCCAUUGUCAUCAUGCAUAAUAUUUUUUCUUUUGUUUUGUGUUUUUGUGAUAAGUGUGUUCAGAACAUAACAUUGUAUUGUUCUUCUUUUAGAAUAUCAGAAUCUAACUAUUUUUCUCUCUUUUUAAUUUUAAACGCCUAUUCUCAUAUUGGUCCAUCCAUUUUGUCUAUAAAACUUUUAUUCUCUUUUAGACCUUGUCACAAUCAGUCAUGUCUAGAGUAGGCAUUAAAAGUUAAAAAUUUGCUCGAACACAACUUUAUCCCUUAUAAAUUCGGAGGAGAACUCUCGUCAUUCUUUUUAAAUCAAUUAUGGAAUUUCUCCCACAUGUAUGGAUGGGGGUUUCGCUCGUGCAUCGAAGUCGCCAUUUGAGUAAUCAUCGAGACACUUUUACUCAGAUUCUAUAAGGAAGUUUAAGCCACAGAGUUCAAAUAUGUAUUCGGAAGCUAACUUCCUUAUUUGUAUAUAUUAGUCUUUAAAUUUAUUGUUUAACAAAAUAUUUCCUAUAAAUGCAAGCAUUUUAUACACAGGUAUACUAAAAUAUCACACGAUACAUCUAAGUCUAGUCUAUUUUAUUCAAGCACAAUCCUUAUUUAAAAUUAUUAAUCAAAUUUACUAACCAAUUAUGCAUGAGGCCCACUUAUUCUAACCCAAAUAUGUGUUAUGCUCUUUGGAUUCCAGCCCUUAAGCUUAUUGGACUACUUAUUAUGAAAAUAUCAUCCAUUAUGAUUUUAGCCCUAACUAAACAUGUCAAAGCCCACGAAUCUAAUUGGAUUUUAAAUCUUAGGCCUAGUUAAAGUGGAUUAACCUAUUAGACUAUCAGAUUCGUAGUGGAUCAGUUUUCAGCCUCAAGUCUAAGUGGCCAAUUUUAUUCAAUCAAUCAUAUAAUCAUGUAUUGAGUUAACACACAAUAAUUAACAAAAUAAUAAUAAACGAAAUAAAGCAGAAAAUGAAACCCUAGCUAUUACAACCCGCCUACAACUAUGAUUACAAAACCAAAAAGUCCUAAAACUAAACAAGGGCCAAGAAUAAAUUAAAACUGCCAAAAAGGCAAAAAAUAUAGGGGCCAGCAUGGUUAGCUGAUCGGUUGUGCAUGAAGAGCCGAUCAGCUGAGUAUAGAGCCAAUUAGCUCUAUAGUCAGCCGAUCGGCUUUGGAGUCCAGGCGGGCACUUUAGACAGUUUUCUUCGAUUCUCCCUCGUUUGCCAAUCCAAUCCAACACUCUAGAGGCGAUUUUCAGAUGCAUAGAUGUUUAAACAAAAUUAGAAUAAGAUUAAAUAGCUAAAAAUUUAACAAAAUAAAAGCACAUGAGCUAAAAAACCUAGAUUGCCAAAGAAAACACUAAAAUUCUAUAAACUGACAGUAAGUUAUUAAAACGAAUAAUCAUGUUUUAAUUUAGACUUAAUUACCAAAUUAUAUUGACAAAAACUAAAUAAUAAUCAUAUGAUCAUGUUUUUAAGUAAAUCUAAAAUCUUAAUCGGCAAAAUAUCAUAUCUAAGAAAAAGCCCUAGUUUUUAUUAUCGGAUUUGAAACCCAAUUAAUAUGCAUAUUCAAAAAUCCUAAUCUAAUCAUACUAAUCAAAGAUAAAAAUCCUAAUCAUAUCUCUAAGAGAAAAGAAUAUUAGAAUAAAUAAAAAGACAAAAAAAGAACAAAAGAACCAGUUUUAAUAAUUGAUGCAGAUGUAUAAUGGUAGAAACCCUCAAGUCGUCACCAUGUAUGUUGGAUCUGUAUGUCUCGGGCGAUGAUGAAGCAGUUGAAUCAAAAAGUGAGUGGGAAUCUAGAGCUAGAUCUGAUUUGGAAAAAUCUUUUGUCGUUUAGAAAAAAGGUUUCCAAAAUUCUUCUUUCUUUAGUGACCAAUUUCCUAAAAUCCUUCUUUCUUUAGUGGCUUGAAUCUUUAAAUUCUGAUUAUGAUCGACAGUGCAAUUCCUUAUUUUUUCUUUUAAUUUUCUCUCUUUUCCUUCUUUCUGAGUGUUUCUUUUCUCUUAAUCUCACUUACGGUCGAAUUUCAAUUCUUGCCUCCUUCUUGAAACCCUAAACGCCUCUUUCUAUUUAUAGAGGUAGGGUUUCAAAGGAAAUCCUAGAGAAAGGGAUAAAUCUUAAAAAAUACCAACAAAUAUCCCAUUUAUAUAUUUAAAAUUUGAGUAAUUAUCGAUAAAAUAGUGAUUAUCAUCAAAAAUACCUUCUAGAAUCUGUAUCUGGACUUGAACCAUCCCAAAAAACGACAUCGGAGUGUUAAAAUCUCAAUCGGCACUAUAUAGAGCCGAUUAGCUUUAUAUACAGCUGAUUCAACUAUACAUACAGCCGAUCGGCUCUACCUACAGCUAAUUGGCUCUACAUAGCAAAAGUUUAUUGAAAAUUUACAAUUAGGUCUCUAAAUUUAUAAAAACUGUCGUUUUGACCUUCAACUUAAUUUUUUCUAAUAAUUAGAUCCAAAUUGAUUUUAAAAAUAUAAUUUCAGUUGGAUUAACCUUGACUCUAGCCUCGGAUUCGCCUGUUCUUCAUCUCCCGAGACUCGAGAAAGCAGUAACCCUCAUCAUAGGAUUUUCUGUUUUUUUUUUCCUUCGAUAUCUAGAUCCGGAAAAAGGAUGCUGACAACAUCAUAAGUCUUAUUUUCUACAAUGAAGGAGAUACAUUGUAAACAAUAUACUCUACUUCGACUACUAUAAAUAUAGGUAAAGAGCACCGAGAAAAAAGUAAUGUCAUUACACAGCUUUUUAAAUGCUUUGUCUUUAGUCUUCUCAAAAUACUAACUUAACUAUUAGAGUGGUUCCCUAGGCACAAUGUUUGGUACCAUAAUUUGUUGUUUUAUAUGAAUACAUCAAGAAUAGUUCACCUUGUAGGUCGAAAUACAAGUUGAGAAUAUUUUAGUUUGCAUCCGAAAUUGUUAAGAAAACAUCUAAUUCUUAUGAAACCAAAAACAAUUAUAUUUGUUGUGAAAGGAGCAGAGAAAAAUAGGAAGUUCACUAACUAUAAUAGUAAGUCUACAACCCACGUAGAGGAGCAGUCAAGAAGAAAAGAGAAGCUCCAAAUUGUUUAUAAUCCAAAUUCCAUAUUAACAUAUUAACAUAUAUCUCUAACUUAUACAAGUAAUAUAUAUUGGUCAUUAUUCAUAAUUAUUAGACUUUUUAUGAUUAAUAUCAACUAUAUAAAACUUAUUAAUUAAUUCUAUAAUAUUAAUAUGAUAAAAAAACUAAUAAAAAUGAUUAAUUCAUGAAAUAUAAUGUUUAAUUAUCUAAUAAGAAAUAUGAGAUAUAUAAAAUGUUGUGAUCAAAAUGAUAAAAAGACAUAAUAAAAAAGAACAAAAUAAAUCAAAAUUAAAAGAUUUACUAUUAAUAACAUACAUUGGAAGAGUGAAAUAAUAAGAAUAUUAGUAAGAUACAAAAAUCACUUAUUUUAUUUAUCUCAAAUAUUUCAAAAAUAAAAUAGGUGUUUUCAAGAUUAAAAUAUUUCAAUAAAUAUUUAUUGGCCACAAUUACUGAUUGUGAUUAAAAUUGUUUUUUCUUUUCAGUUUUCAGAUGCUAUCGCAGUCAAUCUUAUGUUCUGUACUAUUUACAUCGUAAACUAGAAAACUUUUAUAUAAGAAAAUACCCUUUAAAGUGAUACGCCAUAAACUUCAAACCUAUAUCAUAAAAUAUUAAAGUGAUUGGUAGUUUCUAAUUUGCACAAAAAAUUUAAAAAAUUAUUAUUUUUUCAUUAUUUUUAACUACUUUUUUAUUAAAAUAUUCUUAAUAAACUUUUUAAUACAAUGCACGGUAAUUCAAAUAUUGAUCAACUUGUCAACAUAUCUAAAGAUUUUGAGAUUUAAAUAAAAAAGAAUUAUUGAACUUCAAAAGUUUUGUUUAAUANNNUUCUCUAAAAAACGUAAAAAUAAAAUAUAUUUUUUCGUCUCAAAAAUUUAAGAAGAGAGAGAUAUUAAAUUAUUUUAAAAGAUAUUAAUUUUUAGAAUAAAUAACUCAAUAAUAGAUUUCUUUAUAAAAAUGAAUAAAAAUUGAUAAAAUAUUUUUACUUUUUAGUGUUAAAAGAAGAUUAAUAAAAUAUAGAAACAAGAUUUUUUUUUUUAAAAAAAAAGAGGAAAGAAGAAAUAGAAAAAUUGUAAAGUAUGAGUAAGGAUUUGUUUUUUUGUCAAAAUAAGUCAUGUGUAAAAUUAGUUAGUUAUUACUUUAAUUUAUAAAACUUAUAAGAGACACUAUAACAGACAUAAAUUAGUAGGUUUGGAUACUUGAUUGAAUAAAAAGAUAAUUAAAAAACUGAAAUAGAAAAAUAGAAAAAUUAAAAUAAAUUUAUAAUUAUUCUAAAAUUAAUUAUAGAUGUUGAUAUUUAUAUUAAUUAAUGAAGAAUAUUGUAGAUAUUUAAUAUUAAAUUAACAACUAAAAUCGGAAACGAUCUAUAUUUUUUAGACUUACUAAAAAAGAAAAAUAUUCUACCAAAAUUGGAGGGAGGGAGUAUAUAGUAACAAAUCCAAGAAACGUAUCAAGCAUGGAACAACUUUAAAUGUAUUGGAUGUUGGCCGUAAUUCAUAAUCUGUAACUACAAAUAAAUGUUGCAAAUAACUUAAUAUUUAAAUUGCAAGUUAUGGCAAUUAAAUCUUACCAUAAUAAAGUCUGAGUUGCUCAGUUGUCGAUAAAUACAUGGAAAAAGAUUAACAGAAAGCAUUACCUUGCAAAAUGAAGAAAGCUUCAAGCACUAUACCACUCUCAGGAUUUUUUAUACUAUUGUGUUCAGUUUCUUUGGCAAGUUCCGAGUCAGCCCUGGAAAACUUUCUUCAAUGCUUACCUAAUCACGUUAGUUCCUCUUACCCAAUUUCUGAAGCCAUUUUUUUGCCUACUAAUUCCUUAUUCAACUCCACGUUACAAGCCUACAUAAAAAACCUUCGGUUUCUGACCCCUACUACCCCAAGACCCCUCGCUAUUGUUGCUGCAAAACAUGAAUCUCAUGUCCAAGCAACUGUUAUUUGCGCCAAGUCUAAUGGCAUGCAAAUCAGGAUUCGAAGUGGUGGACAUGAUUAUGAGGCUAUUUCUUAUACAUCUAAAGUGCCAUACAUCGUUCUUGAUAUGUUCAAUCUUCGAGCUAUCAGUAUUCAAGCAAAUAUAGGCUCUGCUUGGGUUGAAGCAGGGGCGACAACUGGUGAACUUUACUAUCAGAUUGCCAAUCAGAGCAGCACACUUGCUUUUCCUGCCGGGGUUUGCACUACUCUUGGCGCUGGAGGUCACUUCAGUGGAGGAGGAUAUGGAAACUUGAUGAGAAAAUUUGGACUGUCGGUUGAUAAUAUCGCUGAUGCAAAAAUAGUUGAUGUCAAUGGUAAAAUCCUAGAUAGAGCAUCAAUGGGGGAAGAUCUGUUUUGGGCAAUAAGAGGUGGUGAUGGUGCAAGCUUUGGAGUUAUUCUUGCAUGGAAGAUCAACUUGGUUCAAAUUCCUAGCACAGUUACUGUGUUCAGGGUAGGAAAAACAUUGGAUCAAGGCGCAACUGAUAUCCUCUAUCGGUGGCAAGAAAUUGCUCCUAAUCUAGAUACUGAUCUUUUCAUACGAGCAAUGCCAAAAGCCGAUAACGGUAGCAUUGAAGUUUUUUUCAUUGGACAGUUUCUUGGACAAACUGAUAGGCUUCUUCCGUUGAUCAACAGGAGCUUUCCUGAAUUGGGUUUACAGCGACAAGAUUGUCACGAAAUGAGUUGGAUAGAGUCAAUACUUUUCUGGGUCGAGUUCCCUAAUGGAACAUCCACUGAAGUGUUGCUAGAUAGGCCUCCAAAGCCCAUUGUCUUCAGCAAACUUAAGUCUGAUUAUGCGAAAGAUGUUAUUCCAAAAUCAGGAAUAGAAGAGAUAUGGAAGAUGAUGCUUAAAGUAGGGAAAAUGUGGAUGCAAUGGAACCCUUAUGGAGGAAGAAUGAGUGAGAUUCCAGAGACCGACACGCCAUUCCCUCAUAGAGCAGGAUACCGAUUCUUGAUUCAGUAUACUUUAGUGUGGCAAGAUGAAGGGAUUAUAGAAAAGCAAGUAAAUAUGUUAAGAGAAAUGCACCAAUCGAUGACUCCAUAUGUCAGUAAGGAUCCAAGGGAAGCAUUCCUGAACUAUAGAGAUCUCGACAUUGGUAGCAACCCAAGCAAUUCGACAAACUUUCAGGUAGCUGAAGUUUAUGGGUCCAAGUAUUUCAAGGACAACUUCUUAAGGCUGACAAAGGUGAAGGCUAGGGUUGAUCCUGAUAAUUUCUUCAAGCAUGAACAAAGCAUUCCACCUUUUGUUUAUAUUAAUAAAUAAGAUAUGCUAUAUGAUGUUAUAUGUUAAUAUUUCCCAUAAUUAAGUUAUUGAAAUGGGAUGUAACGUUUCUGCUAGAUAUUUCAUAAGAUGACCUCACAUAUAAAACAUGUUUAAUGGAAUCGAUUUCUUAAAUAUUCUUCUUGGAAAUGCAUGUCAUAGAAAGAAGUUUAUAAAUAUCUCUUUUAAUUUAUUUAAAAUCUUAAAGUUGAUUUUCAAAAAUAACGUUAAGUUUUUUGAAAUAAUAUUUUACUACUUGUAAAGAUAUACUAUCCAAUACAGUUCAAAUUAGUUAAAUAAAUUCAUUACUUAAAUAAAUUAUAUAUGUACAGGCUUAUGAUGAACAAGCAAUUUUCAAAGACAUGAGCUACAACAAUGAAAGUAUUUUAGUAGGGUUUAGGGCCUGCAUUCAGUGUGUCUCUCACUAUCCAAAAUUGGAAAACAUAGAAUUAGAGAUAUUCCAGGCAUCAAUACAUAUGUGGAUCACUUGUAUUGACGCUUAUUUAAAUGCGUUUCUGAUCUUUGUAACUUGCAGAUAUUUUUUUACAACUGUUAUUAAUUUUUUAUUUUUAGUGAUACUUUUUAAUAAUGUUGUUAAAUUAUUAUUAUAAUACACUCGUUUUGUUUUGUGAAACUAACAGUGAACAUAAAAUUAUAUAACAAAUUAUUUAUAUAAUUCAUAACUAAUAAAUAGAUGAUAUGUAUAUAUAAAUAUUUUUUUAAAAUAUUAAAGAGAAGAGGAAUCUAAAUAUAUAUAUAUAUAAGUGUUUUAUAAUAAUUAAUAUAAUUAUUUAUCUAAAAUUAAUAAUUAUAUGUUAUUUAUUUAUUAAUUUAAUAUAUCAAUAGGAAUUUAUAUCGAAUAGAAAAUAUAUAUUUUUGUGUCAUAUGAUAUGAAAGUGUAGAAAGAUGGCUGAAAUUGCAGUGCAAGAGAGCGGCGCUUAAUUCUUCACUUCAACUGCAUUUCAUCGCCACCUUUAUUUUCUUUUGAUAUGAUCUCUUUAAUAUAUUCUUUUUAACUAACUUUAGAGAGAUUAAAUAAUUAUUAUUAUUAUUAUUAUUAUUAUUAAGAAAUAAUAUGUUCUUUUUCCUGAUUAAUAUUUUUUUGUACCAUAAUGUCAGAUAAAAAAUUUUAAAACAAAUUUACUAAACAGUUUUGACAAAUUAGGAAAAUAGAGAAAAAAAAAGACCACAUCAGAGAAGUUAGAAAACCACCAAUAAUAAACCUUUCGACCUUUUUGUUGAAUUAUUAAGAGGUCUUACUACUAAAGUUUGUGAUAUUAUACUUCUUUUUUUUUUUUAAAUAUGGAUAUUUCAUUAAUGAAAAUUGAUAAGUACAUAUUAAAAUAAAUAAAUAAAUAAAUAUAAAUACCAAAUAUCAAGAAACACAUAUAAAGAAAUUUACUUCAAAGAAUUAUCAAUUGUGUUAAUAGAGUAGUAGAUUGCAAUUUCACCGGAAGUACGCUGCACUCGGUGGUAUUAAGCCACAUAUUGACUUUAUAGAUAACAUUUACGAAUUCAAUUAUAUAAAUGUCAGAUUUAAUCUUUUUUUUUUUUUCGCCAUUUCUAUAAAUAGAGAAUUCAAUACUUUUGUAUGGAAAACCAUAAAAAUCCUUAUAAAACGAGAACUCAAAACUCUCAUAACGGAGAACCAUAAAACUCUUUAAGAAAAAUACAAAUAGUUAUUUAUAAACUAAUUAAUAACAAAAAGAAUUUGGACUACCGCCCAUCUAAAGUUGAUGAUGGGUAGAGGGCCAAAAGAUGAAAAUUUUAUAAAUAAAAUAAAAAAAUAAGAGAGAAAGAGAAAAGAUAGUUAGGAUUUUUNNNNNNNNNNNNNNNNNNNNNNNNNNNNNNNNNNNNNNNNNNNNNNNNNNNNNNNNNNNNNNNNNNNNNNNNNNNNNNNNNNNNNNNNNNNNNNNNNNNNNNNNAAAUUAAAAAAAAAAAAAAAAGACAAACUAUUAUAUGAUCUGGUGGAAAAAAGUUUAUAUAAUUAGAUUUUCAAAUUUAGAAAAUUCUACUUCUACAAACUUAGCUUUAUACUCUAAAAAGAAUUUAUGUUGGAGUAUUUUUCUUUUUAUUUAUAAUUAAAAAUAAAAAGUAAUAAUCUUCUAUGGAUCCAUAACCAUAUAAUCUCUCUUUUUCUAUUUUUUUGCAGGAUAGUCUCAUCGCUGGAAUAUGAUAUUAAUAAAUUACCUCAAUUUAGGAAAGAAAAUUUGCUGUCAUUUAAACAUUUCCAUGUAUUCAACGAAAUGACAAGAAUACCUUAUAAACUUAUAAUCCUACAACUUGAUUUCAGCAAUUGUUUUUUCUAUUAAUGGCAUUCUGACUUCAUAAUUCAAUCAAAAUCUGUAAGGUUAAAUUUGAAUUUAUGAUAGAAAGUUUCCUUCAAAAAGAAAACAAAAAAGACCAUCAAAAGAUAAAUUGCAGUGCCUCAGUUUUCCUAUAAAUACAUACACAAACAUUAAUCAGAAAAACCCGCACACGGAAUAAAAUAAAAUAAAAUGAAGCUUUCAUCUUUCGCUCGAUUUUCCAUUGUUAUAAUCUCAAUUUCUUUAGCAAAAGCAGUUACCUAUGAUCAUCAAGACUUUCUCCAAUGCCUAUCCGACAAUUCUCAGAAAUCAAAUCCAAUUUCUGAUGCCAUCUUCACUCCUAACAAUUCUUCAUUUACUUCAGUUUUACAAUCUUAUGUAAGAAACCUGAGAUUCUCAGCCCCUUCAACACCAAAACCUAUAGCUAUUAUUGCAGCAAAGCAUGAUUCCCAUGUCCAAGCUGCAGUUAUAUGUUCUAAAACUCUUGGUUUGCAGAUCAGAAUCCGAAGUGGCGGUCACGAUUAUGAUGGGCUUUCCUAUGUAUCAGAAGUGCCUUUUGUAGUUCUGGACAUGUUUAAUCUUCGAUCUAUCAAUAUAAAUAUAACAGAUGAGACUGCUUGGGUUCAGGCAGGAGCCACUCUCGGUGAACUUUACUAUAACAUUGCAGACAAAAGUAAUGUUCAUGCGUUUCCUGCUGGGGUCUGUCCUUCACUAGGCGUUGGAGGACACUUUUCAGGAGGUGGCUAUGGAAACUUGAUGAGAAAAUAUGGUCUUUCUGUAGACAAUAUUGUUGAUGCCCAAAUUGUUGAUGCCAAGGGUAGAAUUCUCGACAGGAAAUCUAUGGGAGAAGAUCUCUUUUGGGCUAUAACAGGAGGAGGUGCAGCAAGUUUUGGAGUCAUUCUUUCCUGGAAAAUAAAUUUAGUUCAGGUUCCUGAACAAGUCACUGUUUUUCAAGUUGUGAGAAGUGUAGAGCAGGGUGCCACUGACCUCGUUUGGAAGUGGCAACAAAUUGCAGACAAGCUAGAUCAUGACUUGUUCAUCAGACUGAUCCUAACACCAGUAAAUGGAACUGAGCCAGGCAAGAAGACUGUAAAUGUAACGUUUGUUGCCAUGUUCCUCGGGGGAACUAAAAGACUCCUGUCAUUGAUGAAUGAAAGCUUUCCUCAACUGGGUUUACAAAAGAAAGACUGCACUGAAAUGAGAUGGAUUGAAUCCACAGUAAUUUGGGUUGGAAUGCCCAAAGGAACUCCCAUUGAAGCUUUACUCAAUAGGCCUACAAAUGCAUCUGUUUACUUAAAAAGGAAAUCUGACUAUGUGAAAGAACCCAUUUCAAAGAAAAAUUUGGAAUCAAUUUGGAAAAUUAUGGCAGAAGUAGGAGUAUCAAUGCAAUGGAAUCCUUAUGGUGGUAAAAUGAGCGAGAUUUCAGAGACAGAAACUCCAUUCCCGCAUAGAGCUGGAAACUUAUUCAAGAUUCAGUAUUCAGCUAACUGGCUACAAGAUCAAACAACAGAACUUUUUCUGAAUUCAACAAGAACCCUUUUCGAAGCCAUGACUCCUUAUGUCUCAAAGAAUCCAAGAGAAGCAUUUCUAAACUAUCGGGACAUUGAUAUUGGCAGCAUCGGUAGCAGCGGAAACGGCACAUUCCAGGAAGCAAGUGUUUAUGGUGUUAAAUACUUCAAGGAUAAUUUUGAUAGACUGGUGCGCGUGAAAACAGCAGUUGAUCCUGAUAAUUUCUUCAGGUAUGAACAGAGUAUUCCAACUCAAUUUGUACUUUCCAGGAAGACUAUAAUGUGAAGAUUACUUCAGUGAGUAAUUGGAUUGACCAUUGAGAUUAGCAGCUUAUACUGCUCUGAACAAUUGAAGAUUAGCAGCUUAUACUGAACAAGUACUGUAAUUUUUAAUAUAAUUAAUUGGCUUGAUGGGAUAUUUCUUUCCCACAUAUUAUUGCCUGUAUUGCUUCCUUUUCCUAAUUGUCUACUGAAUUUUGAGUAAUAUUAUGCAGAAUUUAUGUUAGUUUAAUUCAUACCACCAAUUAUAUUCUUCAAAACAAGAAUGCAACAACUCUGCAGUUACUUGAAAAUGUUAUCUAUAUGAAAAAAUAUAUAUAAUUUUUCUUGUUAUUCUUGUUCUUAGCAUGAAGAAAAGGCAUAGGACAGGAUAAACUCUGAAAAACUUUUGCAAUUAUCUGUUCCAAGUGUUGCUAAAUUGAACCAUAAACCAAUAUUUUUCUUUUUAUGAAAAAAGAUUAAAAGGAAAAAAAAGCUUGGUGCCUGGAACUUGCUCAUUUGUUAUUUUUCCUUAUUUUCUAAAAGAAUAAUCUCCUUUUCAUUUAUAAUUCGCUCUUUAUUAUAGUUAAUUUUUUAAAAUAUUAUACUUAAUAAAUAAUAUUUCAGUCCACUGUAUAAUUAAAUUUAUUUUUAAAUAACAUAAUAAAUUAUAAAAGAAUCAAUGUAUGCCGUAUUAAUAAGACAUGCAUCGAUCUUAGAUAUAUUUAUAUCAAAAAUAAAUUUUUAUUUACGUUUCAUUUAUACAUAAAUAAAAUUCAAAAUAAUCCGAAAAUUAAAACUCAAAGGCACAAAAGCCUCCUUAUAUUAUAACCUAUAUUCCCUUCUCCUUCCUUUUAGAUUCUCUCUCUCUCUCUCUCUCUCUCUCUCUCUCUCUCUCUCUCUCUCUCUCCAUCUUUACAUAAACAUAUACCCAUGUUUUCCCUAUUUCCUGUACCACAAAUCCAAGAUUUCUUGUUUAAUAGAACAACCUAUUCAAAUUAUGAAUUUGGUACACCAUCCACGGAUUUCAUGGAGGAAUUUACUUUUCUAUUAUUCUCUCUUCUAGUUCUAGUCUUUCUUUCUCUAGUGUUCAUGAAUUUAGUGCUUAGAUUGAGGAAGAUCUUUGUUCACUUGGUUCAAAAUAUUUAUCUUCCUCGUUCCUUUUAUGAUGUAUAAUUUCAUUUAAAGUGGUUAAAUAAUGAUAAUUUCAUAUUUAAAUAAAUUUGGAUAUUUUGAUAUUUUCUAAAUGUAAAUUAUUUUAAUUAUUAUCGAACAAGACCAACCUUAUCGAGUUUAUAUUAUUUUAAUUUUUUUAUUGAUAAAUAUUCUUAUAUUUAGUUUUUAUAUAUUAAUUAUUUAAAAUAGGAAAAUCCUGACUCCGUUGAUACUUGCCAAGCAGGUAGUUUGAUGGGAUAUGAAAGUACACUCAAUGCCAUAACUUUCCUUCAAAUCUUUGCCUGUAUAUAUUGUUGCUUUUCCUUAUUGUCUACGGAAAUCUGAGUAAUUGGCUGAUCCUAUCAGACCAAGAAGCUUGAUAGAAUAUGAAUUAUACCUAUUAUAUGCCAUUUCUUUCUCUCAAAAGCUUUCCUGUAUUGUUUGCUUUUCUAAUUGUCUACUGAAAUCUGAUGCAAUCAAACUAUAUAAGGAGACUUGUGCAAAAUUUAUUCCAGUUUUCUAGAUUAAUUCAUACCAAGAAAUCUUAUUCUGCAACAAUUCUGCAUUUACUUUAAAUAUAUAUUAUGCGAAUUCAAUUGUUCUAGUUGCAGCCAAUUCCAACUAAAAGAAAUUAAUUUAUUCACUAAAUUUAAGGAUAAAUAUAAAAAAGAAAGUACGGUGUGAUUUCACUAUUUGAUAAAUUUCAAUAUAUGUAGUUUUUAUCAUAUAAAAUAGAUAUGUGAUUAAAAAUCGUGAUAAAAACAAUAUUUCAUUGUUAAAUAAUAUCGAUUAGUAAAACUAUUUUCAUUUUGAUCAGUUAUCAUUAUCAUAUUUUUUAUGUUUAGUAAUAUGGGUGUAUAGCUUAAUAACUAAAAAUGUCAUUAUUUGAUCGUUAAAUUGAUUUCAACAGAUCAAUAACUUUUUAAACGGCAAUUUAACGAUCAAACAAUGGAAUUAAGAGUUAUUAAGUUCAAAACUCGUAUUUUUUAAAAUAGGCAACAUGAUAAUGAUAACUGAUCGAAGUAAAAAUGGUGAAAUCCUUACAAAUCGAGACAUUUUGACAGUGAAAUAUAUUUUUACUUAUAUAACUAUAUGUCUCUCGUCUAAAUAAAAUAACUUACUAAAAUUUAUAAAAUAAUAAAAUUACAUAGCACUUUUUUAUAUUAUUUCUUAAAUUUAUAUCAAUUUGUUUUCUUUUUGAAUUGGAAGUAGAACUCAUUGUACCUUUUCAAAUAAUAUAUUUGAUUCAGAUUAGUUUGAACCUGAUUCUAAAUCUGAUAAUUUUUAAUCCAAUUUUAUUCAGUUUGAUUCCGAAUCCAAACCUGUAAGAUCUAAUCUAAACAAAUAUAUAUAUAUAUGAAUUUUUUUUUCUUUUUCUUCCUUGCAUGAGCAAAAGAGAUAGGAAAGAUUAAACUCCUAAUCCCUUAUAAUUAUUUAUUUCCAUUGUUGUUAUAUCAAUACCAUAAAAUCUUUUUUUUUCUUUUUCUUUUUUUGUUUCUAGAAAACGAAAAGCUCGGUGGCUGGCUGUCCAAGUAAGUUACUUAACUUGGCACCACUUCCCACAACAUAGAGUGGAGACCAAGGUGACUUUGGCACCAAGUUCUUGUAACAUAGACAAAAAGUUUAAUUAGGUGUACAACAUGUAAAACACAUGCGAACUUUGGUUUAACAAAAAGAAAUUUACAAUAAAAGUUUAUGCUUGAAUAAGGAUGUUUGGAAUUAUUGUUGGGUGUUUAAAAAAAUAUAUUUAAAUUUUUUUAUUUAAUGUAUUAAUUUUCUUAAAAUUAUUUUCUUGAGCCUGUUUUUUUAGAAAAGCAUUGAUUCAUCUAUUCUUUAUAAAAAUGAUUUUUAAAACUAAAAAAUAAUAAAAUUAAAAUUAAAAUUAGAAAAUCACUUUUCCUACCUCAAUACUAAUGGCAACUUAAGUUUCACAUUAAGACUCUAUUAGUACGAAGAAGCUAAUAAUAUGAAUUUUAAUAAUAACAAAACCUUGCAUAGUUCUAUAUUGUGUAUAGGCAUAUCUAAUAGUGCAGGAAUAGAGUGGAUUAUAUCAAAUUAUUGACAAAGUAGAAGAGCGUCGUCAGACAUCUACUUUAAUAAAAAAAAACAACAAAAUGCCCCGAGUAUAAAUCUAUGUAUCAACAACCUCUAUUUAAGAAAGUGUAUUAAAGGUCUAUUUUAGAACUUUGUAAGGCUUGAUCUCUAGCCGUUAGUAGAGUCAUAUAGUGGAGAUAAUCUUAAAGUGAAAUCCUUAAGGACUAGAUGUAGGUUUUAGUACUGAACCAGAAUAAAUCCUUGUGUUAAUUCUAUUAACUUGCAGUUCAUAAAAUAUUUGUUUUUGAUACAUGCUCAAUUAGUUGUCUAUUACAUCUUAAAUACGAAGACAAUUUAUUUAGACAUUUAACUGUUUUUUAAAAGAAACAUCAGACAGCAUUCACUUCGCAUGCUCUCACUCAUAUAAUCUACAUGAGUUUACAAGUUACUGCAAUUGAUAUAUUAAUUAAAAUUACUAACUUAUUGUUGUAGGUAUCUAAUAGUGAGCUCUCUAAGUUUAAUUAGAUAUUUAUGCAGCGAGCUUCAAGCUCUUGAUAGAAACUCUUGCAAAUCUAUCUCAUAAAUAGUUGAUUAGCAAGUAAAUCACUUAAGCUAGAAGAUUUUUGAGAAUUCUAAUUCACUCCUCUCUUUGACGUCUAUUAUGCACUUUCGGACUCUUAUUAGAAUCGUUUCUAAAUACUAUUUUCGUUUAAGCACGUCAUAUUAAUACCGUUAUUGAUUUUUUUCAAGUUUAAGAGUUUCAUGAGAAUAUUAUUAUAGUCAUUUUUUAAAAGUUUAAAUGGGCACAUAGAUGCCAUAUAUUAAUAAAACUACCUGGGUUAAGUAUUUUUUUAUAGAAAAAAAUUGUCCAAAGUGUUAAAGUAACGUUGAAGAACCAGUAAAAGCUUGAGGUAUAAAUAUAGUAUAAUUUGAAUCAAUUUUCUUUAUUUAUGGGAUGUCUAACAAUAUGUGGACUAUAUAACUAUUUACAUUCUCCAUAAAUGUAAAAAUUCAAUUGAAAACACUUACUCUCGAGUACAAACACUCUUGCCAAAUAUUAUAAUUUGAAUAAAUUUGAAUAUGUAUAAUAAGUUAAUAUUAUUUAAAUUAAAUUAUAUAUUACAUUUAUUAUAGUCUUUCUAUAUUAUUAUAUAACUAAUUAAUGAAGAAAUCUCAAAUGCUCAAAUAAUAAAUAUACCACUAAGUUAAUCUAAAAUAUAUGAGAAAUAUAUAAUAACCAACUCAAAAUCUUGUCUAAAUAAGAAUUCUAAGGCAGAUUGCACAAUGAUGCCCAAAAUUUUGUAACAAAGUUUAGAAUGGAACCACAUUUUCAAUUUUUUUUAUUUUUAUUAUAGACAUUUAUUUUUGUUUCUGGUGAAAAGUAUUGAAGACACUUUUAACUUAAAAUGACUGAUUUGGCAAUGAAAUAGAGAAUAUUCAUAACAUUUAUACCAUAUCUUUGGUUGCCACGUCAGAUUGUCUUCACUUAAAAUAUAAAAUAGAUUAUUUGGAUACUGAAAAAUAAAAAAUAAGGAAUUGGUAUCAAUAGUGAUAUUUAUGAAAAACUUUGGGUACCACUUGUGCAAAAUAUCCAAGAACACUAAAGUACAGUACAGAAGAUGGUGGCCUGGCCUGUAAUAAUUUAUGAGAGAGAAUUAGCAUUAAGUUAAGCCCAUUGAAAUCCCCCAAAAUUAGAAUAUGGCAUAAGGAAGGAGAACCUCUUUUAAACUUCCCACUUUUUCGUUCUUCUUAAGUUUCCUGUCCAGAAGGGGAAUUCUUGAGUGCAAGAUUUUGAAGCAUUUCUAUAAAAACUAGUCUUGCUUCAACACAGAAUCAAUCAUCUAUGUCAAUGUCCAGGGCACUAACUGUAUUCUCAAUUCUUUCAAGUCUACAAGUUUUAUUGUUUCAUAUGUCAAUGGCAGCUUUAGAUUUAACCCAAGAAAAAACCAUUCUCCAAUGCCUUUCUACUCAUUCCAUAACCAAUCCACCAAUCUCUGAAGUCACUUACUUUCCUUCCAAUCCUAAAUACACAUCUAUCUUACAAUCAUACAUAAGAAACCUCAGAUUCAACUCCUCUGCAUCCCCAAAGCCUUUUUUCAUUGUAACACCUACCCAUUCAUCUCAUAUCCAAGCAUCCAUUAUCUGCUCCAAGAUUCAUGGCUUAGAGCUUAGAAUUCGAAGUGGUGGCCAUGAUUUUGAUGGACUUUCUUAUAUAUCAAAUUUACCCUUUAUCAUUCUUGACAUGUUUAAUAUGCGAUCUGUAAGUAUAGACAUGGAAGAUGAAAGUGCCUGGAUCGAGUCUGGUGCUACUCUUGGCGAAGUUUAUUACUGGAUUGCUAAAAGGAGUGGAGUUCAUGGAUACCCAGCUGGGGUUUGUCCUACUGUUGGUGUUGGAGGGCAUUUGAGUGGAGGUGGAUAUGGUAACUUAAUGAGGAAGUAUGGGUUGUCUGUUGAUAAUGUUGUUGAUGCAGUAGUAAUUGAUGCUGAUGGGAGGGUUCUGGAUAGAGAAGCAAUGGGGGAAGAUCUUUUCUGGGCUAUUAGAGGUGGUGGUGGAGCUAGCUUUGGAGUUAUUGUUUCUUGGAAAAUUAAGUUAGUUCUUGUUCCAGAAAUUGUUACUGUUUUUAGAGUUGAAAAAACACUGGAAGAAGGUGCUUCAGAUAUUGUUUAUCAAUGGCAACAGGUUGCUGAUAAAAUUCAUAAAGAUCUGUUUAUAAGGGUGGUUUUGAAUCGUGCUGUAAGACAUGGACAAGAGACUGUCAAGGCUAAAUUCAAUGCCUUAUUUCUAGGAAAUGCAGAAAGACUUGUUGGUCUAAUGGAUGAGAAGUUUCCUGAAUUGGGUUUACUGCAUAAAGAUUGCAAGGAAAUGAGCUGGAUUGAAUCAGUGUUGUUUUGGUCAAAUUACCCAAUUGGAACUUCUGUGGAUGUUUUGCUUGAGAGACAUUCUCAAGCAGAGAAGUUCCUGAAGAGGAAGUCAGAUUAUGUACAAGAGCCUAUAUCAAAGCAAGAUCUUGAAGGUAUUUGGAAAAAGAUGAUUGAACUAAAACAAGCCGCAUUGACACUUAAUCCAUAUGGAGGAAGAAUGAGUGAGAUCCCAGAAUGUGAAACUCCAUUUCCACAUAGAGCAGGGAACAUAUACAAAAUCCAAUAUGCAGUGAGUUGGAAAGAUGCCAGUGUUGAAGCAGAAGAGCAAAACUUGGAUAUCAUAAGGAAAAUGUAUGAUUAUAUGACACCAUUUGUGUCAAAAUCACCAAGAUGUUCGUAUCUGAAUUACAGAGAUGUUGAUUUGGGCGUGAAUGAAGUUGGAAAUGAAAGUUAUGAAGAAGCCAGUAGAUGGGGAUACAAGUACUUCAAAGGCAAUUUUGACAGAUUGGUGGAAGUAAAGACAAAGGUGGAUCCUUGUAAUUUCUUUAGAUAUGAACAAAGCAUCCCAUCUCUUGAAGCUUCUUAGAAGAGUAGUUCCCUUGAAGAUUUGAAACACCAAAAUUCAAUUUCUGGGUGAAGCUUUUAUUUGACAUUGGUCCACAGAUUCAUCAAUUUCAAGUGCAUUAGCUCAAAUCAAAGGAAUUUGUAACCAUGAACAGGAACUUAAAUCAAUAAUCACUUUUAGGUGGAGUUACUGUAAUUCUAUAUGUAAUAUGAACUUGCUCUUUAGCAAUUACUUCUUCUUCUUUUUUAAUUCAAUUCUAGUUCACAAAAGAAGAUACCUAUGUGUCCCUUCCAAUGUGAUUAGUAAUAUAAUACUUUAUUAUUAUUUUAUUGAGGAAAGGAAGUCAUUUGUUAUAGACAGUAGAAAAUUGGUAAACUCUAAAGUGCAUUAGUUUAUAACUUUUUGGUAAACUCUAAAGUGAAUAAUAAAUUCUGCAUCCCAGCAUUCCUUCAACAGGCCAGGUAUACUGUCCUGAAAGCUAUUCUCCAGAGUUAACAUUCUUCAUAAUUUAUUAGCCAAGAAGAUUGCAUCACAUGGAAUCAUAGAAGUAAAGAACAGGGCACUUUGAUAAUUCAAAGCUGCAGAAUAUUCAAAUAAAAUGAUAUUUCAAUUGCUUUGUUGUAAUGGCAAAUGGCCUUUCUUUAUUGCACAAGCUGGUUAGUUUGGUCUGAAGUUGAUAAUUUAAUGGUGCAAGUAUCAUCUUCUACAAUUAAUUAAAUGAUGAUGUAGACUAGACAUGCAAGAUUUUACUCUUACUUACAUUUCUAUACCCAAAAAUUAACUUAAGGGGAAGUUGACAUUUAGAAAAAUAAUGAGAAUGAAAUGUCUCUCAUCUUCAAAGGUUUGUAAAAUAGAAAAGUAUAUUAAAUUAAGUGAUCUAUCAACAUUGACAACAACAAAUAAAUUUUACAUUAAGGAUACGUAUAAAUAUUUUAAAAAAAAUUGAAAGAUAUGCUUUUUUUUUUUCUAGUCAUAGAAGGUCAGUGGACCGUAAAUUACAAAAUAGAAAGUAAUCAGUUUUUUUUUUAUUUAUCGUAAAAAUUAUAAUUCACCUAUUAAAGAAUUAACAACUUAAAUUCAAAAUAUAUAAUCUUUCGAAUUAAAUUCUAUUUUUAAAAAUAAAAUUAAUUAUAAAAAAUUAAAAAAAGAGUUUCUAAAGAAAAAUUAAUGUUCAAUUUCUAUAUCAAUAAAAAAAGAGAAAUUGACAUGAAAAAUGAACAGUUAUGAAAGAACUGCAGCAAUAGAUUUGAGAAAAAGAAAGAAAGAAUGAGGGACGAAAGAAGAAAGGUGUUCAAUGUGUGGUACUAGAGGCCGCAUAAUGGGGUAGACCAUUAAAAGCAACCACUUAAAAGUCUCUCAAUUGCAAAAGUUUUUGGAAUUAUAAAGGCUUUUUUUAUAUUAUAGUCUAAAACUAGCAAAUAUAUUUACUAAAUUAAAGUUGGGGCAAAAUUUAAAAAUUUAGAAAAUAUAACUUAAUAAAACGCCUAUAAAAUAAGAAUAUUUUAAAUUAAAAAUAAAAUAUGUCAGAACACUAGAAAUUUAGUGAUAAUAAUAUUCUAAUUAAUUUUAUUAGCUUUAUUUUUUUUUUCUCUAAUGGUACCAUUUUAGAGUUGUUUGUUUUUCUAUAAGAAAGAAAAGACUUCUCAUAAUUGCCUAAUUUAUUAGUAAUCAAUUCAAAUUUUUUCAAGAAAAAAUCUUAAAUGUUCUAAAGAAAUAAGACGCUUAAUUUUUUCUUCAUUAGAAAUUAACAUAAGAAUAAUAUAUAUAUAUAUUGAUUUCUGAGACUUAAAUUUUUUGUAUAUGUAUAUUUAAUUUUUGAACACAAAAGAUUUUAUUUUGACAUGUAUAUUUAUUUUUAACACAUGAGAUUCAAAUUUAUAUGUAAUUUUAUAUAAUUUUUUAAUUAAUUUAUUGAUUCAUAAGUCACAUUCCUAAUUAAUCACUCUAAUCCUAAAAAAUAGUAUAUGUAUUAUAAUUAUAAUUUUAUAUUAACUAAUAAAUAAUUUUUUAAUUAAAUAAUAAUACUAAUUCUAUCCUAAAAAAUAACAUAAUAAUUAUAUUUUUAGAUUCUAUUAACUGAUAAAUUAAUUUUAUAAUCAGAUAAUAAUUUUAAUUUAAAAAUAAUAUUUAAUUUUUUUAUAAGAUGUUUUUUUAUUAAGUAUAUCUUUUAGUUUAUAAUUAACAAAUUUUAUCAAUUCUAAAAGGUGUUAUUAUAUGUUUUUCAUUAAAAAGCGUCGAUUAGUAUAAUUGAGUAUAUUAUAGUGAUAUUCAAGUAUAAAAAAAUAGCAUGUGGUUGCAAAUUUUUUUUUUAUAUAUAUAUAAAAUAGAGCAAUUAUCUCUUUAUAUUCGCUAUAAAAAUAAAAACUCAGUUAGUGCAGAAAAGAUAAUUCAAAUUUAAAAUUCUUUACUUCUAAAAGCAAAUGCUCUUACCAUUUAAAUUAGAUCCUGUAAUAUAAUAAUUGCACUUUUUUUACAUAUGAUAUAUAUAUAUAUAUAUAUAUAUAUAUAUAUAUGUUGUCUUCUUUUUUCUUUUUUUGACAUUUAGAUACCUUGUGAACUUUUUUCUUUAAUGAAGAUGAAGCCAAAAGGGGUGAGUCCACUUUUGAAGCUGGUUUCACAAGUAAUGGGUGGAGACAGGGAAAGCAAUAGAAAAGCUGACUUAGUAAAAUAAGAGAAGUGCAAGUAGCAGUAGUGGUGGUNNNNNNNNNNNNNNNNNNNNNNNNNNNNNNNNNNNNNNNNNNNNNNNNNNNNNNNNNNNNNNNNNNNNNNNNNNNNNNNNNNNNNNNNNNNNNNNNNNNNNNNNNNNNNNNNNNNNNNNNNNNNNNNNNNNNNNNNNNNNNNNNNNNNNNNNNNNNNNNNNNNNNNNNNNNNNNNNNNNNNNCUGCUUAGACCUAUUUUUCUACUUUUGACUUGGUCAUCCUCUUUCAUUAUCUCUACAUGUGGAUUAAACUAUCUACUUGGGAAAUUUUUAGGUGAACUAUUUACUAUGUAGGAUUGUAAAUUCUAAAUUGACAAAGAUGUAUUAUUAUAUUUUAGUUUGGACAAUAUAUAAUUAUCAUUGAUAACCAUAAUUAAAAUCGACGGAUAUAAAUGCAAUACGUUAUAAAUACAUCAUGCAUUUGUAUUUUCAGUAAAAGUUUAUAAUUUUUAUGGUAAAUGCUAUUUUUUUUUUUAAAAAAAUUAUCCCUUGAUCUAGUAAUACAAUUAGAUUUUACAAGCGAAAUAAUAAGUUGAAAUUAUCCAGCGAGAGAGCGUAUAAAAAAUUAGACUAUAUUAAUCAAUUUAAUCAAAAAUCGCUGGCUAGUCCAAUUUAAUUGGUCUAAGAAAUUGAAUUAUUUAAUCAAAUUAAACCGGUUAAAAAAAGAAAAAAAAUCAAAUCAAAUUAUAAAAGUUAUUUUAAAUAAAUUAAAUGAUAAUGGAUAGAACAUGCUUAUGCAUGUUUAAUUCUUUAUAUAUUAUAUUUAUAUAUAAUAUUUAGUGGUUCUCUAUGAUAGUUUACAUUACGUAAGGACUAAUUUAAACAAGAUUCGCAAGCAUAUUUGUUUUGUUCUCUCGAACGGCAAUUGAACAAUUGUGCGUGGCACUAUCUUGUUUGUCGGAUUAUGUGUUUCAAAUCUUUUUUUUAUUUCUAUUUUGAAACCAUUAAUGCUUUUAUUAUAUUAGAGUUGAGUUAUACUACGUUUAAACUUUGUUUUUUUCAAUGAAAUUUGAAAUGACCAUAGUUUUAAGAAAUGCCCAUACUCAUGUCCAGUUGAGUUUUACCUAACUUUCAGGAAAAAAAAAAUGUUAAUAAUUGUAAUCUCAGAAUGUUAUAAAUAUGUAGUUUAAUUCGAUUAAAAUUCUAAAUUUAAAUUUUAUUUUUAUGUUUCUUAUUAUUAAAAAAAUUGACGAACUCUAAAUUAUAAAUCAAAAGAUAAUUACUUUUUAAAAAUUUCUUUAUAAAAAUAAAAAUUCUCGCUUUUAAAAUAAACACUCUUAUGAGUUAAAAAUAUCUUAUAUUUUUUCUCGGAUAUAUUCAUUCUAUGAAAGGGAAAGUCAGAAUCAAUGUGAUUUAAUUCUAUUUUUCUUAGUUUAUUCAUUUCUAUUAUUCUCCCAAAUGCCUCAAAGAUAUAUAUUUGUUCAUUUAUAAAUUGUCUGUGUCAUCGAUGGAAGUCAAACUUAACAUGCAAAGACAAUUUUAUGGCUACCAGAAUGGCCACAUAUGCAAAUUUUAAGAUAGGGUAUCAAAUGAUUUCACAUUUUUAUAUUUUGACUCUCUCUCUCUCUCUCUAUAUAUAUAUAUAGUCACAACAACUUACUGCUGACCUUGCCAAACGGCAGCGUCUGAUGCCUCUUCCCUUCUCUUGUCUCCAAGAAUUGUAUUUUAUUUUUCAUUUGAACUUUUCUAUUCUCACUUAAAUAAUAGAAAAUAAAAAUUCAAACUUAACUUUUCAUGCUUUUAAUAAUAAGAUAGCUAUUCCACCUCAAUCUCCUCCUUAAUCUAUUCUCCAACAAGAAAAGUUCUUCCAUUGAAAUUUCUCCAUCCCAUGAAGAUAAUUAAAAUUAGAAAAUAAAAUAAAAGAAAAUACGGACGUAUAAAAUUAUUUUUAAUAUUUUGAGAUAAUAUUUUAUUAGCAAAAUAAUUUUAUAAAAAUAUCAUAAUGUCACCCCAUAUGGGCAAAGAAUCGAAACAAAUCAAAAUAGAGGUUAAAAAUUUAAAUGAAUUCUUAAUAUAUAUUCGGUUUGGAGCUUUUCUUAAAAGAAUUCAAUUGGGGUUUCAUAUUAUCUAGAAAUAGCUAAUUUUUUAGUUGGGGUAGCAAAGAAAAGGAGCCAAUCGAAUUGAUAGAAAUCGAACCAUAAAGAUGGAUUAACGGAACUGGUAGCUUUGUUUUCCAUUUUUUCUUUUUAAAAAGUUUCAGUUAGGCUUUUAGUUUCUUGUGAUUUAAAAACAGACAAUUAAUUAAAAUGACUAUUUUUUUAUUCGAUAUUUCUAUAAUCUUUUAUAUUAUAUUUUUAUAUAAAUUUAAAUUUUAUAUGAUUUUUAUAUUAAUUCUUACUAUUUAACCAAGAAAUUCGUCAACCAAACCCAUUUUUUGUUUAUCUUUUAUUCAAAAUAAUAAUUAAAAAAAAAAAAGCUAUAUACUCGGUUUUCUUUGCGGUGAAAAACAGGGAAAAAGAAAAGAAAAACACAGAGAAGAGAAACCCUGAAAGUAGAAAAUAAAAGUCAAAUUUCCAAAAUUAAGGACAUAAUCGUGUCUAAAUAUAAUGCUACAGAUUUUUCUGGGUGUGACUUUCUAUAUUUAUCUCUCCCCCUCAAUCAGUAAGUUACCUUCAUGAACCCUAUAAAUACCAGUCCCUGCACCAAACCCAAUUCAUCAACUACACAAAUCAAGAGGCAAACACACAAACUAUUGGCUUACAAUGGCAAAACCAAAAGAUCUUUCUGCUUAUGUUUGUGUUUUUGUCUUCUUGACCCUUUCCUUAUCUUCUUCUUCUUCUUUUGCUGCAACAACAGAUGAUGCAUCAGUUUAUACGUCUUUCCUUCAAUGCUUACAGAACAACACAACCCCACAAGACCAAAUCUCCAGCCUUGUCUACACCAAGGCAAACGCAUCCUACACUUCGGUUCUUCGAGCCUACAUUAGAAAUGCUCGGAUGAACACCACAGCAACCCCAAAACCGACAAUCAUUGUGACCCCAAAACAGAUAUCCCAUGUCCAAGCAGCGGUUAUCUGCGCAAAGAAAGUGGGUUACCAGCUUAAAGUUCGAAGCGGUGGCCACGACUAUGAAGGGAUUUCUUAUGUUUCAGAUGUUCCAUUCUUCGUUCUUGAUAUGUUUAAUCUUCGAUCCGUCCAGGUUGACAUGAAGAAUGAGUCUGCUUGGAUUCAGGCUGGUGCUACACUCGGUGAGGUGUAUCAUGGAAUUUGGGAGAACAGCAAAGUUCAUGGUUUCCCUGCUGGUAUUUGCCCUACAGUUGGUGUUGGUGGUCAUAUUAGUGGCGGUGGAUAUGGUAACAUGUUGAGGAAAUAUGGUUUGGCUGUGGAUAAUAUUCUUGAUGCUCAAAUUGUUGAUGUUAAUGGAAAGCUUAUGGAUAGAAAAGCAAUGGGUGAGGAUCUAUUUUGGGCUAUUAGAGGUGGUGGCGGUGGAAGUUUUGGUGUUGUUAUUUCAUACAAGAUUAAACUUGUUCCUGUUCCUGAAACAGUUACUAUAUUUAGGGCAGAAAGAGUUAUUGAAGAGAAUGCUACUGAUAUUGCUUAUAAGUGGCAAUUGGUUGCUCCGAAAACAGAUAAUGGUCUUUUUAUGAGGAUGUUGAUGCAACCUGUGACAAGGAAUAAGCAGCAGACACUUAGGGUAUCUAUUGUGAGUUUGUAUUUGGGGAAUGCUGAUAGUCUUGUGGCUUUGUUGGGGAAAGAAUUCCCUGAAUUGGGGUUGAAGAAGGAGAAUUGCACAGAGAUGAACUGGAUACAGUCUGUACUUUGGUGGGCAAAUUUUGAUAAUGGAACAUCACCUGAUGUUUUGCUUGAUAGAAAUGUCGACUCUGCCAAUUUCUUGAAGAGGAAAUCAGAUUAUGUGCAGAAACCUAUUCCUAAAAAUGCAUUGACUUUGAUUUUCAAGAGGAUGAUGGAAUUGGGAAAAAUCGGAUUGGUUUUCAAUCCUUACGGUGGAAGAAUGGAUGAGAUUCCUUCAACAGAAGUUCCUUUUCCUCACAGGGCUGGGAAUUUGUUCAAGAUGCAGUACUCAAUCAACUGGAACGAACCAGGAAGUGAUCUACAGAGCAACUACUUGUCUCAGGCGAGGAACCUGUACAGCUACAUGACCCCAUUUGUGUCCAAGAACCCAAGAAGCGCAUUCUUGAAUUACAGGGAUCUCGACAUUGGUGUCAUGACACCCGGUAAAAACAGCUACGAAGAAGGUAGCAUUUAUGGGUACAAGUACUUCAAUGGCAACUUUGACAGAUUGGUGAAAGUGAAGACUGCUGUUGAUCCGGAGAAUUUCUUCAGGAAUGAGCAGAGCAUCCCUACUCUUUCAAGUAAGGCAUAGGAGAUGAGAUGAUUUUCUUGGUGUAUUAUUAUUAUUAUUAUUAUUAUUAUUCAUUAAGUAGGAUACGUUAUCAUUUUGUAAUAAAUAUAUUUUCUGAAAACCAAUUAAUCCAAAAUAUACUUUUGCUAUCAUUUAUGUUCUUUAUCCUUUCAUUUCUUCUAAAUAGAAUCACUGUAAUAAUACAAUGAAACACCAAAGCUUCACGAGGAACAGUGCGAUGUGUCUACUUCUUAUGUUACCGCAAUCCCUGACGUAAAUAAACGUGUUGAAAAAUGUGGAUGUCUGUUUGUUUUAUCCGUCCCUACAGGCAAAAGAGACUUGUGGUUGGGCCAUACAAACAUUGAACCUCCACAUGGGUUUGACCCUUGCAUUAAAACAUUUGCACCAGAAAAGUUGACUCAUUCCUAAACUUUUGUUUCUUAAUUUUUAGAGGUUAUCAGAAACUGUGAGCUCUGUUUCGCUGCAAUAUUUAGAAAGUUUAUAAUUAAAGUUUUUAACAGAUAAGUAAACCGAUUAAGUUGAGAAAGUAUAUACUAAUUUUAUUAUAAAAAUGAGUUUAUAAUUUUAUUAAUGUAUUGAUGGAAUAAUUGUAUACAACAUUUUGACUGUAUUUGGCACAGCAGCAAAACAUGCAUUCCCCUUUAUAGUCAUAUGGAGCCACAAAUUGACUUCAUCGUCAUUUGACAAGUCUUUAAAUGAAUCUGAUUUUUUAAAUAACAAAAUUAAACUCAUAUUAACUCCCGUGAUAAACCACAAACAAGCACUCAUAAAGAAAAACAAAACAAAGUAUUCAUAAUAUUUAAUUAUCAAAUAAUUAAGAAAAGUAAAUAUAAAAUAAAAUCAUAAACGAGCUUUUAAUUAAAUAAAUUUAUUUUUAUGAAACGCUUUGAUUUAUCUUUAAAUAUUAAAAUUUUAGAUCUUUCAUACAUUUUUAAUUUAUCAUAUCUUUACCCAAACGACUCAUAAGAAAUUUUGCAAUCAAAAUCUAUAAAAUUUUAUCAACUCAUAUAAAUAAAUAAAAAUAUGAUUUGAUAAUUUUAUUAAAAUUGGAAAAAAAUUACUAAAAGAAAAAAGAAAACAAUAAAAAAAUUGAAAUUUGCUACUGUGGACGGCAGAAAAAAGCUGUUGCCUCACAAGUGUUGAUUAGAACUACUAACCUAACCUCUCACACAAUGUUAAAAAAUAGGACCAAAACUUAUCAAUGUGGUUCUUCCUUGACAUUGUAAAUAAUUGAUAAAAACAAAGUACAUGGUGAGGUCCUUGACAGGCAAAACUGAUCAAUCUCCAAUGUUACUGUGGAAGGUGUUUGAUAAAAAAUAAAAAAACAAGUUAAUGCUGUGUUUUAAAUGGCAGAGGCAAACUUGUUUUAGCUCCUUGUCUCAAGUGACCCUUUUCCUUUGGUCAUCUUAAAGGUUAGUUUUUGGUCGGUUAAACAAUUUCCUCUUGUUUGGUGUACAUAAAUCUAGAUUUAAUUUAGAGCAUAUGUCCGGUAAGAUAUUUACGGGUAGCAAAAUAAUUUCUCGAGAGUUCUAACGCAAUUCUAUAUUUAAGGUUCGAACUUGAGACAAAGAAAAUUAAUCUCUUUUAAUUUGGUGUUCACGGUGAUACUUAAUUUGUCUGCUUUGUUUCAGGAGAAUACUAAGGCGUGAUUAGAUAUCCAAAGUCAAGAGCUAAUAGGAAUGCUGAUAAAUGUACUAAGCUUUUCUUGAAGAUAUCAAGGUCUAAUGUGCUCAUGUAUAAACUAGGGAUAAACCUUUUGGUUGAAAUAGAAUAAGAAAUAUAACCAAUUUACAAGUGCUAAAAGAUUUUAAUUUUAGUCAUUUUAAAUUAAUUAGACUGAAACUGAUUUUAUUAUUGAAUUCUAAAUCUCACAUGUUUAUAUUAUUUUUACCAUAAUUAGUUAAAUUUAUAAUAUGGUAUCACAACAAGUUUGAUACAAUUUUUUAAUUUUUUAAUAUUUCAUUUAAAUGUUGAGUCCCCAUGAUCUAUAUACAUUAAAUAAAUGGGCUUUUAUUUUAUAUAUAUAUUUAUAUAUAUAUAUAUAUAUAUAUAUAUAUAUAUAUAUAUAUAUAGUUGGCUUUUACUUAGUGUUGAUUUUGCCAAAAGGCAGUUUUAGAUGCCCCUCCCCUUUAGUUGUCUUUAGGGAUUUUUGUUUUAUUUUCUUAUUUGGACUUUUCUUUUUCUCACUUAAAUAAAAAAUAUUCAAAACCCCCUUUUUUUUAUAUAGUAUUUUAGGUGUAGAAAAAAUAGAACUUAACUUUCAAUGGCUUUAAUAAUAAGAUAGCUAUCAACCCUCAAUCUCCUCCUUGAUUUAUUCCUCCAACCGGAAAAGUUCUUCCAUUGAAUUUUCUCCAUCCCACAAUGAAAUUUGAAACAAAAAAGUAAGAAAAAACAAACUCAGGGGUGUUUGUUAUUGCUUCAUGAUCUUCAUUUACUUUUUAAAUUAAAAAAAAAUAUAUGUUUUUUUAAAAUUGUUUUUAUUUUUUCUUUUCAAAACUUUUUAUAUAUUGUUUAAUAAAAAAAUUUAUUUUCAAUAAAUCACUAAUUUUUUUAAUAAUUUUUGUUUCCCUUUUUUAUAUUUUUUCUACUUUCUCUCCUCAUAAUUUAUCUCUUUUUUAUUAUUUUUUCUUUCAUUAUAUUCUUACAUAAAAUUAAGUUAAAAAAAUUUAUUUUAAAAAAACAACAAUGUUUUUAAAAUUUUUAUAAAUAAAAAACAAAAAGUAUACCAAACUAACCCAAUUUACACUCUGCAUAAUUAUUUGGCUAUAGCCAUAAAAAUGAACCCAAUUUACAGACUAGUUAAUUAAUUCAUAAGAUAAUCUUUAUCCAAUUUAUUAUAUUAAUAAACUUUCAAUAUUCAACUACCAAAAUAACUCAACAGAAACAUGUUUGGUUUGUUUAUAUUUGGGCUUCUUUUAGAAAAGAAUAAAUUCAAGUUAUAUUUAUAUUAUCUAGAAAUAGCUAAAAAGGAAAUAAAAAGAAACACAACAAUUAUAUAUAUAUAUACUGACAGCUAAAUAUUUUUGAGAUGUAUGCUUAAUUUUUGAUAUAUAAGAUUUUUUUUUUAACAUGUAUAUUUACUUUUGACACAUGAGAUUCAAGUUUAAGUGUAAUUUUAUCAUUCUUUUAUUAAUUUAUAAGUUACAUUUCUAAUUAAACACUCACUCUAAACCUAAAAAAUAAUAUAUUAAUUAUAUUUUAAUAUUAUAUUAACUAAUAAAUAAUUUUCUAAUAAGAUAAUGAUACUAAUUCUAUCCUAACAAAUAACAUAUUAAUUAUAUAUUAAUAUUAUAUUAACUAAUAAAUUAAUUUUAUAAUUAAAUAAUAAUUUUAAUUCUAGAGAAUAAUAUCUUAAAUUAUAUUUCUAAUAUUAUAUUUCAUAAUAAAUUUUUAAUUUGAUAUAUUAAUUUAUAUAAUAUUAAAAUCAAUUAAUAAAUAAUUUUCAAAUUAUAUAUUAUUACAUUAAUAAAAUUCUAAAAUAUUUAAAAAAUUAAGGAUAUUUAAAAAUAGUUAGUAUGCUAUUAUAUUUUAAAAAUCUAUAAAUUAAUAUUAAAUAUUAAAAAAUUUAUUAAACUAUAUCUAUCAAUUUAAUUUUAUAAUUAAAUAAUAAUAACGGUCUUGCAAUGCAUGAUUAAAUAAUUAAUUUUUAGUAGUGAUGAGCAAAAAAAAAAGUUAAAACUAAUUAAUCGAUAUUGAAAGAAGAAAAAAUCGAUUAAAAUAGCUAAUUGAUUUGGUUUUGAUUUCUUUUGUAAUACCCAAAAAUGUUCUUUAAUAACGAAUUUUAUUAAUAAUAAUUAAUAAAUGAGUUUUGAUUUAAAUUAAUUUUACUUUAUUUUUAUUUNNNNNNNNNNNNNNNNNNNNNNNNNNNNNNNNNNNNNNNNNNNNNNNNNNNNNNNNNNNNNNNNNNNNNNNNNNNNNNNNNNNNNNNNNNNNNNNNNNNNNNNNNNNNNNNNNNNNNNNNNNNNNNNNNNNNNNNNNNNNNNNNNNNNNNNNNNNNNNNNNNNNNNNNNNNNNNAUCUUAGAUUAUAAGUAAAUAUUGAAAUAAAUAUAUUUGGUAUCAAAUUUUCUCAAAUGUAUAUAUAAUAUUAUAAAUAAAUAUAUAUUGGAGAAUUAUGGAAGAAUUUGUAAAGGGUGUUUUUAUAAAAGAAUUUUAGAGAAAUUGGUAUUUUAAUUAGCUAGUGUAUUAAAUUUUAAGUUGGAAAAUAUUUAGCAAAUUGAUUAUUUAAUUUAAUUUAAUUGUGUGUUAGGACUAAAUUGAAAAUAUAUUUUGGGAUGAGGACUAAAAAGUAUAAUUUUAUUAUUGUGGGGUUUAAUGAAAAUUUGUAAGUUUGGUAUUUUUAUAAAUAAAUAUGUCGGCCAGGGGUAUAUAUGUAAUUGUGUAUUUUCAAUAAUUCUAAUUUGGCCCAAAUUAAAUAGUUAGGGGCUUAAUUGAAAGGCUAAAAAGAAGUUUAAGGGUUAAUUAGAAAUUUUACUUUACGAAUUGUAAGUUAUUAAAAAAGUUGAGGGGCCUAAUUGUAAGGAAGGAAAUUUUGGAGGCCAAAUGUCGAUAUUGGAAAGAAAGAAAGAAGAAAAGGAAGAGAAGGAGAUCAGGAGGAGAGAGAGUGGCGUCGGGGAAGAAGACCAGGCGGCAUGCGUUUUCUGUGGCGGCUUCAGAAGUGCGCGGGGUGGCCGUCGGAGCAGCAGGCGGUGGGCGCGAGUGUGCGGCAAAGAACAGCAGCGUCAGGCACCGGGAGUCGCACGAAGGGGCAGCGGCUUUCGAAGGCCAUUCCGGCGGCUUUAUUGGCUGUUUCUGGUGGCGAUCGACUCCCUUCGACGAGAGCUUAGUUUUGGCGGCAGUGGCGGCGUUAAUGGUGGCCGAAGAAGGAAGUUCGCGAUGGAGAGAGAAAGUAGGUGGCAGCCGCGUUUUCUGGCUUUUCCGGCGAGCUCCGGCGGAGGAUGGAUGAUCGGAGGACGUAUCCUAACUCUCCUCAGCUCAAGCUUCGCAAUGGCACCUGUUUCGUGGCGAUCAUACUUCAUUUGCAAAUCGACGACCGAGAUCGUCCGUAAAUCUCUCCAGAUGAUCGAGGGUCGGAUCAGAAAAUUGGAAGCGGGGAUCGUCAUCAACACGUCUUUUCGAGUCCGAUGGUGUGUUCGGAUCGUCGAUCGAACUUCGGCGGCUGGAGGCGAGUCGACCGAGCAAUCAAGCGUCUCGGUAAUUUUCUCUGGCCCAUUGAUCUUGGAAUUCUUUGGGUUAAUUUAUGCUUAUUGAUUUGUGUUGAGCAUUAGAUGAUAUUCGUGAGUCAAAAAUAAUAGUUUGUCGGACUGCCUGCCGUAGUCGUGAUUUUUGUGCUGUGUGGCGGAGUCGGGAGAUUAGUGAAGUUUUGAGGACCGGACUCCCAUUGUAUUAAAUUGUUGGAUAUUUGAAGUAUUUUUCUCGCAGGUCCUGGACCCGUUUUACGGGGAUAAGCGUCUAUGUUUUAGGGGAAGUUCUGCCGAAUUUUGGGUAGAAUUUACCCGAGUCAUAAUUCUUAGACAGUCAGUCCUAGGAAUCUAGACCUAGCGUUAAUUGUCAAUUGUUUCAGUAUUAUUAAUAAAUUAUUUUCCGUGAUUAGAUAAUCCGUCUGUUCGGCUCGCUCUAACCGAGGCACCGGAGCAGAGCUAGGAGGUUGCCAAAGGUGUGAGUUAAAGUCAUAUAUUUGUUUACAUGUGUCAUGCAUAAAUUCUUUAUUUGCUAUCGUGGUUAUUUUAUUGCAAGUUCAAAUUAUUCAUUUAACUAUUAUUCAUUUGUAUCAUGCUUUUCAUUACUAUUCAUUUAUAUAUCAUUAUAUUAUUGAUUUUAUUAUUGCAUGAUGACACGGGAUUGGACGAUACUAGAACAUAUUAGUUUGAUGAGUGCACCGCUGUAAGUCCGAGAGGGAUGAAAAAAGGAUAAAUGGAUAAAUUUAAAAAGGAAGGUUUAGGAUUUGCCCUGGUCGAGCAUCGCUCUCUAGGCUUCGUAGAGUGUGGUUGCCGGAGUAAAGGUCCCUGGUCGAGCAUUGCUCUCUGGGAGCCGGCUUAUUUGGAAACCUAAGUGACCAAAUUGGAGGUAAGGUCCCUAGUUGAGCUUCGCUCUAAGGGCGCCAGUCUUAUUGGAAUAAGAGAGCUGAAAGGCUAAGGCUGAUAGUGAACAUUAAGUGACCGGACUGGAGUUAAGGACCAUGGUCGAACUUUGCUCUCCGGGCGCCAGUACUAUUGGAAUGAGAUUAAUCGGGAUGUUAGAGUUGAGAUUAGUCGAGAUGUCAGUAUGGAAAUUGAUCGAGAUGUUUGUGUUGGGAUUAGGGUUCUACUCCGUCCCGUAGCGUGUGAAAAUUAUUUUAUUUAAUUUAAGUAUGGCAGUACACGUAUGUUUUUACAUGACUUAUGUUUAUUUCAAAUUAAAUAAAUGUAUGAUUGAAGUAUAUGCAAAUGUUUUUGGAUAUAUGAUUUUAACUCACUCUCGAGACUGACAGUCUCAAUUUUGCUGUUUUUCAGAUCCGUAACUGUUAGUCUUCCCAUGACUCUUUUCUAGUAACCCGACUUCUUCAUCAUCGGGUAGUGUAUUUGACUUGGUAUGUUAAUUUGUAAAAUCUUAGAUUUUCCGCAGUUGAAAUAGUAGAUGUAUAAGUUGUAAUGCUUUGUAGUUUCGGGUCUAGCCUAACUCUUCUGGCAGACCGAAUUAAUUGUAAAUUUAAUGGUUACGAAAUUGUGGAAUCAAUAGUAUUAAAUGAGAUAAGAUUUAUUUAAGUCAGUGAGUGUCAGGUUUACUACGAGAUUCGAUGGCCUUACACCUACCCAUUCCCUAGUGUCCUUACACCUACCCAUUCCCUAGUGUCGAUCAUGGACCCACAUAUGGGGUCGUGACAUCUUUUCUCAAAAGAAUUCAGUUAAAUGAUAAGUAUUUAGUUAUUUUGUCCACCAUAUUAACUAAACUGGAUGAUUCUCUUUUAUUUAUACUUUUAUAAUAUUACAUAUAGAUUUUUAUUAUAUUAUAUAUACAUUUUGAUACCAUUUAAAUAUUGAAUCUCUAUGGUCCUGUAAGAUGUUAUUGGUAUAUAUAUAUAUUAGUUUUUAAAAGUAAUUUUUUUAAUAUAUAUAUUUAAUUUUUGAUAUAUAAUAUUUUAUUUUAAUAUGCAUAUUUACUUUUAACGCAUGACAUUUAAGCUUAUGUGUAAUUUUAUAAUUUUUUUCUAAUAAUUUAUUGAUUCGUAAAUACUAAUUAAAUACUGAAUUUAAUUCUAAAAAUAGAACUUUAAUUAUUUUUUAGUAUUAUUUAAUUAAUAUAUAAUUUUCUAAUCAGAUAAUUAUACUACUUCUAUUAUAAAAAAUAGCACAUUAAUUAUAUUUUAAUAUUAUAUGAACUAAUAAAUUAAUUUAUAAUUACAAAAUAAUUCUAAUCUAGAAAAUAGUAUUUUAAAUAAUAUUUUUAGUAUUAUAUUUAAUAAUAAAUUAAAUCUUUUAACUAUAUAAUAAAUUUUUAAUUUUAAAAAUUGUAAUAUCAAUUAUAUUGAUAUGUUAAUUUAUAUAAUACUAAAAUUAAUUAAUAAAUAAUGUUUAUAUUAUUAUAUUAAUAAAAUUUUAAAAAAUUAAAAAAAUUUAAAAAUAGUUAAUUUGUUAUUAUUUUUUAAAAUUCUAUAAAUAAAUAUCUAAUAUUAAAAAUAUUAUUAAAUUGUAUCCAUCAAGUUAAUUUUAUAAUUAAAAUAAUAUCAACGUCUGUGCAACGCACGAGUAAAUAACUAGUUUCGAUAUAAUUUUAAAAUUCAGUAAAAAAUAUUAACUAGUUUCAUAUAUUUUGGAGUUAAUUAAAUAUUUUUUAUAUUUUACUUGUUACUUAAUCUUAUAUUCAUAUAUUUUGUUCAUUUUGAAAAGAUUUUUUUAUCCUUAUUAUUUUCUACAUUUAUCUUUAAUUGAUAGUUAUAGUUUCUAGAAUGCCAUUACAAUUAGAAUCCUAUAGAAACAAGAAUGGACCGAACCUUAUUUUUUAAUAAAAUCACCAUUCGUUGUUAUCAACAUAUUGGACCACCCAUGUUUGGCUUUUCGUUAAGGGGCUAAAAUAAUAAGAAAAAUUUAUUAUUUAUCUAACUACGACAAACAAUUAUAAAAAUAUUUUUUUUUAUUUUUCUAAAAAUAAUCAUGGCUAUUUUUAAAAGGAUAUAUUCUUCACCUUUUUCAUCUUUCUCAUUUUUUUUAAAUAAGAUUCAAAUACUUUACAGAUAUAUAAUGUAUACUAUAUUUUAGUAAAUAUAUAUCAUUUGCUAAUUUUAUUUUAUUUUAAAAAAUUUUAGAUAUCCAAAAUAUGUUAUUAUUAAUGUAAUACCUGGUAAGUUUUCUUUUUAAUAAUAAUAUUAGUAAUAAUUAAUAACGNNNNNNNNNNNNNNNNNNNNNNNNNNNNNNNNNNNNNNNNNNNNNNNNNNNNNNNNNNUUUACAUUUAAGAGUUAUGAAAGAAUUAGUAAAUAAUAUUUUAUAAAAGAAUUUAUUUAGAAAUGAUAAAUUUUAAUUAACUAAUGGUGUUGAUUUUAAUUAGGAAAUAGUUAAAAAAAAAUUGAUUAAUUAAGUUAAUUAAGUGUUAGGGUUAAAUUGACAAUUAAUUUUGGAAUAAGGAUUAAAAUACAAUUGUUUUAAGUUGGGGUUUUAAAUGAAAAUUUGUAUGGUUGGUAUUUUUGUAAUUAAAUGUGUCGGUAAGGGUAUUUUGAUAAUUUUACUUUUAAAAGCAAGAGUAAAUGAGUAAUUUUAUAUUUUCAAUAAUUUAAUUUGGCCCAAAUUAAAUAGUUAGGGACUUAAUUGAAAAGUUAAAAAAAAGUUAAAGGGUUAAUUAGACAUUUUGCAGGGCAAAAUUGUUAGUAAUUAAAGAAGUUGAGGGACUAAAUGGUAAAUAAGAAAAGUUUAGGGACCAAAUAUGAAUAAAGAAGGAAAGAAAAGAAAAGAAAGAAAAAAAGGAGAAGAAGAUGGCAUCGGGGAAGGGAAGAGAGUGAGAGUGGAGGAAGGAGAGGAAGCUUCGGUUGCCGGGGCUGACCGUCGAGGCAUGGCAAAGCUGGCUGGCGGUAGAGCUAGCGGCGGCGAGCUCAGCAGCGACAGAAGCAGCAGGCAGCAGAAAGAAAAUGGGAAAGAAGAGGCAGUUGUUCAGCACCAUUCAUGGCAUAUCCGGCGGCGCCAAGGGAGGCGAUCGGCUAGCCGGAGAGUGGGCUUCCUUUUGGGAGCAGCGACGACGCAAUUUGUGGCCGGAAUUGAAAGAUCCGGCGAGGUGAGAAGAGUAGGGGCAGUUCGGACAUUUCAAUUUUUCGGCGAGUUCUGUCAAGGUUUGGCCAAUCAGAGGACAUAUCCGGACUCUCUUUAGCUAAAACUUUCCAAUGACACUAAUUUUGUAGCGAUCGGACUCCGUAUGAAAAUCGAUAGACGAUACUAUCUGUGAUUUUCUCUGGAUGAUCAGGGACUGGGUCGGAGAAUCGGGUGCUAGAAUCAUCGUUUACUCAUUGUCUUGAGUCUGUAGGCGCGCUCGGAUCGUUGAUCGGACUCCGGCGGCUAAAGGCGAGUCAACCAUUUAUCAAGCGUCUCAGUAAUUCUCUAGUCAUUGAUUUUAGAAUUCAUUGAUAAAAUUAUGUGUGUUAUUUAAUUGUGUUGAGCAUUAGAAAAAUAUUGUGAGUUAAAAUAAUUAAUUGUCGGACCGUCUGUAAAUAGUCGUGAUUUGUGAUAUGUGGCAGAGUCGGAAAAAAUAGUGAAAUCUUGGGGAUCCAACUCCUGCUAAAUAAAUUGUUGAAAUAUCUGAAGUAUUUUCUGGCAGGUCCUGGACCCGUUUCACGGGGGGGUAAACAUUCGUAUUUAGGGGAGGUUCUGCCGAAAUUUCGGUAGAAUUUACCCGGGUCGAAAUUCUUAGAUAGUAAAUUCUAGGAGUCUAGGCCUAGGGUUAUUUAUUAAAUGUUUUGCUUUUUCUGAUUUAAUUGUUUCCGUGAUUAAAUUAAUCCGUCAGUUCGGCUCGCUCCACCUUAGGCAUCGGAACAGAGCUAAGAGGUCGUCAAAACUGUGAGUUAAAGUCAUAUAUAUGUUGUACUUGUGCGACAUGCUAAGUUCUGAUUAAAUAUUGUUCAUUUAAUUAGUAUUUAUAUAUGUUUCAUUUUCUGCAUUAUGGCUAUUGUGAUUGCAUGUUGAUUUGGGAAGAGACGGCAGUAAAAUAUGUCACCUGAUGGGUUGCGUCAGGACCGCGUGCGCACCAGUAUGAAUUUGAGUUAGGUAAUAGAAGAAUGGUUUAGGACUUGUCCUGAUCGAGUUUAAUUCUCUGGGCUGAGUAGAAUGAGUUUGCCGGAAUAAAGCUUCCUGGUUGAGCAUUGCUCUCUGGAUGCCUGCUUUAUUGGAAAUUUAAGUGACCAGACUUGAUUUAAGGAUCCUGGUCAAGCUUCGCUCUCUGGGCGCCAAUUUUGUUGGAACGAGAGAGCCGAAAGGCUAAGACUGUUUAGUAAUGGAGAUUAAGGUUCUACUGAUGUACUCUAUCUUAUAGUAUGUGAAAUUUAUUUUAUACAAGUAUGGUAUAACACGUAUAUUUUUGCAUGACUUAAUUUUUUAUUUUAAAUUAAAUAAAUAUGUUAUUGAAGUAUUUGUAAUUUCUCUUUUUUUUGAUAUAUGAUUUUAACUCACUCCCGAUACUAACAGUCUCAAUUUAACUGUUUUUCAGGUGUGGUUAGUUUUUCCACAAUUCUUUUCAUCUAGCAGCCUGAUUUUUCAUCUUCGGGUUUAGUGCAACUGAUUUUAUUGGUAUGUUGACUUUUAAAAUUCUAGAAUCUCCACAGUAGAAAUUUCAGAUUUAUCAUUUUAUAAUUUCAUGUAAAUUAUGGUCUUGCCUAUUCAUAUUGGCAGUCCAAAUUCUAAAUAUGUAGAACCUUAUGGUUAAGGUUAAUUGUGGAUCAUUACUUUUGGGUUGAAAUUUGAUUAAGUUAGUGAACGGUCAGACUUACUACAUUAUUUGAUAGCUUUAAACCUAGCAAUUCCCUAAUGCCGGUCACGAGCCAACAGAUUGGGUCAUUGACAAUUUGAUAAACGUGUAUCUUUACCGUUUAACUGUUCUUGAAUUUACAUUUUUAUUUUAUUUAAAAAAAGUUAAAAUACUUAACGAACACUUAAUAUAAUUAUUUUUUAUUAAAAAUAAACCUUUUGCUAUUAUUUACUUUGUUUUAUUAAUAUUUCACAUUCUUUUUAGCUUUUUAAAAUACUUAUAAAUAUUAAUUAAAUUAUUCAUUUAAAUUUUAAUAUUGAAAAAAAUUAAUAUUUCAUAUUAUUAGUAUUUAAACAUAAAUAUAAUUAAAAAUUAAUAUAUAUUUUAUUUAGUUUAUGUCAAAAAUAUACCAAAUAUAUAUUUUUUUCUUCAAUAUACACUCAAUAUAUACUUUUUUUACCUUGUAGUAAUUUAUUUCAAAUAUGAUAUUUUCAAUGCAUCUUUAAAUUUUUAAAUCAGAAAAAUACCUGUUAGAUGUGUCAAAAUAUAAUAACACAUAUUAAACAAAUUUAUAUCUCAAAAUUUAAUAUAUAUAUAUAUAUAUAUAUAUAUAUAUAUAUAUAUAUAUAUAUAUAUAUAUAUAUAUAUAUAUAUAUAUAUAUUUCCAUUCAUAGACGGAGGAGGCAUUGAAUCUAGACUAGGUUAGGAUGUUGUUCCUAUUUUCAAUUCCUAGAUCUGGAGCAGUACUCCUAGGAGUAUGCCAGGUUAAUCUAGGAGCUUGUAAUCCCAAUCUGUUGAUGUUGGAGGGUUUUUCAAGCUCUGAAUCAUUAGAUUCAUCGCUUUGGGCUUGAUCUAGGGCACUGAUAUUCCUAGGAGUAUCUGGCACUAGAUUUUUGGAAGACUCAGAGGUUGCUAAUUUGCUUAGUUGUUCUCUAACUGCUUUAGAAAACUCAGUUUGCUUUUGGAAAUGGUCUUGGAUGGGCUUUGAGAUCUGGUAUGGUUUGAAAACUGGAUUCUUAAGCUUUUCUGAUUGGUUUGACUCUUUUGGAUGACCAGUGCUGGGGAUUGGAGAGGUCAAGACUACAAGAGGCUUUUGGAUAUGGUUUUCUAACCUGACCAACUAUUUUCCUAUAGUGUGAAGACAUGUGUUCGAGAAAUUGUUCUGCUGAACAAUGUUCUUGACAUUCUUUUCUAGGUCUUCUCCUACCAGUUUGUAAGGUGUGGCUUCUAUCUCAUUCUCUCCAUAGGGAAUGGUUAUCUUCCUAAGGGGAGGAUGAUCAGACUGGACGGUUAGGUUUUCUCCUACCUUCCACUCAGGGGCUUUGUUCCUUACUGUGACAGGACUAAUGAGCUUUUCUUUGAAAGGAUAAAGGAUAGCAUUUUCUUUNNNNNNNNNNNNNNNNNNNNNNNNNNNNNNNNNNNNNNNNNNNNNNNNNNNNNNNNNNNNNNNNNNNNNNNNNNNNNNNNNNNNNNNNNNNNNNNNNNNNNNNNNNNNNNNNNNNNNNNNNNNNNNNNNNNNNNNNNNNNNNNNNNNNNNNNNNNNNNNNNNNNNNNNNNNNNNNNNNNNNNNNNNNNNNNNNNNNNNNNNNNNNNNNNNNNNNNNNNNNNNNNNNNNNNNNNNNNNNNNNNNNNNNNNNNNNNNNNNNNNNNNNNNNNNNNNNNNNNNNNNNNNNNNNNNNNNNNNNNNNNNNNNNNNNNNNNNNNNNNNNNNNNNNNNNNNNNNNNNNNNNNNNNNNNNNNNNNNNNNNNNNNNNNNNNNNNNNNNNNNNNNNNNNNNNNNNNNNNNNNNNNNNNNNNNNNNNNNNNNNNNNNNNNNNNNNNNNNNNNNNNNNNNNNNNNNNNNNNNNNNNNNNNNNNNNNNNNNNNNNNNNNNNNNNNNNNNNNNNNNNNNNNNNNNNNNNNNNNNNNNNNNNNNNNNNNNNNNNNNNNNNNNNNNNNNNNNNNNNNNNNNNNNNNNNNNNNNNNNNNNNNNNNNNNNNNNNNNNNNNNNNNNNNNNNNNNNNNNNNNNNNNNNNNNNNNNNNNNNNNNNNNNNNNNNNNNNNNNNNNNNNNNNNNNNNNNNNNNNNNNNNNNNNNNNNNNNNNNNNNNNNNNNNNNNNNNNNNNNNNNNNNNNNNNNNNNNNNNNNNNNNNNNNNNNNNNNNNNNNNNNNNNNNNNNNNNNNNNNNNNNNNNCCUUAGCAACCUAACCUGCAAAAAGCUUAGCAAUUUCCAAACCUACAAAGACACCUUCCUAACCAGAGUCAUGCUUAGGGAAGAUUCUAGCCAACCUUUCUGAAAAGAGAAAUUCUUAGCCGGUUUACCUAAGAUUCUAGGUGAAAGAGUUAGGAAUACCAUAAGAGAAGCACAUAAUGGUCAGAUCCCUUAUGAUUUCUAUACUUAUGGUGAGCUAGUUAGCCUUACCCAGAAAGAAGGUUUAAAGAUAUGCCAUGACCUUAAGCUCCAAAGACAGCUGAAAUGGGAGAUGAAAAAGACUAGGCAAGAACUAGGUAGUUUUUGCAACCAGUUUGAGUACAACCCCAUAGAGCCCUCUUCUACUUGCAAAGGGAAAUGCAAAGAAGAUUUUUCAAAGUCUUUUAAGAAAAAACGAUUUUUCAAAAACAGAAAGACUCCUAAAAGUAAGGAGAAUUUCUACAAAAAAUCAUUUUCUUCCAAAUUUUCAAAGCAAAAUUCUAAAAGAGAUUUUAGCAACGUUACAUGCUUCAAAUGUGGCAAGAAAGACCAUACUUCAAAAUAUUGUAAGUUUUGCAAAAAACUCCAUGAGCUUCAAAUAGAAGAAGAAGUUUUAGCAAAAAUUUCUGCCCUUCUAGUUGAUUCCUCUGAAUCAGAAUUUUCAAAUAGUGAGGAAGAAUUUCAAAUUGAUGAAAUCAAAACCUCAUCUGAUUAUUCUGAAACAGAUUCUGAAAAUUUUUCAAAGAAAAUUAAUAUGCUCACUAGGCAACAAGAAGCCCUUCUUGAAGCUGUCAAGCAUAUUAAUGAUCCUCAAAUUCAAAAACAGGUUUUGAAAGAGAUUUUAAAAACUGAAGCCCUUAUCCCUUCUUCUAGUAGGAAUACUUAUGAUCUUACUAUGAUUUUGGAUAAAGGGAAGAAGUUGAAAAACCCUCUUCCUACUAUUCAAGAACUUCAAAAAGAUAUUAAAGUCAUCAAAACAGAACUCAAAGAGUUGAAAGAAAAAUAACAAAAUAAUUCUGUUUUGCUUCAAAGCCUGAUCCUCAAGUAGAAUAGUGAUUCCGAUUCUGAUGAGGAAAAUGAUUUUUAAAAUCUUGAAGUUUCUAAAAAUGUUCCUGAAAACUUCAAUGUUUUAAAGGAUUACUUCAAGAAAGUAUUUGAUUCAGAUAAAGCUUGUUUUCCCUGGUGAUUUCCAGAUAGAAACCAUCGCCUUGUUUGAUACAGGAGCAGAUCUCAAUUGUAUCAACUGUGAGCUGGUUCCUAAAAAGUAUCAUCAAGAGACCAAAGAGAGACUGAAAAAUACGAAGAAGAGUCUCUUCUAUUCUUCAAGUCGCACAAAGAAGAAGAAAUAUAGUGAAAAAAGAGAGAGAGAGAGAGAUAGUGAGAGAAACACUUUCCUCUUGUAUUCUUAUCUUCCUCUUGUAAGUUAUAUUUUUUCAGUUCAAAGCUUUCAAAGUUUGUUUAAAUUUUGUAUAUUUGUUUCAAAGUUUAUGUUCAAAGUUUGUAAUCAUCAAUAAAGUUUAAAGUUCAUCUUCUUCAUCUUCCUCUAUCUUCUUUAUCAUCAAGCGUAUGCUCUGUGCUUGCAUCGUCUGAGGAUCCUGCACACCAGAAACUUGUUGAUCUUCUGAGUUGUUUCUGAUUUUUGUUCUAAUAUAUAUAUAUAUAUAUAAUUUGUCAAAAAUAUAUUGAUUUUUAAUUUUUCAAAGUAUGACUAACUGAAAAAUAAAACAUAUGUUAUUAAUUAAGUUAAUUUUUAAAUUAUAUAUAUAUAUUAAAAAUCAAUAUAUUUUUGACAAAUGAUAAAAUAAAUUAUCUAUUAAAACUAAUAUAUUAUAAUUUUUUAGGAACUCUUUAUAUAUUAAAAUUCUAUAUUAUUUUCAAAUGAAAAUGAUAUUUAUUCUUUAUGAAAGUUAGAUUCAUUAUUUUUGUAAUAUGCAUAUUGAAAUAAUUUUGUAAUUGAUAUAAGUAUUCAUCAUUUAUAAGUAUAAUAUUUAUUAUUUUAUUAAUUAAUAUUUAUUAUUAAUAAAUAUUAUAUUUAUUAAUUUAUUUAGACAUAUAUAUAAUAUAGACUUAAUAUAAAUCGUCUUUACAUGUAGUAAAUUAAAAAGAAAUCCAACUAAAAUUAUCCUACAAAUAUUUAUAUUAUAGUAUAAAUAUCUUGUUAGCAAAAUAAAGUUCAUAAACAAUGAAUAUUUAAUAUUUAAAUAAUAAAUAUUUAGUAUAUGUUCAAUGAACAUAAAUUUAAAAAGCAUAUAUCAUAACUCUAAUAUGUAUACACGUUUUUGUACUUGACCGGACCACAUUAGAGUAAGGUCCACCGAUUCAAUUCGGUCUCCGCUAAUUGAUUCAAUUUCUAAUUAGCAUUGUUAGCAUCAUUAAUAGGAUAAAUUGUUAUUUCAACAAAAAGAAAAGAUAAAUUAUAACUAAUAUGAUCAGUAAGGUUGGAUUAGUAAUUUUUAUGUACAAAUAGAAGCUGUGACCGCGCAUAAAUUAGAAAGACCUUUUAAUAAUAUAAUUUGUUCAUCUUUAAUUUGUCAAUUUUAUCUCCGAUUUAUUCCUUUUCCUUUUCAAAACUCAGCAUUAGAGAUAAAUAUAUAUAUGAUUUUUAACACUUUAAACAAAUAUUAUGUUAACCAACAAGUUGGUUUCUAAUUAAAAUAAUAAUUUUAAUUCAAAAAUAUUAUAUUUUCAAUAUCAUAUUAAUUAUCUAAUAGUUUCUAAUUUAGUAACUAGUAAUAUCAAUUAUAUUUAUAUUAUUAAUUUUAGUAUAAUACUAAGAAAUUUUAGAAUAUUCUCAUUCAUUUGUACUAAUAGAAAACUUUGCAAUAUAAAAUUCUUUUAAGAAGACAAUUAAAAUAUUUAAUUUACUCAUUUUAUAAAAUAUUAGAAUAAUUAAAAAUAUUUUUAAUAUUUUAUUAAUUUUUAUCUAUAAAUUUAAUUUAUAGUAUCGGAUUUAUAUUUUAUUUUUUGGUAAAAAAUUAAAUUGUGAAAUCUUUUUCUAUUUCUAAAAUACUCAAUAUAUGUUUUACAUCGUUUAUACGAAAAUAUUUAAUUUUUAUAAAAUUUUUUUGACUCUUAUUCAAAAAGUCUGAUAAUGUAUGUAUAUUGGAUCUUUUGAGGCAAUUAUAGAUUUUAGGAGUUAAUUCUGAUUGGUAAAUAAAAACGUAUUUCAAUAUUAUUUCGUCUUAAAUUUUAAUUUAGUCAAUCUAUUAUAAAAAAAUUAAAAUAAUUAAAUAAAUAUAUAAUACAUAUAAAUAAAUAAAUAUAUUUUAUUAAUUAAAUUAGUUAUUUUUUAUUUUGAUUUUUAUAUUAACAAAAUUACGAAACAUCUAAACCAAUAUAGUCGGUUUCUUUUUCUUUUAAUUUAUUGUGCCAACGACAAAAACUAAAAAGGAAAAACAGGGAAAAGGAAAAGAGAAAAAAAGAAAAAAGAAAAAAGAAAAAAGAAGAAAAAACAGAAGAGAAACCUUGAAAAUUAGCAAAUAAAAGUCAAACUUCCAAAAUUAGGGAUAUAAUCGUGUCUAAAAUUAAUACUUCAUGAACCCUAUAAAUAACACGAAACCCAAUUCUCCAACACAGAAUAAUUAUUUUUAUUUUUAUUUUCUUAAGAAGCCAACACACAAAUUAUUAGCUUUAGCAACAAUGGCAAAACCAAAAGAUCUUUUUGCCUAUGUUUGUGUGUUUGUCUUCUUGACCCUUUCUUUAUCUUCUUCUUCUUCUUUUGCUGCAACAACAGAUGAUGCAUCAGUUUAUUCAUCUUUCCUUGAAUGCUUACAGAACAACACGACCCCACAAGACCAAAUCUCCAGCCUUGUCUACACCAAGACAAAUGCAUCCUACACUUCGGUUCUUCGAGCCUACAUUAGAAAUGCUCGGAUGAACACCACAGCAACCCCAAAACCGACAAUCAUUGUGACCCCAAAACAGAUAUCCCAUGUCCAAGCAGCGGUUAUCUGCGCAAAGAAAGUGGGUUACCAGCUUAAAGUCCGAAGCGGUGGCCACGACUAUGAAGGGAUUUCUUAUGUUUCAGAUGUUCCAUUCUUCGUUCUUGAUAUGUUUAAUCUUCGAUCCGUCCAGGUUGACAUGAAGAAUGAGUCUGCUUGGAUUCAGGCUGGUGCUACACUCGGUGAGGUGUAUCAUGGAAUUUGGGAGAACAGCAAAGUUCAUGGUUUCCCUGCUGGUGUUUGCCCUACAGUUGGUGUUGGUGGUCAUUUUAGUGGUGGUGGAUAUGGUAACAUGUUGAGGAAAUACGGCUUGGCUGUUGAUAAUGUUCUUGAUGCCCAAAUUGUUGAUGUUAAUGGAAAGCUUAUGGAUAGAAAAGCAAUGGGUGAAGAUCUAUUUUGGGCUAUUAGAGGUGGUGGUGGUGGAAGUUUUGGUGUUGUUAUAUCAUACAAGAUUAAGCUUGUUCCUGUUCCCGAAACAGUUACUGUAUUUAGGGCAGAAAGACUUAUUGAAGAGAAUGCUACUGAUAUUGCUUAUAAGUGGCAAUUGGUUGCUCCGAAAACAGAUAAUGGUCUUUUUAUGAGGCUGUUGAUUCAACCUGUGACAAGGAAUAAGCAGCAGACACUUAGGGUAACUAUUAUGAGCUUGUAUUUGGGGAAAGCUGAUAGUCUUGUGGCUUUAUUGGGGAAAGAAUUUCCUGAAUUGGGGUUGAAGAAGGAGAAUUGCACAGAGAUGAACUGGAUUCAGUCUGUACUUUGGUGGGCAAAUUUUGAUAAUGGAACAUCACCUGAUGUUUUGCUUGAUAGACAUGUCGACUCUGCCAAUUUCUUGAAGAGGAAAUCAGAUUAUGUGCAGAAACCUAUUCCCAGAAAUGCAUUGACUUUGAUUUUCAAGAGGAUGGUGGAAUUGGGAAAAAUUGGAUUAGUUUUCAAUCCUUAUGGUGGAAGAAUGGAUGAGAUUCCUUCCACAGAAGUUCCUUUUCCUCACAGGGCUGGGAAUUUGUUCAAGAUGCAGUACUCAAUCAACUGGAACGAACCAGGAAGUGAUCUACAGAGCAACUACUUGUCUCAGGCGAGGAACCUGUACAGCUACAUGACCCCAUUUGUGUCCAAGAACCCAAGAAGCGCAUUCUUGAACUACAGGGAUCUCGACAUUGGUGUCAUGACACCUAGUAAAAACAGCUAUGAAGAAGGUAGCAUUUAUGGGCACAAGUACUUCAAUGGAAACUUUGACAGAUUGGUGAAAGUGAAGACUGCUGUUGAUCCCGAGAAUUUCUUCAGGAAUGAGCAGAGCAUCCCUACUCUUUCAAGUAAGGCAUAGGAGAUGAGAUGAUUUUGUUGGUGUAUUAUUGGUAUUUACUGAGUAGGACACAUUAUCAUUCUGUAAUUAAGAUACUUCCUGAUAACCCUAUUACCAAUUAAUCCAAAGUAUCCUUUAUCCUUUCAUUUCUUUUUUGUGUUGUUCAAUGAUUCCAAAGUUCUUUUAAAUAGAAUCACUGUAAUAAUACCAAAGCUUCCUGACCUUUCUCCCGAGGAACAAUGCAAAUGUGUCCACUUCUUAUGUUUGUUCUUUUAGGUUGAAAAAGUGUAGAUGUCUGUUUGUUUUGUCCGUCCCUACAGGCAAAAGAGUCUUGGAGUUGGGCCAUACAAACAUUAAACCUCCACAUGGGUGUUACCCUUAAAUUAAAACAUUUUGCACCAGAAAAGUUGACUCAUUCCUAAGCUUUUGUUUCUCAAUUUUUUGGUAUCAUAAACUGGGAGCUCUGAUUAACGGUAAUAUAGAAUGUGUCUCUUUUUUUCUUUUAAAAUUUGUAUUUCCAUUCAGAUGGAUGUAACGAAACAAACCACGUAUGUAUAAAUAUUUUAUAUUUUGACAUUAAAAUUUAUUUAAUUAUCUACAUUUAAUAAAUAUAGUAAUUUAAUGUAUGAAUAUAUCUAGACUAAAAAAAAUUCUUUCAGUCCUAACAAAAAGAAUUAUUAGUUUAAUAAAACACUCGAAAUGUUUCAUGGUCAGGUUUAUCUAAGUCAUUUUGUUUAAAAAAGAAAUUCAAAAAGAAAAGGACAUUGUUUUUUGUGAAUUCCCUCUUCUCUCACAAAGUGUUGAAUUAGAACUAUUAACCUAACCUUUCACACAAUAUUAAAAAAAUUGGACCAAAGACAACCUACACUAUGAGUUGAAUUAUCAAAACUUCCAAACUCAUAUAGAUGUCCUUUUAUCUAAUAAAUAUGGUUCUUCCCUGACACUAUACAUGGUGAGGUCCUUGAGAGGCAAAACUUAUCAACCUCUAAGUUAAUACUGUGUUUUAAAUGGCAGAGAGGCAAACUUUAUUAGCUCCCUGCCUCAAGUGCCCCUUUCCUUUGGUCAUCUUGGAGGUUAGUUUUUGGUAGGUUAAACAAUUUCCUCUUUUAAUUUGGUCUUUGUGGUGAUAUUUAAUUUGUUUGCUUUGUUUCAGGAGAAAACUCAGGGGUGAUUAUAUAUUCAAAGUCAGCAGCAGUAGCAUCCACUGUGAAGCUAAUAGGAAUGCUGAUAUAUGUACUAAGCUUUUCUUGAAGGAUAUCAAGAGGUAAUGUGCUCAUGUAUAAACUAGGGAUAAACCUUUUGGUGGAAAUGAAAUAAGAAAUAUAAUCAAUAAAGUUUUAGUGUUAUUCAUUUUAAUAUUGAUUGGUCUCAAAUUUAAUUCUACUAGUGCAUGCUAUACUUAUUCAUUUUAAUCUCACUUUAAUUAAUUUAAUUUUUAAUAUGAUAUUAAAAAGAUUUUGGUCCAAUUUCUAAUUUCUUUGACUUUUUAUCAAAAUGUAAAUAAAAAUGUCCAGUGUUAGCAGUUUCGUCUAACAAUAGCAAUGGGUAGGGUAUUUGCUCAUUGAAGGAUAUCCGAACUCGAAUCCAAUUCAUAUAUAUAUCCAAACCCGUUUGAAAUCCGUUUAAAAUCUAUUUUUAUUAUUCGAACUAAUUCCAAAUUCGAAUAGAAAUACUUGUAUACUAUAUGAACCCGAUAAAAAUUCAUUUAAUAUUUACAGUCAUUAAAUAAAUUAUAUAUAUAUAUAUAUAUAUAUAUAUAUAUAUAUAUAUUCAGGUAAUUAAACGACUAUCCGUUUAUAAUAAGUAAAUAUAAAAAUAUAUUAACAAAAAUAAAAAAUUAUAAAAUCUAAAUCAUGUAAUUUUAAAUAAAAAAUUUUAAUUUUAAUUUUUCUUACUAUUUUAUUUCUUAUACAUAAUAUAUAUAUAUAUAUGGAGACAACUCCGACACAGGAACACUAUCUAGGACACCACCACGAACUAAAGUACUCAAACGAUCACGAGACAGAUGACCAAGCCGACGAUGUGCGUUACUCAGGCCGAAUCCUCGCUUCCGCUUCGUCCACCCCCGCUCACGCGAGUGCUUCCCUCUAAGGCGGAACGCUCCCCUACCGAUGCAUUUUUACAUCCUACAGCUUCGGCAGAUCGCUUAGCCCCGUUCAUCUUCGGCACAAGAGCGCUCGAUCAGUGAGCUAUUACACACUCUUUCAAGGGUGGCUGUUUCUAGGCAAACCUCAUGGCUGUCUCUGCACUCCUACCUCCUUUAUCACUAAGUGGUCAUUUAAGGGCCUUAGCUGGUGAUCCGGGCUGUUUCCCUCUCAAUGAUAAAUAUAUAUAUAUAUAUAUAUAUAUAUAUAUAUAUAUAUAUAUAUAUUCGGGUAAUUAAACGACUAUCCAUUUAUAAUAAGUAAAUAUAAAAAUAUAUUAACAAAAAUAAAAAAUUAUAAAAUCUAAAUCAUUUAAUUUUAAAUAAAAUUUUUUAAUUUUAAUUUUUCUUACUAUUUUAUUUCAUACACAUAACAUAUAUAUAUAUAUAUGUCAUUUAAAUGGAUAUCGAGUACUGGAUUCGAGUAAUCUAUUCAUAUUCAUUUAAAUAACCGGGUUCGAAUAGCGGGUAUCCAAAAGUUCAAAUUCAAAUCUGAUCAGAAUCCAACACGAGCAUUAAAAUUUAAUUUCAAACACAUUUAUAAUUACUCAUAUCGGUUAAACCACAUGGUCAAAUUUUGUAUUUUGUAUUUUAUUUUUUUAUUGUGUUUUGUCUAAAUAUCAAUAUAUAUUUUCUAAUUUAAAUAAUUUAGUGUAAAAAUUAAUAUUUUUGUUUUCAUUGUAUCCACUGUAGAGAGUGUGUAACUUACUCUUUUUUUUUGUAAAAAUAGAACUAAUAUAAGCUAAAUAUAUAAAAACAUUAGACUAAAAUAUCUAUAAAUUUAGAAAAAGAUUAAAUUGAACCCAAAAACUAAAUUUAUUCUAAUAAAUUUCAAUUUUGAACUUAACUCUCAAACUAUAGAAAAAUAUGAUGACAAAUUUAAUUAACAAAAUUAUGAGAAGUUAAUAAUAAAACCGUAAAUAUAGUAUUUAUAAAUGUAGUCUAAUUAAUGAUAAAAAGGUAAAUAAAAACAAAAAUCAAAAUAUCAAUUUGCAAAAAUACACUCCUGUCCACUUGUGGAUGCUGCAUCAAAUAGAACUCUGAAAUUUCAGUAGUCUAAUUAAUUGAGGGUUGCUAGUCAUUAAAUUAAGCCAUGCAAAGGUACCUUAAUCGUACAGUGUAAGAACCUGAUUUGUGGAAAUGCCACACUUUCUUAUCUUCUCUGUCAGUGAUGCUAUUAGGGAUUUUAAGAAUUUCUCUUCCUUUAAGAAAAGCUUGGUGAAAUGAAAUUCCAAGAUUUUCCAGGAUCUGGAUUGAUGGCCUACGAGAUCUGACACCACCAGAAGCUCUUCAGCAUUCCAAUUAUGUUUGAGUUUAGCUUUGUAAGGAAACUCCAAGCACCCUUUGAAGUGAGAAUUGAUUUGCCAUUACCAACCUGUCAUUUACAACUUUCCAGGAUAAUGGGUUCGACCGACAGAAGGCUUCUCUAAGCCCAAGAGGGGUUGGAACUAGUUGAGACUCAGAAAUUAGAGGCGGCACAGAAUUAUUUACCUGUGAGGGGUUCUUGCUAAUAAAGAAUUUGGCUGAAAUAAUGCUCCACAAUUUCUUCACUUACCUUUUUUUUUUCCCUUUUCAUGAAUGCCUCCAUACAUAUAUUUUAUCAGGAAAACCAGUUUAAUACCCUAAUAAAUAUUAAAUUUGGAAGUUUGUAAAUUAAAUCAAUUAUAUAAAAUGAAUAAUAACAUAGUACUAAUAGUGUAGAAAAUAGAAAUGAUGAAUUUAUUGAUUUUAUGAUUCUGAUCUUUUACAAUUGAUUGUGUUGAUAUAUAUACAUGUAUAUGUCAAACGGUAGCCUAUUCUACUCUGUUGCCUUGGCAUUUCUGUCCAACGACUCUUUCUUUUUCUGGGAAAGGUUGGAGCGGCCUUUCCCUGCCACAGGGAUGGUUGCUCCCUUUCUCAGGGCCUGUGAUGACCUGCCCUGCACAGGCUUUCUGCCUGUGCAGUGUCUGAGGCCAUGCUUUCUUUAUUUCCUCUUUCAACACUCCCCCUCAAGUUGGGUUCAUAGAGGUUGAUCGAACCCAUCUUGCUUAAAAUUGAGUGAUGCGUCUGUUUAUUGAGUGCCUUUGUAAGGAUGUCAGCUAGCUGGUCCUGGCUUUUGAUAUACGGAGUUUCAAUUUCUCCUUUUUGAACCUUUUCCUGAUGAAGUGGCAAUCCAUGUCACGACCCCGCCCGUGGGCCCGUGACCGGCACUAGGGAAUGGGUAGGCUUAAGGCCACCGAAACCCGUAGUAAGCCUGACACUCACUGAUUUAAACAAAUCUCAACUCAAAUUUAUAUUAUUAAAACCAUAAAUUAUCUUAAUAGUUACACUUUACAAAAUUACUUCGGUCUACCAGAAAAUACUAGGCGAGACCCGAAGCUCAGAAAAUUUACAACUGAUACAUAUACUAAUUACUACUGCGGAGAAUCUAAGAUUUACCAUUUUACAUACCAAAUCAAAUACUUCACCCGAUGAUGAAGGAGUCGGGUUACUGAAUAAGAGUCGCGAGAGAACUAACAGUCACGAAUCUGAAAAACAAUAAAUGGAGACUGUCAGUCUCGAGAGUGAGUUAAAAUCAUACAUCUAAAACAGUUUCAAAUAUCUCAAUGUCACAUUCAUUUAAUUUUAAAAUAAUUAAUAAAUCACGCGAACCAUACGUGUCAUGUAAAACAUAUGUGUCAUGCCAUGCUUAAACAAAAUUUAUUCCACAUGCAACGGGACAGAGUACUUCAGUAGAACUCUAAUCCCAACUCUAAAAUCUCGAUUAUUNNNNNNNNNNNNNNNNAACACUUAUGUCUCAACUAACCUCAACUCUAUCAUCUCAAACCUCUCAUUCCAACAGGACUGGCGCCCAGAGAGCAAAGCUCGACCAGGGACCUUACCUCCAGUCCGGUCACUUAACUCUCAGCCUUAGCCUUUUGGCUCUCUUAUCUAAUAAGACUGGCGCCCCGAGAGAAAAGCUCGACCAGGGACCUUACCUCCAGUCUGGUCACUUAAAUAUCCAAAUAAGAAAUCUAGUAGCCAUUCGGCUCUCUUAAUCCAAUAAGACUGGCGCCCCGAGAGCAAUGCUCGACCAGGGACCUUACCUCCAGUCUGGUCACUUAAAUUUCCAAAUAAGCCGGCGCCCCGAGAGCAAUGCUCGACCAGGGCAGGUCCUAAUCUUUCUUUCUCAAAAUUUUUACCUCUUUACCCUUUUCUUAUCUCUCUCAUAUUAUAUUGGACACUCAUCCAACUCCUAUGUUCUACUGCCGUCAUUGCCAGCGAGAUCGGCCGGAAAGGCCACCGGAAACGGCCGGAACGACGCUCGGAAGCCGCUGCCACUCGUCGCGCGAUUCCGCUGCCUGCCGACGCUGCCAGCUGCCUCCACCGCCACCAUCGGGCUCGCCGUUGAUGUGCGCUCCUUCCGACGCCAACGCCGCCCUCGGCCUGGCCUCCAGCGUCCGUCCACCAUGGACGCCGAUGCCUCUCUCUCUCCUCCCUUUCUUCCUCUUCCUCUUCCCCGAAUUUCUUUCCUUUCAAUAUCGACAUUAGGCCCCCGAACUUUUCUUUAUUACAAUUUGGUCCCUCAACUUCCUUAAUUACUUACAAUUUCAUCCUGCAGAAUUUAAAUUUGACCCCCAAACUUCUUUUUAGUCUAUCAAUUAAGCCCUUAACUAUUUAAUUUUGGCCAAAUUAGAAUUACUGAAAAUACACAAUUACAAAAAUACCCCUGACCGACAUAUUUAUUUACGAAAAUACCAAACUCACAAAUUUCCAUUAAAACCCCAUAAAAAUAAAAUUAUACUUUCAAUCCUUAUUCCAAAAUAAAUUUCCAAUUUAGUCCUAACACACAAUUAAAUUAAAUAAUCAAUUUUUCCAAAAUUCUUUUAUAAACACAUCCUUUACAAUUCUACCAUAAUUUUCCAAUAUAUAAUUUUACUUAUAUAAAUAUGCAUUUGGAAAAAUUUGAAUAACCAAAAUAUAAUCAUUUUAAAUUAAACCCAAUAAUAAUGAGGCUAAAAUUAACUUAAAUAAAAACUCAUUAUUAAAUAUAUAAAAAUUCCGGGUGUUACAAUCCACCUCAAUAUGUUUAGUUCGUUCAUGAAACACAGGGUUAGAUGCAAUGUGUCGGGCGGCUUGGUUAUCACAAUGCAUCGUCAUAGGUCCGUUGAUUUCAACCUUCAUAUCUUUGAGGACUUGCUUGAUCCAAAUGAGUUCGCUAGCUGUAGAUGCCAUUGCACGGUACUCAACUUCUGCGCUGGAUCUAGCAACCACAUUCUACUUCUUGCUUUUCCAUGUUACUAAGUUUCCUCCCACAAAGACACAAAAACCAGUGGUUGACUUUCUGUCACUGCUUCCUGCCCAAUCUGCAUCAGAGAAUCCAACUAUAGAGUUAGAAUUCUUAUUUUUCAUCCAUAUUCCCUGUCUUGGGGUUCCCUUUAGGUAUCUGAGAAUCCUAUCUAUAGCUUCUAGGUGACAAGUGUGAGGGGCAUGCAUAAAUUGGCUUACCAUACUUACUGCGAAUGAUAUGUCAGGUCUAGUGACAGUGAGGUAUAUUAACUUUCCUACCAAACGUUAAUAAUGUUCUAUGUUGGCUAGAGGUUUUCCAUCUUCAAGAUUGAGUUUGACUUUAGUUUCCAUAGGGGUGUAGGCUGGUUUAGCCCCUAAUUUUUCGGUUUCUUUCAAUAGAUCAAGAGUGUAUUUCCUUUGACAUAGGAAUAAACCUUUAGUGGACUUUGCCAUUUCUAUGCCUAGAAAAUAUGAGAGCUGCCCAAGAUUCUUAAUAUCAAACUCUUUCUUUAGACUUUGCUUGACAUCCUUAAUAUCUUGGUCAUCAUUUCCUGUUAUUAUGAUAUCGUCAACAUAGACAAGGAUAAUGACAGUGUGUGUGAGCUUGUGUUUAACAAACAUAGAGGAGUCGGAAUCACAUUUAGUAAAACCAAUUUUUAAUAGAAAGAGGCUUAGUUUGGCGUACCAUGCUCUUGGAGAUUGUUUAAGCCUAUAGAUGACCUUUUUUAGCUUACAUACCAGGGAAGCAUCUGUGGCUGAUUUGUGACCUAGAGGGAGAGUCAUAUAAACUUCUUCUUCUAGGUUUCCUUGUAAAAAGGCGUUCUUUACGUCCAUUUGGAAUAGGCUCUACCCUUGAUUAGUUGCAACUCAGAGAAGAAUUCUGACAGUGUUCAUCUUGGCGACUGGAGCAAACGUCUCUUGGUAAUCAACUCCAUAAGUUUGAGUGAAGCCUCUGGCGACGAGUCUGGCCUUAUAUCUCUCAAUGGUCCCAUCACUAUUAUACUUUAUUUUGUAGAUCCAUUUGCAUCCAACUGGUUUCUUAUUUGCAGGAAGAGGAACAAUAUCCCAAGUGUCAUUCUUUUCUAGCGCUUGAAGUUCAUCUUUCAUAGCCUUACACCAUUUUGGACUGGUGUUGGCUUCGUAGAAGUUGGUUGGCUCAGGAUGGGAUGAGAUCUAGCUUAAGUAGCUACGAUAUUGACUUGCUAUGGUAUCAUAGGAAAUAAAGUUUUGGAUAGGAUACGAUACCGAAUGAGAUACAUAAUCUCUUAAUUUCAGGGGGGGGGGGGGGGCGAGUUUGACGAGUGGACCUUCUCAAGGCGAUUGCUUCCUCCUGAGGUUGAGGUUGGCUGUCAGAGAUUUGGAUUGGCUUUCAGAAAUUGUAUAUCCAAUUGUAUUGUCUCCCCCUGAAGAAAUUAAUCUUGAGACAAUGGUCGGCUCCCCCUAUGGAAAAUCCUGAGUAGGGCUGCUAAGAGAAAAAUCCGAGUUAGGCGGAAAUACUAGCGGGCAAGGCCCAUAAGGAUUAUCAUGAGUUUGGGUGGUGUAAUAAGGGACUGUCUCAAGAAAAGAGACAUCACGAGAGAUGUAGGUUUUAUGAGUAUAAGGGUCAUAACAUUUAUAUCCUUUUUUAGUAGAGGAAUAUCCCAAAAACAGGGUCUUGACAGAACUCUUAUCGAGUUUGUGUUGGCGGUUUAUGUGAACAUAACAAACACAGCCAAAGACUCGGAGAUGACUCAAAUCAAUUUUCCUACCUUUGAGAACCUCUAGGGGACUCAAAUGCUUUAAAACGGCAGUGGGGAGUCUAUUGAUCAGGUAAGCAGCAGUUAAAAGGGCAUCAGACCAAAAAAUCGAUGGAACAUUAUUUUAAAAAAGGAGAGUCCGAACGACAUUGAGAAGGUGUCUAUUUUUUCGUUUGGAAAUACCAUUUUGUUCAGGAGUAUUAAUACAAGUGGUUUGAUGAACAAUCCCUUUUUGUUUAAAGAAUGUAGAAAAGUUUUGGUUUAUGUAUUCUGUGCCAUUGUCGGACCGAAAAUUUUUUAAAGUAGCAUUAUAUUGGUUUUGUAUGAAAUUAUAGAAUUCUUGGAAACGAGAAAAGACUUCAUUUUUUCCUUUUAGCAAAUACACCUAGGUAGUACGAGAAUAAUCGUCAAUGAAAGUGACAAAAUAUUUAAAGUGAUUAUAGAAAGUUACAGGGGCAGGUCCCCAAACAUCAGAGUGAAUUAAGUCAAAAGCUUUUUCAGAUACACUGGAGGAUAAGGAGAAAGGUAAUCGAGUGUGUUUAGAAAAUUUACACACAUCGCAAUUGUUGGAACUUAAGUUAUAAUGAAAUAAUUUAUUCAAAACAUUGUCGGAUGGAUGCCCUAACCGCUGAUGCAUUAGUAUGCCUUGGUUAGGGUUUGUUGACAAAAAACAUUUCUUGGGAGGUGGAUAAAGGUAGUAGAGGCCAUUUUCUAGUUUUCCCUCACCAAUCGUCUCCCGAAGAUUCGAUCCUGAAAAAUGACUGAAGUAGGUGAGAAAAUAACAUUGCAGUUUAAAUCACAAAUAAUUUUACCUACAGAUAAUAGAUUGGAUUUAAAUGCAGGUAAGUAUAAAAUAUUUUCAAUAUGUGAGUUAAAUAAAUUUGAAGUGUCAUAUCCCUGAAUUUUGACUUUCUCUCCAUUGGCAACAGUCACAUGGUGAGAUGGAGAAACCAAAUUGAGGUUGGUUAGGUUUUUUGGAUCCCAGGUCAUGUGAUCUGUUGCCCCUGAGUCAAUAAUCCAGAAAUUUUGACAGGGUUCUGAAGAAUUUUGUAAGAAAUUUAAAGUAGUGUGAACCGAACCUGACCCGUCGGGUUGAGUUAACCCAAGCCUGUUGGGUUGGAGAAGCAAGGCCUGCAAUUGGGCUAACAUUUCGGCCAUUUGGGCCUGAUGUUUCUGCUGGGCUUGUAGUGCCUGGUGGGCCGCGUGGGCUGGUUGGGCCUGGAAGGCCUGUUGAGCCUGCUGGGCCUGCUGGGCCUGGUGCCUCGGGCCGGAGAAGUCGGGUCGGGUCCAAGGUUGGCCCGGGUCGGGUUGUUGUAACCCUAGGGAGUCGGGUCGGGGCGUCAUAUAACUAUCUGCAUAUGACGCCCAGCCCCCGAAUUCCAUUUUCUCCCUAGGGUUUCCUUCGGGUCUUCUUCUUCUUUCUCUUCGCACCCCUUUGCCGUUCCCCCCUUCCCAACCUCGGGUUGGCUUGAGCUCGGGGUGUCGGUGCUAGCAACGAGCGCGGCUGUGACCCUGCUUCUUGCAGUGGUCGCACCGCUCGCCUCUCCCCCUGUUCUGUUUCUUGCGGUGAGAUCGGGGCGACGCGAUGCAAAGGUUUGGUUUUCCGCGAGUUCAGUAGAGGCCGAGGGAUUCAUAAGAUUCCUUCGUGUCUCCUCGCGCUGGACUGUUGCAAUGACAGUGUCGAUGCUCGGUAGUUCCGGGGACAGGAGGAUUUGGGAUCUCAAGCUCUCGUAGCUUGAGUCCAAUCCUCCCAGGUAAGUGAAUACUAUAUCAUUGUCGGCUCAUUUUUGAAUUUCUGCUGUGUCUGUUGAAUGUGGUAAGUAAGUCUGGAGUUCUUCCCAUCUUGUUAAUAUUUUUGUGGCAUAUUGUGAGCUUAUUUUUGUGCCUUGUGUGAUUCUGGCCAAUUCCUGUUUGAGAUUGAAUAUGUGAGCAAAAUUUUGUUGAUGGCCAUAUAGGCCUUUUACCUUGUCCCAUAUUGCUUUUGACGAUUCUAGCAACAUGCAGAGCCUGGAAAUUUGGGGCUCCAUAGUGCUGGUAAGCAGUGACAUGACCAAGUGGUCUGUCGUCUGCCAUUCUUCAAUUUUUUCUGCUUCUUCUUCUGUCGGGUCUUCUGGUCUAGUAGGUUUGGGUUUGGGUUUAGUCCGAGUGAUGAACCCCAAUUUCCUUCUGCCACUAAGCCCUAUGUAGACAGCUUUGACCACUCGAAGUAAUUUUGAUUACCUCUGAGGAUUGUAUUGGUCAAUCUGUUAUCGGUUUGAGACAUGAUGAAUUUUCAAAAAGGAAUUCUGAGAAUUUGAUUUUUGUUUGCUUGAUUGAUAUCUCACAGGUUUGAAUCCUGCUCUGAUACCAUGUAGAAAAUAGAAAUGAUGAAUUUAUUGAUUUUAUGAUUCUGAUCUUUUUCAAUUGAUUGUGUUGAUAUAUAUAUAUGUAUAUGUCCAACGGUAGCCUAUUCUACUUUGUUGCCUUGGCAUUUUUGUCCAACGACUCUUUCUUUUUCUGGGAAAGGUUGGAGCGGCCUUUCCCUGCCACAGGGAUGGUUGCUCCCUUUCUCAGGGCCUGUGAUGACCUGCCCUGCACAGGCUUUCUGCCUGUGCAGUGUCUGAGGCCAUGCUUUCUUUAUUUCCUCUUUCAACAAAUAGACACCAAAAACAUGGAACUUUUUCCUGGAGGCACAAUAACUUUGUGGUUGAAGCGCCCCCAAAUAAGUAAAUGAAGGGCAAAAUUUACAUUAAAUUUGGAGUUCUUUACAAGAAGAAACCCUAAAUAUAUUUCUAUAGUUUAUAUUUUUUUGAUAGGGUUCCUCUCCAAUCUUAAAUUUUUUAAUACGUAAUUAAUUUUUUAAUUAAAUCGUAAAAUUAGACUGUUUUAAGAGUGGACUGACAUCAAAAUUCAAACUAUAUCAUUCUCAAUAAAAAAGUCAUAGAAAAAUAAAAAUGUAGUAUACAUUUGUUCAAUUUUAUUAUCAAGUCGUUUAUGUUCAUUUACUGGUUAUCAAUGAGAGAGAACAACUUGAAAGAGGCUGAGAAAAUUAAAAUUCCUUUUAUCAAACAAUUAAAUUUCAGGAUGGAACAAUUGAUAAACCAUCUAAUAACUAUAUAUAUAGCCUUCAUUUUCCUUAUCUGUUUUUGACACGGCAGUUGAUUCUCUGAGCGGCAAAAGGACCAAAUUCUGAAAGAUAAAUGUUGAUUCCUGACAGAAUGGCUAUAGUUGGAAAUUGUAGACUAGCAUGAUAGUCUUGUUUGCUGAUGCAUUCAAGAAAAAAGAUGUGUCAUUUCCCAAUUGUUUUCCAAGAAUCUUCUUCAUUUCCAGCUUUGAACUUUCCUAAUUUCUAUCAGCCAAUGGAUAGAGGACGUGUUUCAGACGAAAACUGGUUAGCUAUAAGUAUAUGGUGCAAGUUCACCAUUAAUCACUUAGAAUUAUGAUUAAUUAAGUAGAGAGGAAACAAAGAUCAAAGUAAAAAAAGAAUGGAAAUAUCAAAAAUUGUUAGUAUCUCAUUGCUUGUUAUCCUUUUAGCCUUAGUUUGCUCUGCGACUUCAAAUUCUGUUGAUGUGAAGUUCUUGCAAUGUUUUUCCUCUCAUUUGCGGAAUUCCAAGCCAAUUUCGCAGGUUAUCCUCCCCAGAAACAGCUCCCGCUACUCAUCUGUCUUGCAAUCUUCCAUUAGAAACCUGAGGUUCUCGAGCACUUCAGCUCUGAAACCUGAAUUUAUUAUCACCCCGUUUAAUGAAUCUCACAUUCAAGCAGCCGUAGUCUGUGCUAAGGCAUACAAUAUGCUGAUAAGAACACGAAGUGGAGGUCAUGAUUAUGAGGGUCUUUCUUAUGUUUCUGAUGAGAAAUUUGUACUAGUUGAUCUUGCCAGUUUGAGAUCCAUCAGUGUUGAUAUAGAAAGUGAGAGUGCAUGGGUUGAGUCUGGUGCAACUCUAGGAGAGUUGUAUUACAAAAUUGCAGAGAAAAGUAAUGUCUAUGGCUUCCCUGCCGGGAGCUGUCCUACUGUUGGUGUUGGAGGACAUAUUAGUGGAGGUGGAUUUGGAACCAUAUUUCGAAAAUAUGGGUUGGCUUCUGAUGCUGUUAUUGAUGCCAAAUUAGUUAAUGUUAAUGGAGAAAUUCUUGACAGAGAAUCAAUGGGAGAAGAUCUCUUCUGGGCUAUUAGAGGGGGAGGAGGUGCGAGCUUUGGAAUCAUCUUGUCAUGGAAAGUAAGGCUGGUUUCAGUUCCUCCAACAGUAACUGUUUUCAGCGCUGCAAGAACCUUAGAACAAGGUGGAAGCAAGCUUCUCCAUAAGUGGCAAACUGUUGGUAAUCAGCUUCCUGAAGACCUAUUCCUCCACGCAGUAACAGGAGUUGUGGUCUCUAGCCCGAACAGCAACCGAACCAUUCAAAUCUCAUUUGAUGCAUUAUAUCUUGGAACAGCUGAGCAGGUUAUCCCUCUGAUGCAAUCUAAAUUUCCUGAACUUGGCAUCACAAGGGAAAACUGCACCGAAAUGAGUUGGAUCCAAUCUGUACUCUACUUUGCUGGUUUCCCCAAAAAUGAAUCCUUAGACGUUCUGCUUAAUCGGAAAACACAACCCAAGGAAUUCUCCAAAGCAAAAGCAGAUUAUGUGCAAGAACCCAUUUCAGAGACCGGACUGGAAGGACUAUACAAAAGACUUCUUGAAUCAGAAACAUCAAUGCUAAUCCUGACACCGUAUGGAGGAAGAAUGAGUGAGAUAUCAGAAUCAGAAAUACCUUUCCCUCACAGAAAUGGAAACUUAUACAAAAUCCAAUACUUGGUCACUUGGGAUGUGGAAGAGGAAACGAAGCAGCAUAUAGAGUGGAUCAGAAGUCUGUAUUCUUACAUGGCAGCUUAUGUUUCAAAGCUCCCUCGAGCAGCAUACUUGAACUACAGGGAUCUUGAUUUAGGAAGGAACAAGAAGAAGGGCAACACUAGUUUUGCACAAGCUAGUGUUUGGGGGCUGAAAUACUUCAAGAAUAAUUUUAAGAGGCUAGUAAAUGUAAAGACUGCAAUAGAUCCUUCCAACUUCUUUAGAAAUGAACAAAGCAUCCCAC
rnacentral:lncRNA from 1 species